GGGGAAGUUAAGAAAAAAAAAAAGAGGAAAAAGAGAGGAGAUAUCUCGUGAAAGGGGGGAAGCUGAGGAGAAACACGGGCCUGCAGGCUGGGAAGAGAGCCGGGGUGGGAAUUUCGGGUCCGAAGCUUGAGGAGAAGAGGUUUGAAGAAGUGACAAGAGAGAGAUUUGCGAGAGGGUAGAAAUGGGCGUCUCAAGCUGAGUUGAGGAGGAGUUUGAAGCUUCGGUCCAGGUAAGAUUUCUGCAUGUUUUAUAUACCUCAUUUUAGUUUGCUUUUUUCUAUUUCUUGUUAAUUUCGGUUCCUGCUUGGUGUUUAUUAUAUGGAUGGCGAGGCAUAUGAUGCGUUAGAGAGUGUGUGUAUUGGAUUGAGAUCAAUUAAAAGGGUGGAAAAGAUGUCUAAUUAUAUGAUUAGUAGUGGGUUUGGUCCGGAUGAGUAUUUGGGGAACAAGUUCUUGUUGAUGCAAGUAAAAUACGGGAUGAGGAUUGAUGCACAUGGAUUGUUUGAUGAAAUGCCAAUAAAGAACAUUUUAUGUUUUUUUUAACACCCCUGCACAUGAUUCUCCCAUUCAUAUUAUAUUUGCUUCAAAUCCCGGAAGCGACCCCCACUAGCGACGUUGAGCCGAAGCUCCUUGCCGGCGGCGACGAAGAGAAUGACAGGUUGCAAGCUUGCAUGGGGAGGUGCCUACAGCUGCUAUUGGUCUUGGAGGUUUGGGCCCCCAUGAUAGUGGAUUUGGGCCUGAGGUGAAGCCCCAAACCCAAAUAUGAUGGUGAAAAGGCUUGAGUCCUUUUGCUAACGGAUGUGGGCUUGGGAUGAAGCCCAAAUCCGAGCUUGAUGAUGGAAGGCCCCCAUGAUUUGUCCAUCCACUUUAAGACCGACCCAUACUUAUUUCAAGCUGGCCCAUCUGGUUGUUUCCACCUUAUAUAUUUCACCUUCUCUAAAUCACUCAUUUCUCAAUAAACUCUUUAAUUUCUAAUUUCCAAGCCCAACUUACAAAAAUUCAAUCUCCAAAUGACACUUCAAAAUUCAGAUUUUUAAUGUUUAAUUCCGAUUUCCGAAUUCUCAUAUUCCCAUUAAUUUAUUUGAUCAUUAGUAUUUCAUUUAUUUAUUUCAAAGCUCCAUUCUAAAUCAAAUUCUUCUAAAACUUCUGAUUACCGAAUUAAAUUCAAAAAAUUCCAAUAUUCGCAUUAAUUUAUUAUUGUUAUUUUAUUUAUUUAUUCUAAAAUUCCAUUUUAAACAAUUCAUUAAAAUUUCCGACUUUCGAAUUAAAUUUCUAUUUCUGAAAAUUCCAAUAUUCACAUUAAUUUAUUUAAUUAUUAUUAUUUUAUUUAUUUAUUCUAAAAUUCUAUUUUAAACAAUUCAUUUAAAAUUUUCAACUUCCAAUUUUAAUUUCUAAUUCUGAAAAUUCCAAUAUUCACAUUAAUUUAUUUAAUUAUUAUUAAUUUAUUUAUUUAUUCUAAAAUUCCAUUUUAAACAAUUCAUUAAAAUUUCCACUUCCGAUUUUAAUUUCUAAUUCUGAAAAUUCCAAUAUUCACAUUAAUUUAUUUAAUUAUUAUUAUUUUAUUUAUUUAUUCUAAAAUUCUAUUUUAAACAAUUCAUUUAAAAUUUUCAACUUCCAAUUUUAAUUUCUAAUUCUGAAAAUUCCAAUAUUCACAUUAAUUUAUUUAAUUAUUAUUAUUUUAUUUAUUUAUUCUAAAAUUCCAUUUUAAACAAUUCAUUAAAAUUUCCACUUCCGAUUUUAAUUUCUAAUUCCAAAAAUUCCAAUAUUCACAUUAAUCUAUUUAAUUAUUUUAUUCUAUUUAUUUAUUCUAAAAUUCCGUUUUAAACGGUUCAUUUAAAACUUUCGAUUUUCGAAUUAAAUUUCUAUUUCUGAAAAUUCUAAUAUUCACAUUAAUUUAUUUAAUUAUUAUUAUUUUAUUUAUUUAUUCUAAAAUUCCAUUUUUAAACAAUUCAUUAAAAUUUCCACUUCCACUAAUUCCAAAAUUCCAACAUUCACAUUAACCUAUUUAAUUAUUAUUAUUUUAUUUAUUUAUUCUAAAAUUUCAUUUUAAACAAUUCAUUAAAAUUUCCGACUCUCGAUUUAAUUUCUAAUUCCAAAAUUCAUAUUAAUCUAUUUAAUUAUUAUUAUUUUAGUUAUUUAUUUUGAAAUUCCAUUUUAAACAAUUCUUCAAAAUUCCAAUUUCUGAACUUAAUUUCUGAUCUCCAAAAUUCUAAUUUCUUUCAAAUUUAAUAUCCAAAAUUCUAAUUCUUAAAUUUAAUUUUUCAAGACUCCAAUCUUCAAAUAAUUUUCGAGGCUCUAAUUUCCAAAUAAAUUUCAAAAAUCCAGUUUUCUCUCGAAUAGCUUUAAUUCCACUCCGAUUUUUAAAUAAUGUUCUAUUUCUUUUGAUUUUUACACAAGCAAGAAUGAUGAAUCUUCAUAAUUCCGAAAUAAUGGGAUUCGUGAGAUUAAUUCGUGCAAUAUAAAUCGGGCUUUGGUGGGGCCCCACAUAUUUGAUUUUAUGACUGACUGAUUGAUUAAUUGAUUUAUUUACCAUGCUUGUUUGAUUUAUUUUGUUCCUUGAUAUGCACGUAAUUAUAUCUAUUCAUUGUUCACUAACCUUGUUUUAUGAUAGCGCAUGGUGGCUCACUGCCCAGGUACAUAUCUAUUCCCAUUCUGGUAUUUCUAUAUGCGUGCUUUGAUUCUCAUAUGUGCAUGAUAGUUCCGGGUAUUCAUUGAUUUCUUCAUCAAUUGCCAUGUCAACUUCAUUCUAUUAGUAGAGACCCGACUUUAGGGACUUAGAGGGGUGCUACGGUCUUCACCGUACCUUCCCGAUAAGUAACCUGACCUCCGAACCCGAUCCGGUUUUUCGUAGAUCACCUUUUCCAAAUAAGGAGUCAAACUUAGGGUUUUUCUUUCUUAUUUUGUUUACCCUUUAAAAAUAAAACAAAAAUAAGUGGCGACUCCAAAUCAUUUUUCUUAAUCAAAUAAAAAUCAAUUUUUCAAAUAAAAAUCGAGCUCGCCAUCGAGUGGGAAACGCAUGAACCGAAAUGCGGGGUCCACAGGUAUAUUUAUCCGUUACUAUUUCAUAUCCUUCAACUCAAUUUGAAGAGUUAUAGGGACCUUUUGUUAAUUUGGGGUCCAUCUACUCCAAAAGAUAAUUCUCUCUCAAAUGAAAAACCUACUUAAUAGCCCAACCCCAACCCUAGAGAGAUUUAAAACAAUCUCAUCCUUAGAUUAUGAAUAUAUAUCAACUUGAUUCUUUCACAGACAUGAAAUAAUAUUAUUUUUUUCCUUAGAAAAACAUUAUCAAUUUUUUUAUCCUCACUCCUAAUUAUUAUUUUUACAAAAUGCCCCCUUAUAUGUUUCAUUAAAUGGAAAUAACGAGAAGAAAUUAAUAAUAAGAAAUGAAUGGAAAAUUAGAGAAAAAUCAAGAAAAUCAUUUUUUUUUUAAAAGAAAAAGUUAUUAUAAAAAUACAUAGAAAGUGUUGAUGUCAUAUUAUCAGGUUCAGAGUUGUUUAUGUCACAAUGCCACUCUUCACAUGCUAUUGUUAGGUUUAUGGUUGUAGUGGCUUAUACAUGACCCAUCAAUUGACUUCGAUUUUGUUUCUUUAUUAUACCUAUAUCCUUGAAGAAAAAGUCUUAAUAGUGUGUUCCCUAUUCACUUUUCGGACGACAUGACAUGAAAUAUUAUAAUUUAUGUCAAACAACAAACAAACAAACAAGGUUAUAUUUAAAGUAUUUAAAGAGUGCAGGCUAUUUUUUUUCAAAUUCAGAAUUAACUUCAACUUCCCCACUUAACCAAAAUUUCCUGAAUAUAAAUAAAAAUUAUAAACUUGGAUAAAAAUAAAGUGAGGGUAGGAGAGGCCCCCUAAAAUUAAAGGCAGUGUCUGUGUGAGUGGUGGGCCUUGACAGCUGUGGACAUAAACAUCCUGUGAAUUUCUUGGCUGUUUUAUUGAUUAAAGAUGACCCAACUGGGGCUUGUUGGAUCACACAUUCAUUGUUUCCCAUCCUCAAUUUUUAUCACUCACCUCAUAUUCCAAAACAAAUCACAAAUCAAAAGUCAAUUCUCUUAAUGGGAUUGCCGGAUUGGACUCUCUUGUGUAAUGGUUUUCUUUUCAACCACCCAGUACUCAUUUCCAUUAUUAGCUCUUACCAAUUUUCGGGUCAUUUUUCUUCUGCUUACCCCUUCCAAAUAUUUCCAACUCAAAGUCAUGAAGAAGUCAGGACCCCUUUCUAGUUUGUCCUUGAACUUUGUCUCAGAGACAAAAAAAGAAAAUAACAAUAACAAUGUCUCUCAUAUAUUCUGAAACCUGAAAACCACCACGCAUUGAAACCCUAGUUUCACGAGGACUAUGAAGAAGAAAUAAACCAAAAAAAUAAGCAAGUGAACAUAGAUAGAUAAUACAUAUAUAUAUAUAAAGCCAUAUUAUUGCUAAUCCGCAUGCAUCAAUUUCAUACCCUAGGCUUAAUCUUGGCCCUUAGAGGGUUCUUCAUCACCACUGUGAAUUCCAACUUUUCACUAAAAUCAAUCUUACUGUUUUCAGGGUAUGCGCUCCACUCGAAGUCCUGCACCAUCCUUGCCAGCAUUAGGUUCACAUGCACGGUGGCCAUGCUCAAACCAGGGCAUAUCCUUCGCCCUACUCCGAAUGGCAUCAUUUUUACGCCGGUCACUCCGGUUAUAUCGGCGUCUUCACCGCCCAAGAAAAAGCGGUCGGGGUCGAACUUUUCGGGAUUCUUCCAUAGCUUGGGGUCCUCGGAGAUGGGUGGCAAGAAGAACUCGACAUUUGCGUCUGUGGGUAUGUCGUAGCCUGCCAACUUCGCUGGCUCUGUGACUGCAUGAGUUAGGGAAAAGUAGGUGGGAGGGUGUUUACGUAGUAGUUCUUUUGAAACUGCGUUUAGGUAAGGCAUCUUCUCCAUGUCUUUCUCUUGAACCUUACGAUCACCCACUGUUGUUUUGAUCUCUUCGUAUAGUUUUGACUGAAUCUCGGGGUUCUCGAUCAUUCGGGCAAUUGCCCACUCGACCGCCGUCCCUGUUGUGUCGGUGCCGCCAUUGAGGAACUCGGAGCAGAGUGUGACGAGCUCGGGGUUGGUUGGAGAUGAUUUACGCCCCUCGAUUUUGAGAUCGAAGAUCGUGUCGAGGUAGGAAAAUGAAGCCGCGGUUUUAUCUGAUCCUGGGUUUUCAAGCGCCGCACGCCGCCUCUCGAUGAAGGGGACAACAGUUUUGAUCUGCCUCUUCCGCACUUCCGUGGCGGCUUUCCUCUGCUUUGAGAAGAAUGGGCUUAGAAGUGGGAGAUAGUCAUCAAGUCUUGGAUCAAGAGUGAUUAGAACAGUUUUCAUCAGAUCAUCCAUCACCUCAAUGGUCUCCUCAUCCAUUUCGACUCCAAAACACAUAGACAAAAGGAUGCAAAAAACAGCAAAUCGAGCAUUCUUCAGAACCCAAACAGCUCCAUCAUUAGCCUCAGCCUCGCUCCGUAGCCUGUCAAUGAGCUUAUCCAUGGACACAUCUCUCAAAUUGCUGAACUCCCUAAUCUUGCUUGCACUGAGCAUGUUUUGCACCAUGUUCCUCCGCAGCGACCGCCAGACAGGGCCGUAGACGGCAGCGUUCACCGUGAACUUGUUGCAGCUGAACACGGUGCGCGUAGGGUUUUCUCGAGGCCUGCUAGCGAAAGACUGGCCCUUUUCGAUGAGAGCUUCGUGCGCCAAUUCUGCACUGCUUAUUAUGAUCAUGGUUCUAUUCCCCAUCUUCAAAGUGAAAAUUGGGCCAUAUUUUGGCCUAAGCUCUCUCACAUACUGAAAAAAUUGCUUCCCAGAGCGAGCAAAUUGGAAGAGGUUUCCAACAAUAGGCCAACCAGGGGGUCCCGGAGGAAGGUUUAGCUUCUUUGACUUGGUUUUACGUGACAGCAAGACGAUCAGACCUGAUAUGAGGAAGGCUAAAGCAGUGAAGAAGAUGUGGUAGUAAGGAGAAUAAGUCGAAGAAGCAGCAGCAAAAGCAGGAGCCAUGGAGAUGGUGUUGAGACAGAGAAAGAGAGAAGGCAGGAGGAGAAGAGGAGAUGAAGUAAUGGAGGAAGGUUGGAGAGGGGUAUAAAAUGGAGAGGGCGUGAAAUUGCAGGUGGGGUUCAAUUAAGGCUCUUCAAGUCUUCUACCAACGCACAACUGGUUGUGUUAAAUGCUAAAGAGAGAGAGAGAGAGAGAGAGAGAGAGAGAGAGAUGGGGUUUUGAGAAAUAUGGAAAACCAGUGACACUGACGCCCCUCAUGCAAGCAAUGUCUUUAUGGCCACAAAUUUCUUAUUGUCUCUCAAAUUUGAACUAAAAAAUUAGACUAAAUUAAGAGUUUUGGUAAGGUUGAAGAAAUUUAUGGUGGCCCUCUGAAUCUGGUGUGCCAAGCCUUUGAUUGGGAUUCAUUGAAUAAAAACGGUUCAUAAAUGAACUCUACCCUUGAGUCGGAGGCCACUACUGGAUGGAGCAUUUCACAGUAAGAAAAAAAAAACAGAAAAUAAAUGGAGUUGGGGUUGGAAAAUGGUGAGUUACAGUCUUUUAGUACUUGCAUCUACUGCUGAAACUUGACCUCAAAAGGAUUAAUUGAUUCAUGAGAGUAGGAGGUGUAGACUACAGAGUCUGUCAUGGUUCACAGUUCAAAGAGAUUGAAAUAUCGAGGAAGAGAAUGAAAAGAGAGUCAGUGAUGAGUUAGUUGAGUAGGAUCAGAGCCACCUGUACAAUAAUACCAUGUAGACCAGCACUGCGACGGGACUGAGAUUCAUCUCAUCUGUCACUAGUCAGUCAUGGUACAUUAGCUUAUUUUGAUUUAAACUGCUUUACGUGUUCCAGGUUCGUACACCAUUUUGCCUUAUUUGGAGCCCAUGGUUUGCUUUAAAGAAUUGAUUUUCUCUUUAAUUCUCCUCUUAAUAUGCCUUAAAGAGUGCCAAAAAAAUAAAAAAAAUUCACUAACCUUUUCUCUCAAAAAACGGUUUCUCAAAACAGUUUUUAAAAACAUUCUCUCAUGUUUUUUUUUGUUAACACAAAAAAUUGUCCCAAACCGAAAAUAUUCUUAAUAUAUUUUGUAUGUUUUCAUAUAUUUCUUAAAGGUAAUUAUUUUUGUUAAAGUUUGGUUAUUUGAAUUCUAUUUGAUCAAACUUGAAAAGCCCGUGGUACGAUACAUAUGAUGAAAUUAUAAUUAUGAGAUUUUUUUGGAGUUUUAUAAUAGUAAUAGAGAAAUUAAGAGAGUGUUUGAUACUAAUUCUAUGAAGUAUUUUUAAUCUUUUUAAUAUAUAAAUUUUUUUAUCUUUUAAGUAUUAAAAAAAAGUAGAAAGAUAUUCUAAAAUCAUUAUCAAACAUACUUUAAGUGUGGGAUAAUGUAAUUUUAGAAUUAUGAUGAUUAUGCUUUUUUGUAAUUGCUCCCAAUCUUAUGAUACUUUUUUGAUAUAAUGAAUUUUUUUUAUUUUGUUUAUGAUUUUUCUUGUUUAGAGUUUUUCACAUAAAUUUAUAUAUUUUUAUUCUAUUUUUAACUACCUAUUCUCAUUAUUGUGGAACAUUUUUUAUUUUUAAAAAUAAAAAAUAUAUAUAUUUUUAAAAGAAGCUCGCAAAGAGGAUUGUCAAAUUCAGUGAAAAUUGAAUUCCAAGUGGGGAGAAGGCAUCCAUCCAGCACAGUAAGAGUCCAAUAAAUGGCACCCAUGACAAAGGGCAUAGGGUCGGAAGGAUUGUGAUUGAAGAUGGGGAUUAUUUUCUUCUUUUAAAAAUAAACUGACUGACAAGAAACUCAACAGUUGCAAGUACUUCUACUACUUCUUUCCUGAAAUAUAAAAAUAGGUUUGUUUGUCUGCAUAGUUUUUUAAUUUACUGUUGAAAACAAAUUUUAAAAUUAUUUUCUGACUGAAUCAAUUUCAGAAGACUUGUCACGAUGAUUCAAAGAUUGCAAGGACUUCUACCAUUGAAACAUCCGAAAACAAUAUGAUGGUCCUUUCUCUUUUGCCUUCGAAAAUAGUUAAAGAUAUGUUAUUUUAAAAAAAAAUAAAAUUAUGUUUAUUUUCAUUGACAAAAUUAAUAGACCCAAAAUAUUAGAAUUAUUAGUAUAUACUUAUACUUGGGCAUAAGUUUUGUCCAACGAAAUGUUGAAAAAGAAUCCUCCAUGCUCACAUUAAAAUCCCAAAGAAAAUACCUCAUGAUAAGAAGAAAAUUGUUAGUUAGAUUACUUAUAAUUUUUUUUAAAAAUAAUUUUAAGAAAAAUCUUGAGGGUAAUAGAAAGGAGGGGAAAUCAUGCAACCAUCCAUUAUCUAAAAAAAAAAAAUUGCUUUUUAAUAUAGACUUCAUCGAUCACCUACAAAACUAAGCUUUAUAGCACAUACUUCAUAGUAUAUAAAGGAAAAGCUAAUCAUAUUUAAUAGAAGAGGUUGAAAGAAUUUUCCAUUUAAACAAACAUCCAAGAUAAUAUUCUCAAUUCUUGAUUCAUAAUAAGAUGGUAUAUAAUAUUAAUUAAUUUGUGAGCUUCCACAAAGAUAUUAUGUUUGUUAGUGUGUGUAUUACAUUGCCUAUGAUUAACAAUUUGAAUACAUAUAUAUCCUGAGAUCUAGUCAUUAGUGGGAUCCAUUCCUGCUAAGGUUCUAUGUAUUGCUCAUCUUGGGUUUGUUUGUGAGCUCUUGUCUAGAGUGAAGUAUAGAUUAAUUAAUACAAUUUUUUCAUAUUUUGUUUUGAAAAUAUAUUAUUUUUAAAAUUAAAUAAAGAUAUUUUUCAGUGUUUUUUUAAAGUAACGUUAUAAAGAAUAUUUUGAACAAUUUUAGAUUGUAAAUAAAUACAUUAUAGCUUUAUAGAAUGUAAGCUGAAAAUAAUAAUUUUUAUAUUUAAAUUCUCAAAUAGAAUUUUAUUCUUAAAGAUAAUUGAAAAUUGUUUUUAAAAAAUGUCUUUCAAUAUGUUUUACACACAAUUUUUUCUUCAAGAAAAAUCAUGCUCAGUGGAAUUGGAUUUUUAUUGAUUUGUAGAAUGAUAUUGGAAUAAUCUUUAAAUUUUUCAUAUUUAAAUUCUUAACAAAAUUUUAUUUCUCAAGAAAAUUGAGAAUUGUUUUUAAAUAGUGUUUUUAGAUAAUUGGUCAAGUUGGAUUUUUAUUAAUUUGAAAAAUGAUAUAGCUAGAAUUUUUAUUUUGUUCUCCAAUUCUUCAUUUCCUAGUUGUUAAUCAAGGACCAAAAAAUGUUUGAUUUAGAAUAGCUUAAACCUAAUUUAGACCUUGACUUAAUUUAAUUUUGAGUCUUGACUUAACAUAGAUUCCGACUUAAUUUGGAUAUUGAUCGAAUUCGAACCUAUGUUUAACUUAGGUUUUGGUGUAACUAGGACCUUGGCCAAACUUGAGUUUUGGCUUGACUUAAACAACAUCAAGGACUUUGAGUAGUUUGAUCUCAAAUUGUAGAAGCCUUUUGUAGAUUUUCAUUUUAAAAGUUGAAACUUAAGACUUUGAAGAUCUUAACAAUUCAAAGAUACUUUAAAAAAAAUUGAAGACUUAUAUCUCAUUUUAAUUUUGAAAUAGUGUUGAAUCUCCCAUAAAGAGUUUCCUCUAACUCUUAUCUUCUAAAUUGUCUUUAAAUUACCUUGUCAAUGCUUUGCAGUUGGUUUAAGUUACAUGGAUUAGAAAAAAUCAUAUUUAGAUCAUUUUUUAUUUUUUAUAAAUAUUAUUUCUUAAUUAAAAUAAAUAUAUAAGGAGAUUUGAAGGACUAUAUUGGAUAGUUUCAACAUUUUAAAAUAUUAUUCUUUAAAUUAAAAAUAAUAUCUAAGCUAAAUUGAAAGACUAUAUUUGAUAACAUUCAAUUUAUUUCUUAGUAAAACUUGAUAAUUAUUUUUUCGAUUAUCAAUUUACUAUUUCUAUUAAUUCUAAUAACUUUUCUUUUCUUUCGGUUUUUCUUUUUUUUUUUGGAGAUUCAUGCUAACUUUUUCAUGGAUUGAAAAUUUAUUUCAUGUGAUCACUUAUAAUUAACCACAAUAUAAAUCAAUUAUGAACAUUUGAUUUUUCUUGUGAAUUAUAAUUAACUUAAUUUGAGUAUAUAAUAAAAAGUUGUUCAUAAACACAAGUGUACACACAAAUUUUCGCGAAUUGUCUACAAUCUCUGUGAUAAUAUUCUUUACAAAAGAAUAUAUCCCUCUGGUUCUUUCACUUUGAUCACAAUUUGGAAGACGACAAUGAUGUUUUCUUGAUUUCGAAGAUCAGUUAAGGGUCAUAAGUGACUUAUUCUCGAAUGAACUUGUUGAAUGACAAAGCUCGCGUGUGUAGAACUUUUAUCGUUUCUUGAAAGGGAGAUUUUUGUGAAACCCUUUUUUUUAUGAAGCAUCUUUUCCCCUAUAGAGUAGUUUUUUGCCAAUCUAAAGAAGUCCAUACGUCGAAGGAAAUCACCCAUUUUUAUAGGUGAAAAUAGGAAAUCAAAAUUUGGAAUUCCCUAAGAUGUAGUUGCUUGAUUUUAACAACUUGUCUUCUCCAUUAAGGAAAUUUGUCAACAAGAGAAUAUAUAUAUAUAUAUAUAUAUAUAUAUAUAUUUUGACUUCAAGAGGAAUAUUUGUUUCUUUAAAAAAAAAAAAUUGUCAAUUAGAGAAUAUUUAUUUAUUUAUUUUUUAUUUUCUUUUGACAAUAAUUUGGAAGAUUUGAUUUUAUUUGGAAGACUAAAUUUUGUAGUCUUCCAAAUUGGUCCACAUGCCACCUUUUUAACAUAUGCCAAGUGUCAAAUAUGUGUAAGACCAAUCAUGUGUAGAUCCCAUAUUUUGUUGAAUCGAGGAGUCACAUUUUUUUUAAGAUCAAUUUAAUGAUAAUUUAUUUCACUAAAAAUUUUUAUGUCUACAAAUGCUCCCACUUCAAGACAUAUCACGUACAUGCCUUGCAAUGUAUAUGGUGGGUCUUGAAGUUACUCUUCAAAAUUUUUCUUUUCAAAGAAAUAUUUUUAAUAGGAAGUUUCCUAUUUAAAAUAUCUCUUUCCCACUUUUCUGAAAUAUUAUUUUAUUUCAUUUCUUUCUUUCCAUUUGGCAUCAAAGGAAGGUUUUGUGUUAAUAGGAAAGUUUCUAUUUUGACUAUCCACUUUCACUUCCCAUCCUUUCCAAUUUACCCCCUUUAUAUAUAUAUAUAUAUAAAGGGGGUAAAAAUUUGAGAAAUCCAAAUCGAACUCUCUUGAAGAAUUUUCUCAAUCUUUGGACAGUCUUCAACCCAAUUUGAAAAAUCUGACUUGAAUUCUUUCACGAGAAGUCUUUCACCUUAAGCCAAUUUCCAAACCCGUAAGUUGUAUUUUAUUUUAUUUUUAUUUUUAUUUAUUUUUACCUUUAAGGACUUCUAUCGUGGGAACGUGGAGAUUUAACAAUAGUAGUGUGGACUAGUAUCAUGUGAUGGAGUAGCAUGUUUUGGGAGUGAACGAAGACAAUAUCAUGUUGUGGGUUAUGCAGAAGCAACCAACAUAUACAUAUAUGUAUACGUACAUAUGAAUGGCUAACAGUGGGAACAAACAAAGAAAGCAAUUGAAAUAUAUAUAAAUAAAUAUAUAUAUAUAUAUAUAUAUAUAUAUAUAUAUAUAUAUAUAUAUAUAUAUAUAUAUAUAUAUAUAUAUAUAUUGGAAUCUUCCUAGAAAUUGGUUGACACGUGAUCUCCUUAUUCGUUUUUCUUUUCUUUUCCUUACUUUUUUUUCUUUUUUUUUUCUUUUUUUUUUAGGAAGGAAAAGUUCCACGAUCCCAAAGACGUGUCAAUCUCCAUCGCUUUGCAAAGAUGAAUUUGGCUUUAGAUAUUUUAUAUAUAUAUAUAUAUAUAUUUUAAUUACCUUAACACUUGAGGAAGAAUUUUUUUGGUAAACUUAAAUAUCCAUAAGAAUUUAUGAAUAUUUAAAACUUGAUCCUCAUGUAAUCAAGUUGUAGUCCUUAUGUGAAGCAGUGUUGUAUUUUGACAUUUAUAUGCUAAAGUCUUCACCCAUGCAGAUUGCCUUGACUUAAAUGUAUAGUGGUGUUCAAGUUUUAAUAUUUAAUUAAAACUAUAACAAUAUUUGACACAUGCAAACAAGUUAUGGCCCUAACAUCAUGCAAUGUUAUACUUUCGGCACUUAAUGCGGCUUAGGUGCUAAGGUUUUUACUCAUGCAGAUUGACUCGACUUGAAUGCAUAAUGGUAUUCAAGUUUUAAUAUUUAAUUAAAACCAAAAUAAUAUUUGACACCUAUGCAGACAAGUUGUCUUUAUGCUACGUGUGUUGUACUUUCAAUACUUAGUACGAGAUAAGUGUUAAGGUCUUCACUCAUGCGAAUUGGAGUAACUUGGAUGUAUAAUGGUGUUUAACUUCUAAAAAAAUUAGACCCACAUUUUAUUUUAUUUAUUUUAUUAUUAUUAUUUUUUUGCAGGAUAAUAUUCUUCAAGUAUUUCAAGGAAAAGACUGUGACCAUUCUCAAGGAUGAUAGUGAAGAUUUUUAGGAGAGAACUACCCUGUCAGUGCAUAAGUCACUUACUGACCUUCAAUCCUUGUUGGUGCUAGUGACAAAGGAUCCAUUACACAUUUCUUCUUGGUCUCGAGUAGCAUCUUGCAAGCUUACUGAUUCGUGCCCACUUGGUGUGUCAGCUGAUUCAUGUCCAGCUGGUGCUUCUUGAUUGAGGGAGUAAUCAACAAAAUUUAUAACCUAUUACACCAUGAACUAGGGUAGCAAAGACAAAGCUACUAUAGCAUAGUGGCUCUAGGAUCGUUCACUGGGAUGAGAUUUCACUCCAUAAUUGAUAUUAAUUCAAAGAUGAAUUGGUGCCUUUUCAUUUCAAGGUUAGCUUUAAAAGAAAACAUAAAGAUGUUUGAAAAAGGAUUGGUUUUAAGCUAACCAAAAAUAAUAACUGAUUUUACUUACAAAGAAAAGUGUUUCUUGGAGUUAAGAUCACUGGGUUCAGAUUCCUCAUAUAAAAAGGAGAGUUCCAGUCACUUGUUUAUUUUCCUCGCAUUGAGGAUUUAACCUAUAGUUAUUUCCCGAACCGGUGUGGUACAGAUGCUUCCCAUUAAUGGGUUCAAACACUAAAUCCCUCUCACUGAUGCAACUUGCAAUGACUCAUACCUCUCACCUAACACUUGCCAUUCAAGGUGAUCUUUAACCUUGGAUUACCCGUCAAAAGCUCGCAAGAGAUAACUAAUGGAUGUCUCCUUUAAGUCCAAAAGCUUACCAAGUGUUGGCUAUUCUAGAAAAUCCUACCUUCAAACCACCUCCCAAAGGCUCGCAAGAGAUAAACUAGUGCAUCUCAAUGGAUGGAGAUCACUUGCCUUACCAAGUGUUGGCCCAGGUGAUUUAAAGGCGUUUUAAGUUAACUAAAAAGAUAAAAACCAUUAACGAGUCACACUUUCUCUUCAUUAAAAACUAAAACAACAAAACUUCCAAUUUAUGUAUGUGGAAACUUACCCGGCUUUCUUUACUCCAAGAGACAAAGAGCCUAGCCUCUCAUCCUCUGAGAAAAAAUCCUCAGAGUUUGAUUGGCUAGAAAGAAAAAGAAUAAGAAAACAAAAAUAUAUAUGAAAAACAGAGCAAGUGCUCUGUAUUUUACUUCCUUGCAAAACUGUACAAAGGAUGCGUCUCUGAGAACAAGCUCCCAGAUUUUUCAUACCUCUAAGAACAAGCUCCCAGAGAUUACAUACAUUUUCUAAAGAAGAUUACAAACUAUCUAUAAGGGGUUAUUCACCCUUUGUUUUUACUUAAAGACUAAGGAAUCCUAUGAUAGGUGGGUUACAAGGAGACUUUGGGGAUUUAGACAUCAAAUAUCUAAAGCAAAAUAUCUCAAAAUGUCGGUCGCACAUAUCGGGAAUUUAGACAUUAAAUAUCUAAAGCAAAAUAUCUCAAAAUGUCAGUCGCACAUAUCGGGAAGCUUCAGGAGAACACAGCGGCACUGUACAAAAUGGCUGUGAAACUCUCCGGGUAAGGGCUAUCAGAUGAUCCGGAUAUGUCCAUCCGGGGAAGUUGAAACGCCCUCCUUUCCCAUCCGGCGUCAGGCGCCGGAUGUGAAACAUCCGGAGAAGGUGGCACGUCACCCGGACAUAAUUCCGGAUGUGGGAUAUCCGAAGAAGAUGGAACGUCGCAAGGGUGACCGUUCACGUGUGCAUGGUGUAGGGACCCAUCCGGAGCAACUCCAUCCGGAUUCCCCAAGAGGAUACGCAGCGCGCUCCCUUAUCCGGACUCCCUCAGGGAGAAGCACGUGGCACUCGUGAUCAUCACACCCAGAUGAUAGCAUAUCUUAUCUGGAUAUGUUGUCCGGAUCAUUGACUUAAGUGCACAAGCCUUGCUACGUCAUUCCGACAGCCUGCCACAGCCCAUGUUUCGCCGCCCUCUGAUGAUGUGUCCGAAUGCCCAUACUCCUUGCAUUCCGGAUUUGCUUAUGGCAAAGGACUUCAAAGCUUCGGCUCUUCAUGUUUCUGAGCUUUCCUUUGCUUUGCCAUGGAUUCCAAAGAAUUCUCCUCAAUCUCGAAUUUGAUUUGGUGAUCAAAAAGCUAUCAAAACACCAAAACUUAACACAAUUUGAUUAGAAUUGAUUGCAAGGGUCCUUAAUAUGUUAAUUGGGUUAAAAGGUGAUAACUACUACUCAAAAGUGUUUAAAAGAGUUAAUUACAAGCUAUGAAAUAGCACUUUUUGAGUAGUAAUCACUUACAAACAUUAAUAAUUCAAAAUUCAACAAAGUAAAACUUGUUUCUAAUGUUAUACUAUUGAAUUCUUCUCACCUAACCACUACUGAAACUCAAAGUGAAUUUGGAUUGUUGGGAUCUCAUGUUCAUGAUGGAGAAGUCGAAUGAGGAACCUCCUUUAAGGUGCUUGGGGAAUCUUUUUUUAUUGAAGGAUAUUGGGAAUGGGUAGAAGAUAUGUUUGGUUAACAGAGAAAACUUCUUAAAGAAAACAAACUUUACGAAGAUAUAUUUGCUUCUUUGUUUAGCUAUGAUCAUCAUACUUCUAUUAUCAGAGUUUUUUUGCAAACAUUGAUGUCCUUCAACUAAUACCUUGCAUAAUUCUAUUGGAGAGGUUUUCAUCUCCCUUUGGGACUUAUAUCGCAUUGUUGGGCUACAUAUCAUUGGAUAUUUUUAUGAUGAAAUGGUAUUGACUACAGAAAGGCUAUCAAAGUCCUCACUCUCACCAAGUUGUCAAAACUUGUUCCUUGCAUAUCAUCAAAUUUGCUUUGAGAUGAAGAGGAAGUUUUUAGUUAAGAUAGCCUCUUGGGUGUUGUUUUGGUUCAAAGACUCUAUGAAGUAUGCAAAAUCCCUAAAGAAUAGUACAAGGAACAAGACACAGAGACUUAAGGAGACUCAUAAUCCUUUUGGGAAUGUUGAUCCUCUUGAAUCUUAUAAUUAGUCAGAGAUGAAGGUGUUUGACGACCUUGGUAUGGCUAAGGUAAAUAUUGAGGAAACCUAUUUUACGAUACGACUUUCCUUGUAUGUUGGUUAUGCAAGUUUGUUCUUCUUAGGGAGGGUGUGAAUUUGAUUCGUCAUGGAGUCUUCAAGGAAGCUAGUAGAAUGGCUCAAGGUGAGACAUUAACCUUGUUAUUCCGGUGUUAGCAAGCAUUUACAAUGGCUUGAAUGAAAUUGUUUGUUCCUCAAAGCCUAGGACUAAUGCAUCUAUUUUCCUUAUUCACUAUUUAUAUGGAUAGUUAGGCGAAAAUUUUGAUACCCAUUUCUUCUUUUCUUCUUGGAAUCAUUCUCCACGGAUGACUUGUUAUGUCAAUGAGUUUUUUGCUAAGUCUUUUGAAGAUUCACAAGCGUGGGCUUUGAUAAUAUCUUGCAAAGGUGUAAAGUUGAACCACUUGGUAUUGCAGUACAAAGAGCACAUGUAUUGGAUUGAUAAUGAGUCUAUUACUACUACCCAAACUUCUUAUCUCUUAAGUCUUCGCUUUACCUAUUUAUCUUUACGAAAAGGUAACCAUUGAGUAAUUCAACUGUAUUAUCCUCGCCGAUUUUGUAGACAAUUUGGGCAUCCUCAAGAUGUUCCUAGGGGUUUACUAGAGGUUUUUCGCACUAGAACUUUAGAGGUGGUGUAUAAACAUUGGAAGUCAUGCACUAGGCUUGGCACCCACUCCAAAAUUACUAUGCCAAAUUAUCAUAGUCUUGACGAGUUCUCAAUCACCAAGGCUUAUGCAGAUUGGUGGAUUGGAAUGUGUAAUCUUGAGAAGAACAUGCUUACUAUUACUUGUAUAGAGCCCCCUCAUGUUCUUCUCUACAAAUACCCUCAAAAUCUUUGGAGAGUAGAACAUGCAAGAUCAACCCAAGUGUUUCUACUAAGAGCAAUGUUGGGGACAACAUUGAGGGAAACUUUGAUAAUUUACCUAAUGACUUAAGAGUUUCUUCUAAGCACUCAAUGGGUGGUCAUCAAACUAAUGUUUUCACACACUUGGAACAUGAAGGAAUUAUCUUUUAUGGUGGUAAUGCUCACUAUCACCAAACUUUUAAGCAAAUCAACAAUGCAGAGGUUCUUCAUGUAUCUAGUGACGGCUCCAAGGAUAUAAGUGAAUGUCAUUUCAAACAUCGAAAGACUAGACCCUCCCUUAUGUACUAUGAUGAGACUAACUCUCAUGCAGAUGUUUUCUUUGCUGAUGCUCCAUCUUCUACUCAACCAAUGGAACUUAGUGGUGAAAAAGGUUUUUUGUUUUUGUUUUUUUUUUUUAACACGUCGAUGUUAACAAAAAAAAAAAAAAAUCGCCUUAGGAUGAAGAUGACAAUCAGCUUAUCGGUGAGGAUAAUGAUUCUUUUCUUAAAGGCCAGUUUGAAAAUGUUGAUAGCACUAAGGUUCUAUGUAUUGCACAUCUUGGGUUUGUUUGUGAGCUCUUGUCUAGAGUGAAGUAUAGAUUAAUUAAUACAAUUUUUUCAUAUUUUGUUUUGAAAAUAUAUUAUUUUUAAAUUAAAUAAAGAUAUUUUUGAGUGUUUUUUUAAGUAAUGUUUUGAACAAUUUUAGAUUGUACAUGAAUACAUUAUAGCUUUAUAAAGUGUAAACUGAAAAUAAUAAUUUUUAUAUUUAAAUUCUCAAAUAGAAUUUUAUUCUUAAAGAUAACUAAAAAUUGUUUUUAAAAAAUGUCUUUCAAUAUGUUUUACAUACAAUUUUUUCUUCAAGAAAAAUCAGGCUCAGUGGAAUUGGACUUUUAUUGAUUUGUAGAAUGAUAUUGGAAUAAUCUUUAUAUUUUUCAUAUUUAAAUUCUUAACAAAAUUUUAUUCCUCAAGAAAAUUGAGAAUUAUUUUUAAAUAGUGUUUUUAGAUAAUUGGUCAAGUUGGAUUUUUAUUAAUUUGAAAAAUGAUAUAGCUAGAAUUUUUAUUUUGUUCUCCAAUUAUUCCUUUCCUAGUUGUUAAUCAAGGACCUAAAAAAGUUUGAUUUAGAAUAGCUUAAACCUAAUUUAGACCUUGACUUAAUUUAAUUUUGAGUCUUGACUUAACAUAGAUUCCGACUUAAUUUGGAUAUUGAUCUUAUUUGAAUCUUGGUUCAACUUAGGUUUUGGUGUAACUAGGACCUUGGCCAAACUUGAGUUUUGGCUUGACUUAAACAACUUUGAUCUCAAAUUGUAGAAGCCUUCUUCAGAUUUUCAUUUUAAAAGUUGAAACCUAAGACUUUGAAGAUCUUAACAAUUCAAAGAUACUUUAAAAAAAAUUGAAGACUUAUAUCUCAUUUUAAAAUUUGAAAUCGUGUUGAAUCUCCCAUAAAGAGUUUCCUCUAACUCUUAUCUUCUAAAUUGUCUUUAAAUUACCUUGUCAAUGCUUUGCAGUUGGUUUAAGUUACAUGGAUUAGAAAAAUCAUAUUUAGAUCAUUUUUUGAUUUUUUAUAAAUAUUAUUUAUUAAUUAAAAUAUAUAUAUAUAUAUAUAUAUAUAUAUAUAUAAGGAGAUUUGAAGGAUUAUAUUGGAUAGUUUUAACAUUUUAAAAUAUUAUUCUUUAAAUUAAAAAUAUUAUCUAAGCCUAGGACUAAUGCAUCUAUUUUCCCUAUUCACUAUUUAUAUGGAUGGUUAGGAGAAAAUUUUGAUACCAAUUUCCUCUCUCCUUCCUAGAAUCAUUCUCCACGGAUGACUUAUUAUGUCGAUGAGUUUUCUGCUAAGUCUUUUGAAGAUUCACAAGUGCGGGCUUUGAUAAUGUCUUGCAAAGGUGUAAAGUUGACCACUUGGUAUUACAGUACAAAGAGCGCAUGUAUUGGAUUGAUAAUGAGUCUAUUACUACUACCUAAGCCUUUUAUCUCUUAAGUCUUUGCUUUACCUAUUUAUCUUUACGACAAGGUAACCAUCGAGUAAUCCAACCAUAUUAUCCUCAUUGAUUUUGUAGACAAUUUGGGUAUCCUCAAGAUGUUCUCGGGGGUUUACCAGAGGUUUUUGCACUAGAACUUUAGAGGCGGUGUAUAAACAUUGGAAGUCAUGCUCUAGGCUUGGCACCCACUCCAAAAUUACUAUGCCAAAUUAUCAUAGUCUUGAAGAGUUCUCAAUCACCAAGGCUUAUGCAAAUUGGUGGAUUGGAGUGUGUAAUCUUAAGAAGAACAUGCUUAGUAUUGCUUGUAUAGAGCCCCCUCAUGAUUCUUCUCUACAAAUACCCUCAAAAUCUUUGGAGAGUAGAACAUGCAAGAUCAACCCAAGUGUUUCUACUAAGAGCAAUGUUGGGGACAACAUUGAGGGAAACUUUGAUAAUUUACCUAAUGACUCAAGAGUUUCUUCUAAGCGCUCAAUGGAUGGUCAUCAAACUAAUGUUUUCACACACUUAGAACAUGAAGGUACUAUCUAUUAUGGUGGUAAUGAUCACUAUCACCAAACUUUUAAGCAAAUCAACAAUGCAUAGGUUCUUCAUGUAUCUAAUGAUGGCUCCAAGGAUAUAAGUGAAUGUCAUUUCAAACAUCGAAAGACUAGACCCUCCCUUAUGUACUAUGAUGAGACUAACUCUCAUGCAGACGUUUUCUUUGCUGAUGCUCCAUCUUCUACUCAACCAAUGGAACUUAGUGGUGAAAAGGUUUUUUGUGUUUGUUUUUUUUUUUAAAACAUCGAUGUUAACAAAAAAAAAAAUCGCCUUAGGAUGAAGAUGACAAUCGACUUAUUGGUGAUGGCGAUGAUACUUUUCUUAAAGGCCAGUUUGAAAAUGUUGAUAGGACUAAGGGGUUGACGUCCUUCAACUAAACUAUCCAAUGAGAAGAUCAUUUUAUCAUUCCAACACCCUUACCCCAUUUUCAUUUGGGUGAUGAAGGUAUUACUAACAUUUCAAGUAAUGUUUUGAUUGAAUCUUGAUGUUAAGAGGCCACCAUUGAAAAUACCAUAUAUGAUGAAUUGACACUUUUAACUAUUGCAGGUUUAAUUGCUAAACAACAAUCCCCAUACUCUGAUACACCUCCUAUGGCCCCUUCUGAUUUUAUUCACAUAUUUGAUAUGGAAUAAAUUGUCUUUGAUGCACAAUGUUAAGCAACACGCAUGAUAAGAGAGAGCAUUAAGAAAAUGAUUCUAAAAAAUUCCAUUGAUCAUUUCUCAUUACUGAAAGGAAAAAUUGAUGAGCUUUUUAGGGCUAUUAUGAAGACCGACGUAGACUCUUCACCAUUAAAGUCUUAGAUUCAGAAGUACAUGAAAAGUAUAGAUCACUUUGUUGCAGUGCAAUGUGCCAACUCUACUAAGAUAUCAUUUGAAGUAAAAAACGAGCGUUUGAUUAUUAUUGCAUCUCAGAUUGCUAAUGCUUUAAACUCUGAAACUGUGGAGGCAAGGCAUUGUGAAUUAUUAAAGACUGACUUAGUUACUCUUGAUGCUAAGCAAGACGCGCUUAAGAAGGAGUUGGAACAACUAGGUAUACAAAGAGAGUGCCUUUAUAACUCAAUUUUGGAGACUGAUGAGAAUUUAGUCAAUAAGUAGAAUGAUAUUUCUCGUUUGAGGCAAGAACACGUUGCUAUCGCCCAAAACCCUUGUGCUUACUGAUGUCGAUGUCAAGACCUUAGAGACACUUUAAGAAACCUUAAAAACUCAACGUGAUGAGCUCGAAUGCUUGGUGUGGGUGUGAUUGUUGUGCCUUUAGUUCCACCAUCCAUUUUCUUCUUUCAUUUUUAUUGAAAUGUAAUAAGUUUAGCAUUUGCUAUCCAAACUUAUUUAUAAAAUGAGGUUUUUUUUUGUUUUUUUUUUUUGUUUAAGUGAUUCAACUUAGGUAGUUUCCCCAAGUUGCCUACGUAACCUUCAAAGAGAAGAGAUCAAGUCAAAUGUAGUUCAUUUUAUUAUUAUUAUUAUUAUUAUUACGCUUUAACUUUUGAUAAGACUAAAAGAGAGUUUUAAUCUUGCGAGCAUCUGUCUUAACUUUUGCCUAAGUCACCUUUUCAGGUUUUCAACUUAGCGGACCUUUUUUUUUUUUUUUUAUUGUGUCGUAUGUAGUUUAAGUUCAUGUAGAGUAGGAAUAACACUUGUCUUGAGUUUGAUCGAAGGGUGAUAAAUUCAUGUCCUUGGAAAAAAAUUUAAUUGAGGGUCAAAGAGGACUUAUUCUCAACCAAACUUGUGAAAACCUUUCUUAAGCAUUUCAGAGAACAAAAUAAGGUCAUUUUGAAUUCAUGUUGAUUUUUUUCAACCUUAAACGUGGAUGAAUGGCAGUUUCGUAUUGUGUUUGAUAUUCUUCCAUAGGCUUGUUGAAGAAUGUGUUGAGCUUGGACUUGAUUUUAAUUUAAGAGUGAUAAACACGUGUUAUUGGAGCAAAGUUUAAUUGAGGGUCAAUGAUGACUUGAUUUCAAGUAAACUUAUCAAUAAUUUCAUUAACUGUUUUGAGAAACCUAACCUUGUUUUCUUUAGCUUUGAAGGUGGAUGAAUGACCCUUUUGUUUGUAUUUGGUAUUCUUCCACGAGCUUGUUGAAGAAUGUUUGGAAUUUGAUCUUAACUUUUAAAGCUCCAUUUUUGGAUUUAGCUUCUAGGUUGCAUAUUUCUUUUGAGAGCGCUUCAUGCUGAAAGAUAAUAACACUUGUAUUUAGAGAAGUUAGAGAUUUUAGUUUAGAAUCUCCGAAUUUGACUUUUUUUAAUACAAAGAGUUUGUUCCUUAGUUUAAGAAGUUUGGCAAUAUAUAUAUAUAUAUAUAUAUAUAUAUAUAUAUAUAUAUAUAUUUGCAUAAGUUUGAUUUGUUUUUUUUUUGUUACUACAAUUUAAGCUCUUUUAGGAUAGAAGAAUAUGCAGUUCAAGCUCAUGCUUUAAGAAGCAUCAGCGGAGUGCUGAGGUUUGAAAAUAAUUAUAAUAAAAUUUGAUGUCACACUCUCUUCAUUGUCACUGGUGAAAAUGAUGGUUGCACAACAAGUCACACAAUUGUGGCCUUUGUCCCUAAAUUGUUUUGCCCCUUUUAUUUUUAUGGCAUAGGGUGAUGAAUUCUUAAGUGCUUGAAUCAAUGCAAUUCAUGUUUCCUUAGGAAGUUGUAACAUUUCAUGGAUAUUGAAGAGUGAGGGUAAGCAUUAUAGGUUUGCUACUACCUCAUCAUCUUUCUUGGUUUUGCUCAACUAUUCACCAAUAGCAUUUUCUUCAUCUUUCUUAGGUCAUCUUCUUUUGAAGUCUCAAGAUAAGAGAUCAUAUGAGUUGAUGUCACUAUCCCUCUAUUAAAAACUCUGGAAUGAAGUAUUCUCCUAAAGUGAUAGAGGUGAUGAGCUUUUGUACCAAAAUGUCAUCAACCUGUAUAAUCAUUUGUUUUUUUCGAGUUUGUUUUCUUCUUUCUUCUUCAAAUGUCGAUAGAUAUUUUGCUUAUGUUGCUCUUUCAUAGGAAGAUUUGGGUAUGAAUGAGAUUUUUUAUUCUUGUGAGGUUUCUUUUAUGUUACCAAUGUCCAACUAUCUUCACUAUAUGACAUUGAUUCAUUAUCAAAGCAAAGGUAAAGAAGGCUAUCUUGACAUGAAACUUGUGCUUGCUUUGGUUUCAAUGACUCACAUUGAAUAGUAUUGGUGCAUGCCCCCAGUUUUGUAGGUGGAACAUGUAACAAAACAGGAUUGAAUGACCCAAAUGUGACCAUAGUAUGAUUUGACUUUACCACUUCAUCCAAAUCCAAAUAAAUUUUUCCUUGUUUUGCAAGUUUCAUUAUGAGAUCUUUUAAGAUGAAACAUUUAUUCAUCGAGUGACUGACGAUUCAAUGGUAAUGAUAGUAGUUUGGAUCAUUAAUACGACCCAUUUCUUUUACACGCUUACACUUAAUUAGCUCAAUAACAUUUUUUCUAGAGCAGAUCUUCCAACAUGUUAGGCACAUCAAAGUUAGGAAAAAGAUACUUCUUCUCCUCCAGUUCCUUUAAGGUGAAUCGACGCCUCUCAUUUUCCUGGGUUAGUUCGGUCUUUUUUACUUUUUAUUUUUAUUUUUUAUCUCUUGCUAAGAUUUUGAUAAGACCUGUAUUUACCAUCAUUGACUCCUGGAUGGGUUUUAUUGAGGUUUUAUCACUUGUUUUCCCAUCGUGUCUCUCUAUUUGUCAGUCAACGAUAAGGUCAUUCUUAGCACCAUGGUUGGCUAAGUUGAGCUAACUCUUCAAAGGUGCGAGAUCGUACCUCUUGAAGGAUAUACAAAAGACCCCAAUGCAUUCCUUGUAUGCACAUCUCCACAGCUAACACCUCGAAUAAUCUAUCUUUACAGUCCAAGUUUAAGGAACACCAAUGAUUGAUGUAGUCUACGACUGGCUCAUCUUUCCAUUGUUUAGUAUUAGUAAACUCUAUCAUGCGUACAAUUCGUUGGGUGCUACAGAAAUGGUUGAAGAAUUUGCGCUCCAUUUAGUCCCAACUAUUGAUACACUCAAGUGCAAGAUCUUGGUACCAAUCGAAAGCAUUCCCUCGGAGAGAAAAAACGAAUUGUUUGACUAACAAGUCACUAUAUGUGCCUGUAUUAUUACAAGUUUCAACGAAAUGGGCAACAUGUUGUUUUGGAUUUUUCUUCCCGUCAAAUGAUUGAAACUUUGGAGGUUGAUAACCCACAUACAUACGUAGGUGAUUAAUCCUCUUAGUGUAAGGUUUAGAGUACAUGAGGGUAUUCUAUGAGGGUCCACCAUACUGUGCUCUAAUGGUGUUAGUUAUCAUGUCUUGAAGUUGCUGGACAGAUAAUGACACCACUGAUUACUACUCAAAAAGUGCUAUUUGAUAGCUUAUAAUUAAUCCUUUUAAACACUUUUGAGUAGUAGUUUUGGCCUUUUAACUCAAUUGGCAUGUUAAGGACCCUUGAAAGCAAUUUUAAUCACUUUGUAUAAGUUUUGGUGUUUUUGUUAGUAAUUUGAUCACCAAAGCAAUUCAAGAUUGAGGAGAAUUAUGAGGAAUCUUGGGCAAAUCUUGGAAGUCAUUUGCCAAGAGUAAAUCCGGAAUGCAAGGAGAAAAAGUAAAGAGAAUCUGCCAUGAAGCAUAUUCUUGAUGACAGUCGUAGCAGCCACUUUUGGAGCACUUUCUGGAGUCCAAUUGAUGCAUGUUAUAUACCAUUUCAAAGCUCAGGAAUUCAAAAAUCCAAUGCUUCAAACGGUGCGCAAUUCGGAGUUGAAACGAAGAAGUUGCAGCCAUUGCAAGCCAAUCACUCCAAGCUGAAGGAAGCAUUUUACAAAGUGUUGCGAAAUCACCCUUUUGUUGCGAAAUGAUUUCGCAGCCUUUUUGUACAGUAGGGUGUAUUUCCUUCUGAAGUUGCCCAAUAUAUGCCGCAAGCUGGAAGCUGAGAACAUCAAGGUGGAAGCCAACUUCACAGCCCUGCGAGAAUAGCUUUUUGCUGCGAAGUGAUUUCGCAGCCCUUCUUGAGUGUCUGCGAAAUCUCGCAGACACCAUUUUCUCUUACGAAAUGGUUCCUGGAGCAUCCCGAUAUUUGCUACCGACAUUGGGAGAUAUUUUGCAUCGGAUUUUUGUUGUCUAAAUCCCAAAAUACUCCUUGUAAGCCACCAAUUACAAGAUUCCUUAGCUUUUAAGUUAGUAAAAAGAGAAAAUAUCCAUGUAAUAAUUAGUUUUAUAUUAUGUUCAUAUAAAGACCUCUUGGGAGCCUGGUAUCAGAGGAGAUCCUUUUGUAAAGUUUUGGGAAAGCAAGUAAAGUUCAGGCCCUUUGUUUUGCCUUACCUUCUCACUUUGUAUUUUUUUUUUCUUACUAAGUUAUGAACUCUCUGAGGAGUUUUCCCCAGAGAAUGAGUAACUAAACCUCUAAUUCCUUGGAGUUAAGGUUGUCGGGGAAGGUUCCAAGUGUAAGAAUGCAAAGCUUUGUGGUUUUAGCAAGUAAUGAAGAGGAAGUGAAAUCCUUUAGUGAUUUCUAUGUUUUUAGUUAACUUAAAACACCUUAGAGUCACCUGGGCCAACACUUGGUAAGGCAAGUGAUUUCCAACCAUGGAGAUGCACUAGUUUACCCCUUACGAGCCUCUGGGAGGUGACUUUAAGGUAGGAUUUUCUGGAAUUGCCAACACUUGGUAAGCUUUUGGACUCCAAGGAGACAUCCAUUAGUUAUCUCUUGCGAGCUUGAGAAGGGAAGUCCAAGGUUAAAGAUCACCUUGAAUGGUUAAGGCUUAGUGAGAGGCUUAAACCAUUGCAAGUUGCAUCAGUGAGAGAAUUAAAGUUGAAAUCUAAUUAAAGGAUGUAUCUGUACAACGCCGGUUAGAGAAUUGACUAUAUGUUGAAUCUCUAACACGAGGAAAUGAACCAUCUGACCGGAGCUAUGUCUUUUGCAUGAGGAACCACCCCAGUGAACCUGACUCUCCAAGGAAUGCUUUUCUUCCUAAGUAAUUCCCAUUGCUUGUUUUGUUGGUUAAUUCAAAUCUAAAUCUUUACCAAUCAAAGUUUGUGUUUUAUUUCUUAAGCUAACCUUGAAAUGAAAUAAGACCAAUUCACUUUGAAUUGGUAUCAUUGAUAGCUUGCUAAUCCUUCCCAGUGAACGAUCCUAGAGCCGUUAUAUUAUAGUAGCUUUUUCUUUGCUACCCUAGUAUAUGGUGUUAUAGGUUAUAAAUUUUGUUGAUUACUCCCUCAAUCAAGGAGCACUAGCUGGACAUGAAUAAGCUGAGACACCAAUUGGGCAUGAAUCAAAUGGCGCCAUUGCCGAGGAUCGAACCCGGGUCACCCGCGUGAUAGGCGGGAAUACUCACCACUAUACUACAACAACGAGGUAGAUUUCGUUGUUUGUCUUUCGACUUGCACUGUCCUAGAUGCAUGUGGUGCAUCAUCAAGAGGAGAUGCAACAUUCAGAAGAUGGUUGAGUCAUUGACUUGACUCACCCAUAUUUUGUACUUGUGCCUCAACCUUGUUUAUGAGGAUGACUAUCUGCAUAUCCUUCUUCUCGAUUGUCUUGGUGAGUUUAGCGACGACAUAAGCCAUCUCUGUCGAUUGUUCCUUUACAAAUGUAAUGCCAAUUUCCAUUACUGACAUAAUCAUUAAGAAGUGAAAAGUAAAAGAGUCGAAACAAUUGGAGUAGUUUUCCUCAUUUGACAUUCCAGUUGGCAAUUCGAAGUGUGAGCCAGUGUUGGAUUUGGUAUCGGUAAUAGAGCAAGAUGACUUAUCCCUAAAGUCCUGUAGUGUUGAAGGAAGUUUUCCUUUGCUACGAGGACUAUGGUUUUUUACCUCCAGAGAAGCUAAAGUGAUGCAUGAUUGGUGCUCAUUAUGUGUCCUUAUCGGUUUUAACAAACAAGUAGACUCACUUAUUUGUUUUGUUGAAAGUGAAGAUGUUGAUUUCGCUUUGCUACGAGUCAUGAGGCCUAUAGCGGUGUUGUGUGUCAAUUACGCAAUGACGAUCUAGUCAUUGCCUUUGUUGACAUCUACAACUUGAGUUCUUUUGGAUGUCAUCGACGUAGUGGUGAUCAAUUUUUUAAUGAAAGAGAUGAGAGACAAAGAGGUCCCACCGGGCAUGUCAGAAAUUUGUACACACAAAUUUCGCGAAUAGUCCUACGAUGUAAGCAAAACUAUAGGAAAAAAUAAUGUGAAACAAAAUAUUUUAUUAAAAUUAAAAAUAUUGUGGGCUGCAAUCUUUGUGGUAAUAUUUUUUUACAAAAGAAUAUAUUUCUCUUAUUCUUUCACUUUGAUCACAAUUUGGAAGACAACGAUGAUGUUGUCAUGAUUUCGAAGAUCAGUCGAGGGCCAUAAGUGACUUAUUCUCAAAUGAACUCAUUGAAUGACAAAGAUUGGGUGUAUAGAACUUUUAUUGUUUCUUGGACUUGUAGGGAGAUUUUUGUGAAACCGUUUUUUUUGUGAAGCCGAUAUUCCCUUGUAGAGUAGUUUUUUGCCAAUCCGAAGAAGUCCCCCCCCGUUGGAGGAAGUCACCCACAUUUAUAGGUGAAAAUAGGAAAUCAAAUUUUGGAAUUCCCUAAGAUGUAGAUACUUGAUUUUAGCAACUUAUCUUCUCCAUUAAGGAAAUUUGUCUAUUAAAGUAUUUAUUUAUUUAUUUUCUUUUGACAAUAAUUUGGAAGAUUUGAUUUUAUUUGGAAGACUAAAUUUUGUAGUCUUCCAAAUUUGGCCACGUGUCACCUUUUUAACAUAUGCCACGUGUUAAAUGUGCGUAGGACCAAUCAUGUGUCGAUCCCAAAUUUUGUCGAAUCGAGGAGUCACAUUUUUUUAAAGGCCAAUUUAAUGAUAAUUUAUUUCACUAAAAAUUUUGAUGUCUACAACAGGUUAAAUAUAUAGAGUAAACAAUUUGAUGGGAGUAGAUUACUAUUCCCUUGUACCAAUAAGAUUAAAGAAAUAAUGGAAUUCUUAACUAAAGAGUUAACUUUGCAAAAGAGUUGUGUAGCUUGUACUUUUCUUAGGGUCAUGAGACCAAAUUUUAUCUAAAAUGUGGCAAAUUUGAUGGGAGUAGAUUAUGAACAUUUAACUCCUUGUUUGCUAAAUGAACUUUUCUUAAUCUCCAUAUAUUUUAAAUCUUUAAUUUGAUAAAGAGAGAGAUAAGAGGUAAAGAUGGUCCCAUUGGGCAUGCUAAAAAAUUGUGCAUACAAAUUUUCCUUGAAGAUGAAUUAUUUGUGAUUAAAUUAGAAUUUUAUUGAUUUGAAGAAUAAUGUAAUUGUAACUUUUAUUUUUCAUUUAAUUCUUCUUUUCUAGUUCUUAAUCAAGGACUUAAAAGAAGUUUGGUCUUAAAUGACUUGAGUUUAAUUUGAACCUUUUUGAUUUAGUCUUGGAUCUUGAGUCAUGGCGUAACUUCGACCUUACUAUGACUUGAGCUUUGAUUUGAUUUGGAUCUUGAUUUGAUUUAAAUAACAUUGAUUGAUGGCUUGAGUAGCUUAAUUUUAUAUCAAAUAGGUUUUUGGUUUCUUUUUUCCUUUUAUAUAUUUUAAUCUUAAAAAGUUGAAACUUAAGGUUCUAAAGAUCUUAUCAAUUAGAAGAUACUUUAGAAGAAAUUGAAAAUUGGUUAGUCUCAUUUUAAGAUUGAAGAAAGAUUGAAUCUUCUUUAAAGAGUUAUCCUUAGGGAUCAUAAUGGAAUAGCCCGAAUCAUCCCCAUCUCAACCCAUUCAAUUUAUUUACAAAGGAUAAGAUUGGUGUAAGAAAUUCUCAUGCUUGCUCUAUCUUGCCUCGUUUAAUUUUGUUCAAUUUUUUUCUAUAAAAGUUUUAAAUUCUAUACAAAAUAAAUACAAUUUAUAAAUAAAUAAAUAUUCACAAUUUAUUUUUAUAAAAAAUAUUUAUAUACAUUUAAAAAAUUAAAAAACCAAUUAAAAUAAUUUUUUGUUGAAUAUAACAUAUAAUUAGGAUAGAUGAGUUGGGACAAAACAAAGUCAUUUCUGAACUAACCUGAACUUGUUUAUAUUUAUCCAAAACCCAUCCCAUUAGGAGUAGGUAUAAAAAAAAAACUUGUUUUCUUAUCAUCCCUAACUCGUCUAUUUUCUUCUAAUCUUUUGAAUUAUCUCAUAUUAUUUUAAAAAAAAAAACGUGUCUUAAAAGCUUUGGAAUUAACAUGUCUUAUAAGAAUUGGAAGCAUCAUAUUUGUUGGGUUUCCCCUUAUGUGAGGGAAUCGGCCCCAUAUGCUUGGGGACCAAGUUAGUUGCAUUGGAAAAAAACAAUGAAUCAAGAAAAAAAAACUGAGAGAAGAGAAAAGAAAUAGAAAAAAAAAAACGCAUCUCACUGUCUAGAUUUCAUCAACGAGUUGAUCCUAUUUCAUAUGUGGUCCGAUCGAGUUGAAAUUUGGAGGAAAGGUUUGAAACUCAAGUAACUACAAUCUGAAAGAUGGAUAUCGGAUUUUAAGCUCGGGAACUGAUGUUACUACCCAUAAACUGUAACAGCGUUUUUUAUAUACUUUCUUUAAUUUUCUUUGUUUUUGCCAAGAGAGAUUGUAUAAUCCAAGACUAUAUGUGUUCUUGAUGUAUUUGGCAACCUCUAGAGAUUAUUCUAGAAAAAAAAAAAGUGUAACCCAUUAUUGUUGAUAGUGGAAGUUUGAACUAGACUAGGUCCUGUGGUUUUUUCCUUUGCAUUAAGGGUUUUUCACGUAAAAAUUCUGGUGUCUGAUUUAUUUUCUGUUGCAUGACUUUAUUUAUUUAUUAUUGCUAGUUGAUAUUACCUAUUUAGUUUUGCACAAAGAAAAUGUAGAAAAAUUAUGGCGUUUGUUGGAAUAUUGUGAAUUCACCCUAACAAGUGGUAUUAGAGCCAGAUUGAUUAUCAGUGGGAUCUCUUGUGUAAAUUAAAUGAAGGAGGCUGACAGUAGAAUGAUUAAACUCAUAGUUUCCAAUUAUUCAAUUUGGAAUACUAGGAUGGAGAUAUUCUAUGUUGCAAAGAGUUGUUUGAGCCCAUUGAAUGCAGAGGUUACAAGCCAAUUACUAUGAUUGAGGAUGAGUGAAAUAAAUUAAAUAGGAAAACCAUUAGACAUAUUAGGCAGUGGAUUGAUCAGAGUGUCUUCCAUUAUGUAGCCAAGAAAGUUGAUGCAUAUAGCCUUUGGCAUAAAUUAGAGUCUUUAUGAAAGAAAGACUACACAGAACAAAACCUUUAUGAUAAGAAGGCUUGUGAAUUUAAAGUACAAUGAUGGUAGUAGUGUUGCAAAGUAUCUUAGUAAUUUUCAAGGACAAUUGAAUGAAUUGUCUACCAUGAAGCUUGAGCUAGAUGAUGAGGUACAGACUUUACUAUUAUUGAGUUCCUUACCAGACAAUUGGGAAACUUUAGUGGCAUCCUUGAGUAAUUCAGCCCCAAAUGGUGUGACAACUGUCAAUAUGGUAAAAGACAGCAUGUUUAAUGAAGAGACAAGAAGAAAAGAGUUAAGUAUUUCCUUUAAUACAAAAACACUUGUUAUAGAGAAGUGGGAGAGAAGUAAAAAUAGAAAACCUUCCAGUGAUUAUAACCAUGACAAGUCAAGAGGAAAGUCAAAGUCCAGAAAAGAGAUAAAGCGUUUUUAUUGUGGCAAACCAAGGCACAUUGAGAGAGUGUAGAAAAUUCAGAAGAGAACAGUUUAAAGGAAAAGGUGAAGAACAAGAAAAAGGACAAAGACAUUGCAACAAUUGCAUUUGAUGGUGAUACAAUCAUUGUUUGUGAUGAUGCAUGUGUAAACCUUGCAUGCUAGGAUUCUACUAGGGUGGUUGAUACAGCAACGUCGUUUCAUAUCACUACACAUAAAGAUUUCUUCUCUUCCUACACCAGUGGCAGUUUUGGUUAGGUUAAGAUGAGAAAUGAAGCAAAAUGUGAAAUUGUUGGCAUAGGAGAUGUAAAGCUAGAAACUAGCAUUGGGUGCAAAUUGGUUCUGAAAGAUGUCAGACAUAUUCUUGAAAUGCGCUUUAGUUUGAUCUCUGUUGGGAAGCUUGAUGAUGAGGGCUACCAUAGUCACCUUGGAGAGGGUAAGUGGAAGCUUACUAAGGGUUCUCUUGUUUUAGCUAGGGGAAAGAAAAACAAUACUCUCUACAAAACAGAAGUGAGACUAGUUAAGGGAGAGGUGAACAUUGUUACGAAUGAAGCCUCUACUGAGCUAUGACAUAAGCGGCUUAGUCACAUAAGUGAAAAAGGACUUCAAGUUCUUGCUUGAAAGAAGCUUCUACCAAUUAAAGGUACGUCACUAUUACCUUGUACACAUUUUAUGUCUGAAAAGCAAAAUAGAGAUGUAUUUCGUAGAUUUCCUUCACGUAGAAAACCAGAUAUUCUUGAUUUAGUUCACACUGAUGUUUGUACUAUGCAAAGUAAUACUCUUGGUGGUAUACUUUAUUAUGUGACUUUUAUUGAUGAUCAUUCAAGAAAGGUGUGGGCAUAUGCUUUGAAAUCCAAAGACCAAGUACUUGAUGUAUUCAAAUAUUUUCAUGUGAAGGUUGAGAGGAAAAUUGACAAGUAGUUAGAAUAUGUCAAAGUAGACAAUGGUGGUGAAUAUAGGGGGUCAUUUAAGCAAUACUACAGAAGUCAUGGCAUCAGGCUUGAGAAGACGAUUCCUAAGACCUCGUAGCAAAAUGGUGUAGUUGAGAGAAUGAAUAGAACCAUAUGUGAUAGAAUCGGGUGUAUGCUCUCUCAUGCAAAAUUGCCUAAGUCUUUUUGAGGUGAGGCCAUGAGAACAAUCGUUGAUUUGAUUAAUCUGUCUCCAUCAUAUCCUUUAGAGGGUGAUAUUCUAGAGAGGGUUUGGACAGGAAAAUGUGUUUCCUUUGAGCACUUGAGAGUGUUUGGUUCUAGGAUAUUUGUUCAUGUUCCUAGAGAUGAGUAAUCCAAGCUUGACAGCAAGACUAAACAGUGUAUCUUCUGAUUCGUGCCCAGUCGGGUAUUUUAAUAAAAAAUAUUUAUAAAUCCUAUGAUCUUAUACUAGCGUAGCAAAGCUACUAUAGUAUAGCAGCUCUAGGGUCGAACUCUGGGAUGGGUUUUCACUCUACCAGUGAUAGACUCAAGAUUAGAAAUUGAAUCUGAUGAUUUCCUUUGUCAAAAACUUAAAGUUUAAAAGAAAAUGAAAUUUGUUUUGAAAGUGGUGUUUGAAACUAAACUAACAUAGAACUAGGUAAAAAUGGAAGAAAGAAAGUCUCCCGGAGCUAAAGGUUGCUAGGAUCAAGUUCAGAAUGCAAAGUGGGAAAUUCCGGAUUUUUCUCCUCGUAUUGGGGACAACAACAUAAAGGAUGGUUGUUUCCCGAACUGAUAUAGGUUUAACAAUGAAGAUUUAAUCCAUAAAAAGUCAAUAGAAAUGGUAGUCAAGUUCCAUUAAUGGCUUUAGACACUAUGGGUCUUCACCUUAAGCCACUUUCCAAUGGCUCGUACAUGAUAACUAAUGGUCUUAAGUGGAUCUAGCAAUAAGUAUCUACAGAGAUCUAAAAGCUUAUCAUGUAUUGGUCAUUCAAAGUGAUUCUAAGGGAUUUAAAGCAAAACUUUAUAUUUAAAAGCCAUUUAUGAACUCCAACUACCUGUAUUUAAAGCACGAGAGUUUUCCACUUUUGCAUCUGGACUUUUCACCUAACUUCCUUCACUCCAAGAAACCAAAGGUUUAGCCUCUCAUCCUCUGGGAAAACAUCCUCAGAGGUUGUUUGGCUUCCAAGAAAAAUACAAUCAAAAUGAGAAGGUAAAAGCAGAGCAGAACUCUGUAUUUUUCUUCCUUUGAAAACUAUACAAAAGUUGCGUCCCCUCGAGAACAAGCUCCUGAGAGAUAUUUAUAUGAAAAUUACAAUAAUAAUAUCUACAAGGUUAUUCAUCCUUUUUCCUAACUUAAUAACUAAGGAAUCCUAUAAUUGAUGGGUUACAAGGAGAGUUUGGGGAUUUAGACAUCAAAUAUCUAAAGCAAAAUAUCUAAAGAUAAAUAUCUAAAGAAAAAUAUCUAAAGAUGUCUGUCGCACAUAUCGGGAAGCUUCAGGAGAACACUGCGGCACUGUGCAAAAUUGCUGCGAAAUCCUCCGGGUGAGCGCUAUCGGCGGAUCCGGAUAUGUCUGAUCGUGGAAGUUGAAACGCUCUCCUCUCCUAUCAGGCGUCAUAAUUCCGGAUGCAAUACAUCCGGGUGGAAUGGUGGCAGCAGAUUUCCAGAUGUAAUACAUCCGGGUGGAAGCGGCGACAGCCGGAUGUAAAGUGGCGGCAGCCGGAUGUAAAGUGGAGGCAUAGCCGAGUGGAAAGUGGCCGCAGUCGGGUGGAAUUCCUACCCGGGUGGAAUGUGCAGGAUCCCAUACUCCUUGUAUUCUGGAUUUGCUUAAGGAUUCCAAAGAACUCUUCUCAAUCUCGGAUUGCUUUGGUGAUCAAAAAGCUAUCAAAACACCAAAACUUAACACAAUUUGAUUAGAAUUGAUUGUAAGGGUCCUUAAUAUGUUAAUUGGGUUAAAAGGUGAUAACUACUACUCAAAAGUGUUUAAAAGAGUUAAUUACAAGCUAUGAAAUAGUACUUUUUGAGUAGUAAUCAUCUUCCUAGGUUAUUCAAAUGAAAAGUUUAGGUACAAGUUAUGAGAUCUAGCUACCAAAAAAAUUAUAAAAAGUAGAGAUGUUGUCUUCUUCGAAGAUCAAACCAUUGAAGACUUGGAUCAAGUUAAGAAGUUAAAGCCUUUUAGUGAAGAACAUGUUGAUUUGGGUCCAGUCUCUCCUAACUCUGUGAGACAUAAUGAACAUAAGGAAGUUGUGCAAGAAGAACAUGUUGAUACAGUUGAUAGAAAUGAUGAGUCUACAGUUGAUGAUGUAAAGAAAAUUCUAUAGUUGAGAAUGAUGACCUAGAACAGCAACAAGAACAAGCUACUUCAGAGUUGCCUACUAAAACACAAUUAAGAAGAUCUACUAGAGAGCGUCAACCUUCUAGAAGGUAUACUAGUGAUGAGUAUUUGUUGCUUUCUGACGGGAGAGAGCCAGAAAAUUAUCAAGAGGUUUUACUACAUGACGAGAAAAAAAGUGGUUGAGAGCUAUGCAUGAAGAAAUGAAAUCCUUGCAUAAGAACAACACUUAAUGAAUUGAUGGAGUUGCCUAAGGGUAAGAGAGCAUUGAAGAAUAGAUGGGUACUGAAAAGGAAGCCUGAACCAAACAAAUCAUAGCCAAGGUACAAGGCAAGAUUAGUUGUGAAGGGUUUUAGUCUGAAGAAAGGCAUUGACUUUGAAGAGAUUUUCUCGCUUGUGGUUAAGAUGUCUUCGAUUCGAGUUGUGUUAGGCUUGGCUGCCAGUAUGAAUCUAAAGAUUGAACAACUUAAUGUGAAGAUUGCUUCCCUCCAUGGCGACUUAGUGGAGGAAAUAUAUAUGGAGCAUCCAGAAAGGUUUACAAUCAAAGGCAAGGAAUACUUAGUGUGUCGACUGAAUAAGAGCUUAUAUAGUCUCAAGCAUGCAUCGAGACAUUGGUACAAGAAGUUUGAUUCCUUCAUGGUUGAGCAUGGUUAUGAUAGAAAUGCUUCUGACCAUUGUGUGUUUGUGAAGAAAUUCUCUUAUGGAAAAUUUAUUAUUCUCUUGCAUAUAUGGAUGAUAUGCUGAUUGUUGGUCGUGAUAUUGGUAAAAUUGAUAAGCUGAAAAAGGAGUUGAGCAAGUGCUUUGAAAUGAAGGACUUGAGGUUUGCAAGUCAGAUUCUUGGUAUAAAGAUUUCUUGAGAUAUGACAAAUGGAAAAUUGUGGCUAUCUCAAGAAAGCUAUAUGAAGAAGGUUUUAGACAAGUUCAACACAGGCAAGGCAAAACUAGUGAGCUGUCCACUUGGAAGUCAUCUAAAGCUAAGUUCCAAACAAAGUCCUUCAAGUGAGAAAGAAAAAGAAGAAAUGCAAAAGGUGCCUUAUGCAUCAGUCGUGGGUAGCUUGAUGUAUGUCAUGGUGUGCACGAGGCAUGAUAUUGCUCAUGUGUUGGAGUUGUCAGCAGGUUCCUUUCUAAUCCUAAUAAAGAACAUUGGGCUACAGUGAAAUGAAUUCUCAGGUAUCUGAGGGGUACUUCUAAUACAUGUUUAUGUUUUAGGACUAACAAACCUGUGCUUGUAGGAUGCACAAAUGCAAAUAUGACUGGGGAUGUUGAUUCUAAAAAUUCUACUUCUGGUUAUUUGAUCACUUUUUUAGGGGAAGUAGUGUCAUGACAAUCAAGGUUGCAUAAAUGUGUUGCUUUGUUGACCACAGAGGUUGAGUAUAUUGUUAUCACUGUAGCUAACAAGGAGUUAUUGUGGAUGAAGAAGUUCCUACAAGAAUUGGGUCUACAACAAGAAAGGUAUCUACUCUACUGUGAUAGUCAAAGUGCUAUUCAUCUCAGUAAGAAUCCAACUUUUCACUCUAGAUCCAAGCAUAUUGAUGUGAUAUAUCAUUUGGAUUCGUGAUGCACUAGAUAUGAAAUUGUUUUGUCUUGAGAAAAUCCAUAUUGAUGAGAAUGGAUCAAAUAUGAUGACAAAACCAAUAUUUACAGAAAAGCUACAAUUUUGUAGAAAGCAAGUGGGCUUAGUAAAGCCUCUCACAUAGUCAGAAGAGGGCCCCAUAUGCUUGGGGACCAAGUCAGUUGCAUUGAAAAAAAAAAAAAGGAAUCGGGAAAAAAAAUAGAGAAAAGAGAAGAAAGAGAGAGAAAAAACGCAUCUCACUACCUAGAUUUCAUCAAUGAGCCGUUAUCACUUCAUCUAUGGUCCGAUUGAGUUGAAAUUUGGAGAAGAGGUUUGAAACUCAAGUAGCUACAAUCUGAACGGUGGAGAUCAAAUUUUAAGCUUAGGAACUGAUAUUACUGCCCAUGAACAAAAACAACAUUUUUUAUAUACUUUCUCUAAUUUUCUUUGUUUUUGCCAAGAGAGAUUGUAUAAUCCAAGACUAUAUGUGUUUUUUUUUAUUUAUGUAUUUGGUAGCCUCUAGAAAUUAUUCUAAAAAAAAAUAGGUGUAACCUAUUAUUGUUGAUAGUGAAAGUUUGAACUGAACUAGAUCCCGUGGUUUUUCCUUUCACAUUAGGGGUUUUCCACGUAAAAAUUCUGGUGUCUAGUUUAUUUUUCUGUUGUAUGAGUUUAUUUAUUUAUUGUUGCUAGUUGAUAUUACCUAUUUGAUUUUGCACAAAAAAAUGAUAGAAAAAUUUUAGUGUUUGUUGGAAUAUUAUGAAUUCAUCCAAACAAGUCAUAUUACAUAUAAUAUUAUUUUAAUAAUAAAACAUUUAUGUCAUGUGAUUGUUUUUAAUUCAUCAUAAUUUAAAUUAAAUAUAAAAAAUUUAUUUUUAAUUAAUUAUUAUAAGAGUAUAUAAUAAAUCGUAAAAGUUAAAAAUUUGAAUUUUACCUCUCAACAAACUGUGGUCAAAGUCGUUCCCAAAUAGACCUAUAGGCUCCUAUUUCUCUUUAUUAUGUUAGGUACAACAGCCACAUAGUGCGGACAUUCGCCCACGGCAAUGGCACGAAAAUGGUUGCCACUUGUGGUUGAUCUUGAGACUUUGAGACUUGAGAGGAGCCCUCCGUCCCUCUCUAGGCAAAUAUUUUGGCAUUAUGAAUAAAGCAGAGAAGUUAGCUCUGACACUCUAAUUAAGGUGACGACAGAUUGUAUCCUAGGUACGUUUCGUAAUUGUUUAGAAAAUAGCUUUAAAAUCCAAUUUUUUAAAAUAAUUUUUAUAUAAUACUUUAUUUUUAAUCAUUUUUAAUAUUUUUAUAAUUCUUUCUUUAAAACAAUAAUAUAAAUAUAUAUUUUUACUUUUAAUUAUUAAAUACCCAUUUAAUCAUAUUUUUUAAAAAUUUGUUUUUAAAAACUAUUUUUUAUUUUUUAACUUAAAAAUAAGUUUUAAAAAAAUAUAAACCAAUGAGUAUAUGUUUUGUUUUUGUUUUUAAAAAUGAGUAAAAACAACUUUUAUUUAUUUUUAAAAAUACUUUAUUUGUAAAAAUUAUUUCCAAAAAUAAGAAAUUAUUACCAAACAUUUUCUUCUCCCCCUUAUGAAUAGAAAACACCCAUCAAAACAUUUAUUAGAGUAAAAUGUUUAGAUACACCAUCACAAGAAGUAUACCUACUUCCUCCGUUGCCUUACAUAUGCCUCAAUGCCUAGAUGUUUCACAUUGCAUAUGAGCUUGAGUUGGACCAUGGUCCUAAAAAGUUCAAUUGGGUUGCUUGUAUAUUUCAGUCAUCUCAUUUUUAAUAGACUGCGACCUCACCAUCAACAUUUACAUCAUAUACCAUGCAGCACACCCCUAUUUUUACUGCUAAUUUACCAUGCUUUUUGAUGGCUAAAUGUAAAGAAAAAUAUAUCAAAUUAUAUUAGGUAUAAAAUAUAUUUUUGUUCAUUCAAUCUCGAGUCACAACUUGUAUCUACAAAAAGGUAAUAAAAAAAAAAAUUAUUUGUUAAUAGAAUUAAAUGCAGUAGCAAUGCAUACCAGGCAACUAUCAACCACCUUGUCAACAACCACAUGUUUGUGUUUUUUUUUUGGUUAAUUUUUAUAACAUUGGGCAUGGCUUCGAGCCUUCAACUACCUGAUUCAAAGGAUUCACAGUCUAUAUUCCCAAAAUCAUCAAAACCCAUACUAGGAAACCCCCUCAAAGUCUUGGCCCAACUUUAUGGCUAUAAUAAAUACGAAGGCAGUCUAUUUAUAAGCAUAGUAUCAAACACCUCAUCUUCGUAAAACUUCAAAUUCUUUGUAGGCAACAACUUGAGUCACAAGGCUGCGAUUUCCAUGCAUGUUGAAAAGUCCCAAUAUGUUAACUCAAUUAAUUUGUGUGUCCUUUUUGGUGUUGCACUUGGAUCGGCUGCCUAAUUUUGUUGGCUUGGCUAUUAACUUUAGUUCUAGAUGUGUUCUAUGUGAUUACUUUGCAUUUAUUUUAAAGUUUCUUUUCCAUGCUAUUAUGAUCACCCACUUGUGUCUUUUGCAAACCAAUUUACACAAGUAGGAUGUAUUAGCAAUAUCAAGUUGGUAUCAUUUGUAUAUUCAUAUAUACAUGUAACAUAAGUAGAAUGUCUUAGCAUCAUAAAAUGUGAUAUUUUAUUUAUUAAAUAAAGGAAUAAAAUAAGUUAUUUUAUUUACUACAUUGGCACAGUAUUUCUAUUCAAAGUGUUUUUAAUAAAAGUAUUUUCCCUAAAAAUAUUUUUAAGAAAAUUACAUAUAAAAUGUUUUUCUAAAAAACUCUAUACAUGAUUUUUCAAUAUCAUAAGUGAUUUUUUAAAUUUUUAAAAGUGUUUCAUAAAAGUAGUCAAACACUUAAUUUUUUUAAAAACACUUUUUAAAAUAAAAACACUUCCUAAAAUUAUUGUUAAAUGAACUCAAAGUGUUCUUAGAAAAAUCAUUUAUAAAGUGUUUCUCCAUAAAAUAUUAUCAGAGCUCGUUUUAUAGUGAUUCUAGAAAGUACUUUUAAUAUUUCUAAUAUUUUAAAAUUUUAUCAUUUAAGUAUUAGAAAUAUUAAAAACAUUUUUUAGAAUCACUCCCAAACAUACUUUAUUAUAAGUGAAUUUUCGGAUUUUUAAAAAUAUUUCCCAAAUUUUGCUAUGCACCUAAUUUUUUUUUUUUUAACAAAAAUUCAAGUUGAAAGGACUUCCUAAAUUUUUAAACAUUGUCAAAUGAGAAAUAAAAUAAUAUUGCUAUUUAUUAAAUUAAUAGUCGUGUUUAAUCAUAUUAUUUAUCUAAAUGACAUUCUAAGAUGUCGUAAUUUUUACUUGAAGUUAUGUUAUUUUUCGUUUUACUUUUAUCAUAUUAUUCUAGUAUCUACUUAAUUACAAAAUAAAUAAUAAUUACAACUCAAAACAUUUCCGUAUUUAAUACAAAAUAACAAAUUUUUAAUACAUUUUCACUAUCUCUUCACUUGGUAAAAGAGUACAAAAAAAAAAAUAAUGAGAAAAUUAUUUUUACUUGGAGUAGUGGUUUUUUUUUUUUACUAUUUUUAUCUUAUUUUUUAGGACCUAUUUACGAAAUAAAUAUUUAUUGAAACUUAAAACAUUUUUUGUAUUAAUUUGAUACAUAUUAAUCAUUUUCUAGUACAUUUUCAUUUGUUACGUGUACUUAGGGAAAGAAUGUGAUAAAAAAGGUAUUGAGAAAAAUACUAUUAUUGUUUUAUUUGAUUUGGACAAAUGUGAUGUGGUGUGUCAAGUCGUGAUUGAUGGUUACGUUUAGUUACGACAAAGUACUCAAAAAUAAAUAAAAAAUAUUAAAAAAUUAUUUCCUUAUAUUUAAUUUUAUUAUAAAAAAAAUGAUUAAAAUUAAUAAGAAAUUUAUAUAUUUUUAAUUUUUUUUAAAAAUUAAAUAAAUAAAAUGAAUUUAAAAUAAUAUAUAAAAUUAAUUUAAUAAUUUUAAAUCUAUUUUUCUUUUUAUCUGUCUUUUUCAAAUCACAAUCCGAGUGAGUUUGAAUACAUUUAUUUCUUCAUUGUGAAACAACCUAUGAUUGAAGAAUGCGUGGAGUGACAAGUAUUUAUAAAAUAUUUUCUCCAUGGAAUUAAAUAUGAAUGGACCAAAUUGGAAAAAGUGUAGCAUCACUUUCGUUUUCAAAUUUCCUCUGCCGGGUUUCAUAAUCAUAGUUUAUGAGCCGAAAGUGGGCUAAGUCUCUUUUCAACCUUAACUAAAAUCCUGUCUGCCACGUGACCUCGGGGAGACAUAUUAUUAUAUUUUGAGAAAAUGAUAAAAAAAAUAUAUAUAUAUAUAUAUAUAUUAAUCAGAGAGAUUAUCAAUUUUCUAAAAAAAAUAUUAAUUAUUUAACCUUUUUUUUAAAAAAAUCACCUUCUUAGGUGGGAGGAAAUUAAAUUAAUAAAUAAACUUUAUAUUUGAGUAGGCCAAUGGAUACGUUCUUAACCAGGCCAUUUAAAAGACAGAUUGUUAUGGUUUGAUUUUGGGCUGGAUUUAAGCCCACAUCUACAAAUUGGCCGGCCCAUUUUAUGGGCCAGCAGUAUGGAAAUAAAGCCCAUAGAUCCUACUCUGCCCAAAACACACUCACAAGUAUCUCAAUGCUUUACAGGCGAUGAUUAGGGUUGCAAUUCAAGCCAAGCCCAAUCUUAUUUCUUUGUCAAAUGGGUUUAGGUGGAUAAGUAAUUAAUUAUCUUUUAAUUUAUAUCCUUAAAAUUAACUACUACAUUAUUUAUAAAGAUGAUUAAUUAAGUAUGCCUAAAAAAAUAUAGUAUAGUAUGUUUUCCAAGAUUAGAAAUAUUUAAUCAACAUAGUGAAAAAAUGGAAUAGAAAAAACUUAAUGGAAAUUACGAAUUCUUAUCAUGUUUGUGUUCAAUACCGACAUUGCUCCAUUUUUUAUUUUAAAUUUUGUGUUAUUCACUUUAUUUUUUAAUUAAUAUAUUGGUUGCAUUAGAAGUAAAGGCAAUGCACUUGUAUGAAUCUCACUUGAAUGGGAUAGAAUGUGAAGAAUUUGAUAUUUGAAAGCAAGUGUAAAACUUCAAUUAUGGUAAAAAUAGAAUAAAAGUAUUUUAUAUAUUUAUAAUUAAUUUAUUAAGUCAAAAUCACUUGAUAUGUAAUUUAUAGCUUUAAAUAAUUUUUAUCACUAGAAUUUAUGGGACUGAAUAUAAUUAUCCAUUUUGCACAUGUGUUUGUAGGGAAGAUAUUGCUAAGAGCUAUAUUGACAUUGUAUCUUGGAGUGACUAUUAAUUAUCAGUACCCAUGUAUAGGGAUAUGAUAAUAGCUUUAAAACAAUGUAUCUGCAUGUGCAUUUCCAAAAUAGGUUAACUUUCUUAUCUCUAGUUAUAUUAUUUAUUUUCAAUAUUGAUUUAUCAUUUUAUUUGUGUGAGUUAAAAAAUUUGUGUUUUUUAUAUUUUCUCUCUCUCUCUCUCUCUCUCUCUCCCUUUUCCUCUCUCUCUUUCACACCAUACCCCUGACUCCCACACCACUAUCACCAUCCAUGGUGAAGCUCACCACAAGUGACUAUUGUCAGCUCAACGUCACCAAUGACAUUUCUCCACCAUGACACCCAUUCCUUCCAUUGUCAUUUCAAAAGUUUAAAAAAUGGUAAGUCUUCCAUUUUUUUUCUUUCUUUAAAUAUUCAUAGUGCAUUGUUUGGAGACUUGGGUAUUGUCUAUUGGGCUUUGGAUUUUGUUUAUGGGCUUUGAAAAUAUUAGGCUUGCAUGGUUGUUGAUUUUGGCUGCUAAUUUGUGUGAUUCGGGUUUGUGUAUUUAUUGGAUAUUAAAUUAGGCUUGAGUUGUUGGAUAUUGUUGUUGGGCCUACUUGAAUUUAUUUGAUCUUUGUUGAUGGGGUUUGCUUAUAUUUGGGCUGAUUUGGCAUUGCAUCAAGGAUAGGAAGAGGCAAAUUUGGUGCAUAGUGUAUUAGUUAGAGGCGGUUAGAGUAAUUGGAGACAAGGUAUGGACAUGGGCAAAAAGAUGGUGGGACUUGAUUUGGGAUAAAAAGAGGGAUUAAAGCAAGAGGAAGAGAUGAAGGACAACCUUUUAGAUUUUUCUCUACUCUCUUUGUAUUUUCUAUGAGUUUUUUUUGUGAGAGAUUGAGAUGUUUUUAGCAUUUCUGGCUUUUUUUGGGAACCUAUGGAGAGCUAGUAGACUUGGGAUUGCAUUGUAAAAGGUACAACUGUUUAUCCUUGUUCUUAUUUUAAGUGUAUUUGUUUUGUUAUUCAUUAUCUUGUACAUAUGUUAUUUCAUUUAUUUUGAUAUCCAAUAAAUAUACGUCAUCUAUUAGUUUUGUUGUUGUUGAUGCCUUUAUUUAUAUAAUCUAUUUUUUUGUUUGUGGAAUGAACCUAUAAUAAAAUAUUGUUUCAAAAGUUAUUUUUUAAUAAACGUUUUUUUUAAUAAACCACAAUUUCUUUUUGGAAUGAAAAUUUAUUUAUUUUUUUAAUAAAUGGAUUUUUUUUUUUGUUUUUUUGUUUUUUGUUUUUGUUUAGAAUUAUCUUGUUUUAUGAUAUGAUUUUUUUUUAUUUGAUUUGAUUUUCUUUUUCCUUUUUUGGGUAAGAUCAUUUUAUUUAUUUAUUAUUUAUUAUUAUUAUUAUUUAUUUCUUUAUACACAAAUAAAGAACUUUUUAAAACAAAUUGUAAAACCAUUUUUUUAUAUAAAAGUAAAAAAGAAACAUUUUUAUAAUACAAUUGAAAAGAAAAAAUUAUUUUAAAAAUAUUUUUUUCUAAUAAAAUGGAAUUUCUAUUUUUUAAGAAAUUGAGAUUAUCUUUUAAUAAAUUUCUUUAAAUUUUUUUUUUAAAAAUAAAAUCUAUUAUCAUGUUGUUAACAAAUUUGAAAAUUUUUUUAAUAUAAUAAAAAUGUGUUAGAGAGUAAUUUUAGAAAAUGUUUCUAGCAUUUUUAACACUUAAAUGAUAACAAAUUUUAGGUGUUAGAAAUGUUAAAAACGUUUUUUAAAAUCACUACCAAAUAGGCUCUAAGUUUGAAAUAAUUAAAUAAGUAUUUUCUAAUUAUAUGAAAUAAAAAUCACUAUUUUUUCACAAUAAAAAGUGCAUCUCGUCGUUCAAGUGGGGAGACACGUGAAAAUGCAGGUCCAUAAAAUGUUGACUCCAUUAGGGAUGUUUAAAGGUCAAGUUUGAAGUCGAGUUGAGGGAAAUGCGGCGUUUGAUUAAUCGAUUAGUAGAUAUCUUCUCAUGAUGCCUUUGUAAUAUAUUUGUAUAUUUUAGGGCACAUGAGGGUUGACAUAAUGAUUAUUUUGUGUAUAUGUUGCCUGUGCCUUACUAUGUAUUGAUUAUUGUUAUCAUGUGUAUUUGUAUAUAUCUGUUUUGCAUGUUUGUGCUAUAUGACCACCCUUUUUCUGCAUGAUGCAUACUUGGUUGUUAUGUUCAUUUGCGAUAUUAAUAUGUUGAUUACAUCGAUUGAUUCUCUUGCCAUGAUUGCCCUGCUCACUUUGACAUGUUUAUUCUCAUUCGUCUCGAUGUGAUUGAUUCUCUUUAUUGUAUAUUAUUUUGUCCAUCUCAACAGAUUGUCUAUCUUUGUUGUAUACUCAUCUUGUUUAUCCUAUUUCCUUAGCUUGUUUUUAGAUUUGAAUGAUAUACCUACUCUUUGUAUGACUGUAUGUUGCAUGACUACUCUUCUUCUACUUGAUGCAUGUAUCUCUUGUCAAUGUGGGACACACAUGUGUCCCUUUAUCUCCAAUCCCCUAGUCUCAAUCAACCAUGUUUCCCUUGAUCUCAUAUUUGGUAUGAGACUUGUUGCUUUGUUUGCUCUCUGAUCGAGUUGGUGAUUCGAAGUAGGGUCUAGCGAUGGACUAUAUCUAUGUUUAGGAGCAUUUUGGAGGAGGCCGACACAUUGAUCCUGACUGGAGUCCGAUCAUUGGACUUGUAUAGCUUAGAGCUAGAUUUCAUGGAUAUUCAUGUGACCAAUGUGUUUUCUUUCUUGUUUUAACUUUAUAGGUUUAUCAAAUGCACUUAUACCACUCACUAUGCACCUUAGAUCGUUGCUAAUGACCAGAGUUGUGAGAUGCACCAACAAUUAGGAGAUACUACACCAUAGAAAGCCCCUUGGGAUGCGAGAUAGUGCUUGUGUGGAGGUGAUGACCACCUUGCAUGGAAGCGCCCUAUCUGGUCGAAGGCGUGUAGGAGGUUGCAUAUUGUUGAAGGGUGUGAUCGGUUUUUCUAGAGAUCCUUUAAAGUCCACCCCUACACCCCACGUGUGAGCCUUAAAUCCCUUUAUUAAGAUUCAUUUCUCACACGUGGGUGCAUCUGAGAGCCUUUGGGGCUACUUUAGUCAUAGCAUGGAUCUAGUACUCAUUUUUUUGGUCUCCAGUUGAGUAUGCUCAAAGAUUAGUGCAAGUUUGUGUAUUAGUUGGACCAUUAUUUGUCAUGUUGCAUUAGAUUCUUUAUUUCGCUUGUUGAGUUUGACAUGUUUUCUCUCUAAGGCUUUAGUUAGUCUUACUUUCUUAUCUUAACACAUUUUUUCAAUUUGUUAUUGCAUUGUUUGCUUGAUACUUUAGGAUAAGUUCAUCGAUCAUGAUCACCUUUUUGCAAUGUACACUUGUCAUGGUCAAGGUACCACAUUCUUUAUUUGAUGCUUGAUUCCAUUUUCACCUCGAUGCUCAUAUUUUCAUUACAAAAAGGUGAAGAACAUGUUUUCACAUUCACACUUUUUUUUAGAGAUUCUCCUUUAUCAUCUUAUGAUUUUCCUUUAUAGAGCUCAAUUUGGAAGUUGAGUCAGGUGGAUCCUAUUAUAGAUGGAGCAUUGAUUUUGUGAUAGCACUGUUCUACACAUCUCUUAUAUCUUAGAUUAUUGAUAUGAAUUCUCUAGUCACAUUUGUAGCCAUCUCAUAGAGGACACCUUUAUGACUCUUUAGCUCCUAUCAUACAUCUAGAUUUUGCAUUUCCACCUUAGGAGCAUGUGUUUGCAUGUCACAUUGUUGCCUUUAGAGUCUUCUUUUGUGUCCCAUGUCCAUUUUGAUUAUUUUGCAUUGUAGGGAAUCAACCUAGGAGUUGGUUGAGUAUGAAAUUGUAGCCUUGGAGGAGGGUUGGAGGCCAAUUGAUCAUAUCAGAUUCAUAUCAAAGUUCAGAUAGUUCACUUGAGAUGUCAGACGAGUUAGCUUCUACACUUGCUUCUAUUCAAGAGUUCAUGGCUAGGAUGAGUAAAUGUUUAGAUCAAAUAGAGAGAUCACGCUAGAAUUACCAGCUAAUGGCAUGGGUACAAAUGAGACAACUUCUCAUGCAUCUCAAACAACAUAGGUUCUUCCACCCAGGGCUUCACAUGGCAUUCCAUUCCAUUUAUCAGAUCAUUGUGAGACUACUCCACCAUCCGAUGUCAUAAUGUCGCCUCCUAUUGUACUUGUUAUUGAUGACAUUGAUUAGUUGAGCAGGAGGGCAAGAUUGAGAGGCUUGAGUCCAGGAUGAGAUAGAUCAAAUUGUAGAAUGGAGGUUUGACCUAGAAUGACAGAGAUGACAUAUUGGCGGCUAGCUUGCCCACCAAGUUUCGCAUGCAAGACAUCGAUCACUACAGUAGAGUUGGUUGUCCAAAGAUCCAUCUGACUCUCUACAGCACAAUCAUGAGAGCACACAGGUUAGAUGAUGCACAAUUAAUGGCUUUCUUCUUCAUGUCACUUAGUGGGGCAACUCAGAUAUGGUUUGCCUUAGUUGAGCCUUCAAGACUUUGCACUUGGGAGGAUAAGACUCAUGAGUUCUUGACUCAGUUCGCCUCCAGUGCCGACAAUGAUGUCUCCAAACGAAAGCUAGGGGCUUAAAUAGAAACCAAAAGAUUUUAUUUCUUCAUUUGUUAGUCGUUAGGGGGCAAAUGUGGUUGGUAUGGUAGAUUGGCCUAAGGAGCAAGAUCAUAUUGAUAUGGUUCUUCAGAACCUACAUUUGAGGUUUGUUAGAUGCCUCAUGAGCAUUCUAUUCCAAGAUCUCAAGAGUUUGGUUUAGACUAUUUUCAGUGUUGAGGAGGCCAUUGCUUGAGAAUUAUGGAUAAAUAUUGUUUUUUCCCCUGACAGUAAGGAGAAGAAGUCGAUUGGAUCAUCUGGGAAGACUGGAGAGGUUAACACCAUUAGUUGUUAGCAUCAGAGGCCUACUUGCCACUCAUAUUAUAGGUUUCCUACAACUAGAGCUCAUUUCUAUCAUCCGUAAUAUCAAUAUCAAUCGGUUUAUGUUCAACAACCUUUCAUUACUCAAGCUAGUGUACAGUUGUGACAUCACCUCUAAGAGCUACUACUCGCCAGCUACCUAGACUAUAUGAAUAGAGGCAUGUGAGACAAUUCACUCCAUUAGGCAUGACUUUGACUAGAGCUUUUGAGAAGCUUAGAAACGUUGGCUUAAUUGUUCCUUUGGCACUAUGCCCCUUGCCACAUCCUAUUCCUCCUUACUUUCACCUACAUAAGCACUGUGUGUUUCAUCAGACUUAGGGACAUGCUACUGAUUAUUGCUCAACACAUUGCAACUUGUCAAGACCAAGUGUGAUCACCAAUUCCUUGCCUACACAUUUUGUACAUGUUAUUCCCUCACCUUCUAGUCUUUAAUAGAGCAUUGUGGAUGUUGAUGAUAUUCGGGGAUCGCCUGCCACUUUGAGAUUUUUCUUAGUUGAGGCUUUCUUUCAAUUGAUAUGGGUGCAUCACUUUAUAGAGUUUUAGUAUAAAGUGUACAUUGGUUUGGUUGUGGAAGUCAUUAGAGUCUUUUUUUUUUUUUUUUGUUUAGUCUAGUUUUUGUUCAAAGUCACAAUUUAUAGUUCAUGUUAAGAGUUUAGUUGUUCGUAGUCUUUUACGUUACACACAUAAUGUAUUCAUUGGUUCAUUUAGUGAUAUGAUCUUUUUAUUAUGAGUAUAUUUUCUUUUCUUUCUUAUGAGUAUAUUUUACAUUUUUUGUAUUGAUGUGUUGCGUUGUUUAUAUGCGACAUUUUUCACUUGCAUAUCAUGGUUACUUGGGCCAAAUUUAUCAUGAUGGAUAUUAAGCUUUCUUACCUAGGUGUGGACCCCGCAUUUUGAUCGAUGCGUUCCCACUCGAUGGCGAAAACUCGUUUUUUUUUUUAUUAUGCUUAAUAAACAAUAGAUUGUAUAAAGAAAAAGAGAUGAAGAACACCACCUAUGAGAUACGAUAGAAUGCAAUAAUGUGAUGGUAGGAAAAAAUGAUGAGAGAAAGAUGCACCUGUAGGUCCAAGACUCACGAGACUCGCAAACAAUGCGUGCAUACACUAAAGGGCCCCUAUCCCGGUGUAGAAAUAUGAACAAGGCUAUCACAAAAGAAAUGCUAUAAUACNNNNNNNNNNNNNNNNNNNNNNNNNNNNNNNNNNNNNNNNNNNNNNNNNNNNNNNNNNNNNNNNNNNNNNNNNNNNNNNNNNNNNNNNNNNNNNNNNNNNUUUUCUUUUUCUAUUUUGUCUGGUGACAAUCUGAUUUUUAGAAAAAAACUCGGAGUCGCCACUUAUUUUUAUUUUAUUUCUAAAGGGAAAAACAAAAUAAGAAAGAAAAACCCUAAGUGUGACUCCAAGUAUUUUUCUAAAAAUCAAAUUUUCACCAAACAAAAUAAAAAAGCUAGUUUUCGCCAUCGAAUGGGAAUGCAUCGAGCAAAAUACGGGGUCCACAAAAUGGUGACUCCACUACGGAUUUUUAGAGGGUCAAACUUGAACUCGAGUUGAGGGGAAUGUGGCGUUUGAUUGGUCGAUCAAUGGAUACCCCUCUCUAUGUGUCUUGGUAUGAUUGUUUGUUGAUUACACGUUGAGAGCUUUGAUAUGUUUGUCUAUAAUAUAUGUUUGGCUAUUAUGUUCGUUUGUGAUGUUGACAUGUUGAUUACAUCGAUUGAUUCUCUUGCCUACUUUAGCAUAGUGACUUUUCUUGUUAUAUGAUUAUUUUGCUUUCCUGGACAUGUAUAUUCUCAUUUUUGUAUAUCUUAUUCAUCUUGGCAUGAUUGAUUCUAUUCGUUGUAUAUUAUCUUGACAUAUUGUCUAUUCUUGUUAUAUUCCUAUCUUACUUAUCAUAUUUUUGCCUAGCUUGUGUGUAGAUAUGAGUUAUAUACUUGUUCUUUGCAUGACUGCUUGGUGCAUGACUGCUCUUCCUCUGUGUGAUGCAUGUAUUGUUUGUCUGUGUGAGAUACACAUCUAUCCCCUUACCUCCAACUCCCUAGUUUCGGUCGACCUUGUUUUCCUUGAUCUCGUAUUUGAUAUGAGAUUUGUUGCUUUGUUUGCUCUUCAACUGAGCUAGCGAUUAGGAGUAGGGUCUAGCGAUGGGCUAUAUCGAUGUUUGGGAGCAUUCUGGAGGAGGCCAACACGUUGAUGCUAAUUGGAGUCUGAUCUUUGAAGACUUGUAUAGCCCAGAGCUAGGUUUCAUGGAUAUUUAUGUGAUCAGUGUGUUUCUUUUUCCACUUUAGCUUCAUAGGAUUUUUGGAUGCACCCACACCACUCAUCGUGCACUUUAGUCGACUACUGAGUGUUGAGAGUUUUGAGAUGUUUCACCAUAGGAAACCCCCUAGAAUGUCGAGGUAGUGCAUGUGUGGAGGUGAUGAUCACCUUGCAUGGAAGCACCCCGUCUCUUCGGGGGAGUGCAGAGGGUUGCGUACCGCCGGAGGGUAUGAUCGUUUCUGCUAGGGAUCUUUUAAAGUCCACCCAUAUCCAUUUAAAGCCACCUUGACCUCGUAGGUUGAGCCGUAGAUUCUUCUAUUAGGACUUCCUACCUAUACGUGGGUGCAUUUGAGGGCCUUCAGAGCCUCUUUGGUCAUAGUUGGGAUUCAGUAUUCCCUCUUUUAGUCUCCAAUUGAGAGUGCACAGAGAUCAGUACGGGUUUGAGUACGGUCGGACAAUCCGUUUUCGUUUUUUAUGCCUUGCUCAUUCUAGUUCAUACUAGCAUUUCUUCCAUGUUUUCUCUGUUUUCCCUGUGGCUACCAUUCUCAUGCUUCAUGCUCUUUAGGAUUGGUUCUUCAUUCUCAGUGUGGAUUUGUCAUCUUAGAUCAGAGUAGAGGGAGACUUAGUUCGCUUUUCUGAGAGAUUAGACAUGGAUCAACGGGUUGUCACAGUUGAUUAGUUCACGACCGCUAUGGCUUCUAUUUAGGAGGCUUUGUCCAGUCUCAGACAGGAGAUAGACAGUCAGCAGAGUAAACAGCUUGUAGUUCAGGAUGAGACGCCUUAUGAUUCAUUGCCACCUUAUCUAUUACAUGGUCAUUCUGAGGUUGCCUCACCUGUAGUAGUACAUACCAAAGUCCUUGAGGAUACGCAUGCAUGGAUCGUACUGAGCAGCGUAUCAGGCAAUUGAGGGUAUUUGACAGUUCAUCAGCUUGGGAUGAUCUUGAUAGUAUACUAGUGGCUAAUCUACCAGCCAAGUUUAGGAUUCUUGACAUUGAGAGGUACACGAGCGUUGGCUGUCUAUGUAUUCAUCUUCGACUCUACAGUACUGUGAUGAGGGCCCAUGGGUUAGACAAGUCAUAGAUGAUCACCAUGUUUCCUUUAUCUUUGAGUGGUGCAGUCCACCAUUAGUUUGCAUCUUUGGAGUCUUCGCGACGCAGGAUAUGGGAUGACCUAGCUUAGGAGUUUCUGUGAUAAUUUUCAUUUAGUACUGUUGUAGAUGUGUCGAGGAGAGAGCUUGAGGGUUUCAGAUGGAGAUCAGAUGAUUCCAUGUCUUCCUUCCUCUCCCGCUGGUAGGGGAAGAUAGCAGAGAUUGUUGAUUGACCAUUAUAGAGAGGUGACUUAGUCUUGAGGGUCAUCGGAGGAUUGAUUAGAGAUCCUAGAGGGAAGUUCAGACCUAGCUAGAGUGGACCUUAUUUCAUUAGGGAGUUAACUCCAGAGGGUGUCGCAUGGUUGAUGGAUCUAGAUGGAAACCGAUUCUCAAAGCCGACCAAUGUGGAUUAGCUAAAGAGGUACUAUGUUUGAGACCAUGGUCGUAGGAUAGGUGACCAUCAUUUUGGUUAGCCAUAUACCCUUUCACCCUUUUGAUACAUAGACCGUUGCUAGCCCAUUGAGUCUCGCAUGUGUAUUAUAGCAUUUCUUUCUUAUAGCCUUGCUCAUAUUUCUACACCGGGAUAGGGGCCCUUUAGUGUAUGCACGCAUUGUUUGCGAGUCUCGUGAGUCUUGGACCUACAGGUGCAUCUUUCUCUCAUCAUUUUUUCCUACCAUCACAUUAUUGCAUUCUAUCGUAUCUCAUUGGUUGUGUUCUUCAUCUCUUUUUCUUUAUUCAAUCUGUUGCUUAUUUUGCUUCAUAUUCUUUCCACCCUAAGUAGUGAUCCUCCUCAGUUCAUUAUAUGGGGGAUAGUCACAUCAUUUCCACUAUCUAUCCUACGAACAUUGAUUUAGAGAUCCUUAGUUUGAGAAGGUCAUCUUAUCAGAGAGAGUUUGUUUGUUACCUUAGCACUUGGGAGUGUGUCUAUUUUUUAUUGAUAUCAUUUUUGGGGUUCAUUUGUUUAUGUUCAGGGUAUGUGUAUUUGUAUAUAUGUAAAAAAAAAAAAAAAAAAAAAAAAAAAAAAAAAAAAAAAAAAAAAAAAAAAAAAAAAAAAAAAAAAAAAAAAAAAAAAAAAAAAAUUCUUUAUUACUAUUAUUACCACAUGUGUGUAUGUGCAUAGUGUUCCCAAUCAUUGGGUAUGUAUAUCAAUGUCGGGGGGUCAUUUUUAUCAAGUAUGUUCUUUAUUGGAAUUUCGUAUGUGACCUCCCUAAAAUCCCAUGUUAUUUGUAUUGCUUCCCCAAAUCUAUUUGGGAAAAAAAUAAGUGACCUUCCCCUAAGGACCCCAAGUCAUUGUCCUUUCCAUCAUUACGUUCAUUAUUGAUGUGACUUCAUUUCAUGUUUGAUCUAGGUCAAUCACCACUUUUCUUCACGUAUUCAUUGUAUCCCCAUCGUUUUUAUCGUUGCUUGGGAUUCAUCUCAUUCCCUUCCCAUCUUAUUCUCUCCUUACAGCGACCCAUCUCAGGUUCAAUGCUCAUUUCGCAUCAUCAUUACACAUAUCACUAUCAGUUCAUCCCGUUUCAUUUGUCUCCUUAUCGAUAUCAUAUUCACUUUAGGCAUCCUCAGGUCCAUGGCUCAUGGGGUUCACUAUACAUGUUGCAUUUCAUAUAUGAGGGCAUGGUUUUCUAAUCAUCGGGNNNNNNNNNNNNNNNNNNNNNNNNNNNNNNNNNNNNNNNNNNNNNNNNNNNNGUUCAUUUUUAUUGUAUAUUUUGAGAGCGAGAUGAGUGAUUUAGGAUUUUUCUUUCUUAUUUUGUUUUUCCUUUUAAAAAUAAAACAAAAAUAAGUAGCGACUCCAAGUUUUUUUCUAAAAAUCAAAUUUUCACCAAACAAAAUAAAAAAGAAAGUUUUCGCCAUCGAGUGAGAACGCAUCGAGAAAAAUACAGGGUCAACACUAGGAUUAGGAGGUCAACUGAGGGAGUUUGAGAUUGUGACACAUUUUACCAAUGUUUUAAAAACCGGACCUAACCGGGCGGUCCGACCAGUCGGGCUAUCGACCGGUGACCUUUUUAGUUCAGUUCCUUCUUUUGGGCCGACUAUCAAUUGGACCGGUGUUGAACCGCUUGAGCCGAUUGUUGAACCGUCGAAUUGCUUAGAUCGGGCGAUUCUAGGAAAACUGAACGAUUCAACACCCUCGGCCUUUUUUGACUAAGUGGGCCACUCCUUCACGACCCAACAAUAAUAGUCUACCAUUUUAUUUUUUAUUUUUACAAAAUGGGUUUCUCUCCAUGGCUCAACAUUAAAUACCCCCCCAAUCUUGCAAAAUGGGCCCCCUUACUCAAGUAUCAUGCAAUAAGGCCCACCAACCACUUCGCUUAACCACCUAGCUUCAAUUAGAUGGGAAAAGGUUUAUAAAACACUCUAUUUUUUUUUUCUUACUUUUGAUGUGGGAUAAGGUAAAGGGAUUUAAAAGCAAAAAUCAACUUUGCUCCAAGCUGCAACAAGAGGGUUUGAACCACGAACCACAAGCUCAUAAUGGCAUAACCCCUCUACUAUGUUGUAUCUUUGUUUGUGUUAAUAUUUAACAGAAAAUAACUACAUAGGCUAUUUCAAAAAAUAAUAUAUAUAUAUAUAUAUACAUAUCACUUUUUUUUUCAUUUUCAAUUUGUUUUCAUAUUUAAAUACAAUUUUUUUUAUCAUUUUGAAUAUAUUUUCAUAUUUAAAUAUUGUUAUAUUUUGUUUAAUAAAUUUAAACCAUUAAUACAUUUAUAUAAAAAUGAAUAAAUAAUAUUAUAAACAUUAUUUAAUUUUUAAUUAUAUAAUUUAAAUAUUUUAUAAUUAUUUUUAAUUUUAAUAAAAUGUAAAAUAUAGAUUUAUGACAUUGCUGGUUCGACUAUGAACCGUGAACCAAUAAUUUUUUUGAUUCAAUAUCCGAUCCGGUUCUGAAAACAUUGCAUUUUACCUUCUGAUCAGAGUAGCAUCUUAUACAUAUCCAUACCUUGACUUUUUAGUCUUGAUGACCUACCCAUGUUGAGCCUGGUAUGACACCACCCAUUGGUACCACUAUAUGAUCUUGCAAUCUUUGUCCAUCUUAUCUUAGUAUAGUACCAUUGCGUAUUCUUUUCAUCAUUUCUUUGAUCUGACAAAGUAAAAUCUAAGAUGAUUGGACCUGAGCUGAGCUUUGCAUCUUGAUCAAUGAAUUAUGAUGAGAAAGUGGUUUGACUGCUUGAUGACAUUGUUGACUAUUACAUGGUUGAGAUAGGCAUAGAGUUUUAUUGUAGAGUAUCCAUAUUGAGCUUUGACACAUGCCUUCAGAGGAUAAGCAUGACUUUAGAGGUUUAGCAUGACGAGAGAUAUUGAUUUUAUGAGAUGAUGACGAGUGGCUUGUGUUGAUAGAGUGGGUUGAUUGUCAGAUGACAUUGAUGAUUAUUAUAAAGUAUCAAGAGUUGGAGCUUUCACAUGAUUUCAGUGGAGUUGAUGUGGCUAUGUUAAAUGGAUACUAGUCUUUAGUGUUGAUCAUGUGAGAUCUUGAGAGCACGAUGUUCGAGGUUGUGGUUCAAGGAUGAGUAGCCAUUAUUUCAUGAUCCUAUUUACUUUAUCACUCUCACAUAUAGAGUUACCUAUUGUUGGCCCUUCGAGCCUCACAUGAAUAUUUUAGUUUUUUUUGUCUUAUCACAUCAUUUACUUUUUUUUACCACGUUAGGGACCUUAUCGUGCUUACAUGAUUUGAUAGGAGCCUCAUGAGUUUUGACUUGACAAACGUAUUCAAGUCUUAUCUCUCACUCUUCAUUGUGAUAUUUUCUUCCACUUUGACAUCACCCUCAUCAAUUUUUUUUUUUGCUGAUAUCACAUAUCACCACUUGAGAUAUUCACUCUAUUUCUUUUCCCUCAUCAUUGUCUACUUGACAUUAUCCUUGUUUCACCUUGAUUAGUGGUUUUCCACACAUUGCUACAUGGAAAGGGUCUAACUAUUUAUCUUUAUCCCCAUUUUGCAUGUAUUUGUUUUAUUAUUCAAUACCUUUAACAUAUGUUAUUUCAUUUAUUUUGAUAUCUGUGAACAUGUAUCAUCUAUUAAUUUUGUUGUUGAUGCAUUUAUUUAUAUAAUGUUCAAUUUUUCUGAUUAUGGAACGACCCAUAAUAAUUUUUUUUUCAAAAAUUAUUUUUUAAUAAACUAUUUUGUUUGGAAUGAAAAUUUAAUCUUUUUUAAAAAUAAAUGAUUAUUUUUUAGAACUGUAACUAUUUUGUUUAAUGAUUUGAUUUGAUUUUUUUUGGGUAAGAUCUUUUUAUUUUUUAUUUAUUUAUUUACAAAUAAAGACUUUUUUUAAACAAAUCAUAAAACAAUUUAUAUAUAUAUAUAUAUAUAUAUAUAUAUAUAUAUAUGAAAGUUAAAAAGAAACAUUUUUAGAAUACAAUUGGAAAGAAAAAAAAUAUUUUUAAUUUUUUUUAAUAAAAUAAAUUUUCUCUUUUUUAAGAAAUUGAGAUUUUCUUUUAAUAAAUUUCUUUUUUUAAUAAAUUAUUAUUUUUUUUUAUAAAUAUAUUAUCAUGUUGUUAAAAAAUUUGAACUUUAUAUAUAUAUAUAGAAUAAGUUUGAAAUAAUUAAAUAAGUAUUUUCUAAUUAAAUGAAAUAAAAAAAAUCACUUUUUGGUAAAUAAAUUUGAAUUGGACUGUUAUUGCAAAUAAAAAUGAAAAAAAAAAAUCUUGUUUUUAAUAAAAGACAAGAAAAACUCUAUUUUUAGAUAAAUUUAUUAAAAUCUUCUUCUUCUUUUUUCCUUUUUCUUUUUUUUUAAUAAAAGGCAAAUUUCUCUUCUUAAUAAAAAAAAGUGAGUAAAAGUUCCUUAUUUAAAAUAAAGCUGAAAAAAAUUAUAUUUCUAAAUAAAUUUGUAGAUAAAUAAAAUUGAAUUGAGAUCUUUUUACAUACAAUUGUAAAAAUAUGAAUUUCAUUUUUUAAACAAAAUAUAAAAUUUUGAAGUUCCUUUUUUGAAUCAAAUAUCAAAUUGAACCUCUUUUAUGAAUAAAACUUGAAAAAUCUUUUUUUUUUCUUAUAAAUUAGAAACCUUUAAAUUGAAAUCUCAUUUUGUAGAAUCAAGGAUUAUUUUAUUUUAUUAUUAUUUUUUGUAAGUCCUAAUGAAAUUGAAUAAACCUUCUUUAAAAUCAAACAAAGAUAAGAUUUCUUUUUCAAUAAAUCUUUUUUUUUUUUAUAAAAUCAAAUAAUUAAUCAUUUUUGGUAAAUAAAUGAGGGAUUGAAACCUUUUUUUUUUAAAUAAUUUUUUAAAAACUUAUUUUCCUAUUAAUAAUAUUUUUUGUAUUAAUAAAAUUGGAUUGGAUUUUAAUAUUUUUGCACAUAAAAAUCUUGUUUAUUUAAUUGAAAUAUCUUUUGUAGAUAAAGUUAUAAAAAAAGAAUCAUUUUUCUAAAUAAUUUGUAAAAAACACUUUUCUAAAUAGAAGUUAAAUUGAAAUACAUUUGUAAAUAAAACUGUAAUAAUUCAUUUACUAACAAAGGUAAAUAAAAGUCAUUUUCCUAUUAAUAAAAUCAAUUUUUUUAAUGCAAUUGUUUUUAAGAAAUUCUUUUAGCAACAAUAAGUGUAAAUGACAUUUUUGAAAAUUGAAUACAAAUAAAAUCGAAUCAAUCAUUUGUUGAAAAUAAAUCAAAACUUUUUUAUAAAUAAAUAAAUUGACAUAUUAAUUCGAAAUUGUUUUGAUAAACUCAUUUGAAAUUUCUUGAAAAGGUAAUUUUUGAAAUAUCUUUAAUUUUUUUAAUUAGCUUAAUAAAUCAAUUUGCUUAUUUCUCGUCAUCUAUCUUGUACAUUCUUGCAACCUACUUUUAGGAUUUUUUUUUUCUUGUAUAUUGGUUUGUAUCCUUUAUUUUGGUAUUGAUGAUUAAUUAAUUAAUUGUCACAAUUCCCCCUAUUCAUUUAGUAGAUAUUGUAGGUAUACAGGUUUGGAGGGGUUCUAUGACUUAUCACUAUACAUUCUCGAUAGGUAACUUGACCCUUGAAUCUAGACUCAGUUUUAGAAACAUGUCUUUUCUAAAUAAGGAGUCACAUAGGGUUUUCUUUCUUAUUUUGUUUUUCAUUUUUAAAAAAUCUAAAAUAAGUGGCGACUCCAAGAUUUUUUCAAAAAAAUCAAAUUUUCAAAAAAAAAAAAAAAAAGUUCUCGUUGUUUGAGUGAGGACACAUAUGAAAAAUGGGAGUCCACAAAAUACAGGUUUGUAAAAAACACAAGUUAGUGGUAACGUUAGGCACAACUAGGUUAACCAAACCUUGAUUGAUGAAGUCCUAAAUAGCAUGUUCAAGAGUGAAACAAUGACCUGUCAAAUGCCUUGGAGUAUAGUGGUAAAGAUAGUGCUCAUGUAGUAAAAAAUAAGGAGGAUAUGGUUGCAUCAAUGCUUUGAGGGUUAAACGGAUCAAAAGACUUGCCUUAGAGAGCUUCUGGAAAACUUAACUUAAUGGCAUCCCUAAGUGUCAUAAUUGUCUCAUAGAUCUGGGUAUAAGGGGUUUCCGAUUUUGUGCAUGACGUGGAUCGAGGUCUACCAUUUGGUUUGGGGUUUGAGCUUGCCCAUCGAGAUCAUGCCUAUGUAGUCUGUUUGCACCAAGCUCACCUCAUGGUUUGAUUGAGACACUUAUCUUUCAAUUAUCCUUUACGGCCAUAUAGUCGAAAUUGGUCAGAUUAUUUUGUUUUUGCUUCUCUUAUUGCUAUAUGUUCUGAGAAGGUAUCAAUUUAUGACUUUUCUACUAGUCCUAAAGCCACUAUGGAGUAGAUGUUUAAGUAGUUACAACUUGUUGACAAAGCCCUAGGUUCCUUUACUUCUUCGAAGAUGGCUCUAUCUCCCCUAGAUAGGGGCAACAUAUUUCCUCUACACUUCCCUUGAAAGAUUGAUGAGUACAAGAGUUUGAAUCCUAUUAAGGGUUUCUUUGAUGGAGUAACUCCCAAGGAUGAUUACUGACAUGAGUUAAACCUAUUUACCAUGAUACAAAUGUCAAGAUCAAUUAAGGUGCCAGUAGUGGGGCUGUUUGACUUGUUUGGUGAGAUGACUAUUGAGGGUGUUGUAGAGACAAAUCCAUCAAUUCCCAAGGUCACCCUACCACUUAGAGCUCAACCAAUGGUACCAAAGAUUUUUAUUGCUCCUAUUUUUUAGACUAUUAAUGUAGGCCCUUCUAUUGAGCAAGAUGUUUCUUGUGAUAUUAUAUUAGGAUUUGUCUAUCAUAUUUCUAAUGAUGUACCUAUUCUUUCAUCUAUGGGUAUGAGUUAUUUUAAGUAUUUUCCUGUGUGUUCUAGUUAUGUGCAUGAUUUUUCUCUUAGCUUGUCACAACAUCCAUCUAUUUCAUUUGUUUUCGACAUAGAUGAUGCCUCAAUCACCUGAUUCGAAUUCAAAUACCCUUUUUGGUCAUUCAAGUUACAAAGUAGAGCCUACAGAUGAAGAUUCCAAGAUUAUUGAUUUGGUACCAAGGAUUAACCUUGAGAGCUCUAGAUUGGUACUUCAUUGUCUACAAAUGAGAGGGUCGACCUUAUUUAGUUGCUUAGAGCAUAUUUAGAUGUGUUUGCAUGUUCAUAUAAGGAUAUGCCAGGAUUGGAUCCAUCAAUUGUACAACAUUGCCUACCUUUACUUCCCCAUAUCAUACCAAUUAAGCAGAGAUUGAGGAUUUACUACACCCCUGAUGGAGUCUUCAACUGGAAAAGGAGAUUCAGAAGCAACUUAAUGACAGAUUCUUAUAAAUGGUUGAGUAUCUUGAGUGGCUAGCCAAUGUCAUCCCUACUUCUAAAAAGAAUAGUAAAAGUAGAGUUUGUGUGGACUUUCGAGAUCUUAAUAAGAGUAGUUCUAAGAAUGACUUUUUUCUUCCUUACAUUGACAUGCUAGUUGAUAGUAUUGUAGGUUAUUCGAUGUUAUCCUUCAUUGAUAGUUUUUCUAGCUAUAAUAAAAUCUUGAUGGCUUCGGAGGACAUGAAGAAGACCUUUUUUAUUACUGAGUGGGGUACUUACUCCUAUAUGGUGAUUCCAUUUGGGUUGAAGAAUGCAAAAGCUACUUAUCAAAGAGCAACGACUACAUUUUCCAUGACAUGAUGCAUCAGGAUGUUGAGGUUUAUGUAAACAACAUGAUAGUGAAAUCUCAAGGUAGAGUAGAUCACUUAACAACUUUGGAGAGAUUCUUUGAGAUAAUCAGACAAUUCAGAUUGAGAUUGAAUCCCAAGAAAUGCACUUUCAAGGUGACUUUUGGGAAGUUGGGUUAUAUGGUUAGUGAGAGAGGCGUAGAAGUAGAUUUGGAUAAGAUCAUAACCAUUCUUGACAUGCCUACAUUGAGGACUAAGAGAGAGAUCAUAAGUUUCUUAGGCUUACUUUAGUACAUUAGUAGGUUCAUUACUAGAUUGACAAACAUUUGUGAGCCCAUCUUUAAACUUUUGAGGAAAAGUCAACCUAUUGUUUGGGAUGAUCAAUGCCAGCACCAAUUUGAGUGGAUCAAAGAGUAUUUCUUAUCACCUCUAGUUUUGGUACCUCCUACACCAAUUCGUCUCAUACUCUAAUACAUUUUAGUUUUAUACAUAGCCUUAAGAUGCAUGUUAGCUUAGCUCAAUGAUUUGUGAAAGAAGAAAGCUAUUUAUUAUAUGAACAAGAAGAUGUUAGAUUAUGAGAUGAGGUACAUCAUGAUUAAGUGCCUUUACUCGACAUUAGUUUGAGCUACUUGAAGAUUGAGACAUUACAUGUCAGAGUAUUCAGUACAUCUAAUAUCUUGUUUGGAUCCUCUGAGAUAUUUGUUUGAUAUACUUGUUUUGACUGGUUGACUCAUGAGAUGGUUAGUGCUUCUAACUAAGUUUGAUAUUCAUUAUGUUACAAAAAAAGUCUAUCAGAGGAAGUAUUGUCACAGAUCACUUGGCUUCAUUGUCCAUUUCAGAUGAUAGAGAAAUUAAUGAUGAUUUUCUAGAUGAUGAGGUUGUUGCAAUGGCUAGCCUGUCAAGUUGGCGUAUAUACUUCGAUGGUGUAGCCAACCAUUCUGGAUAUGGAUAGGAAUCUUGUUGAUAUCCUCUCACGGUGAUCAUAUCCCUAGAUCUGUUCGUUUGGCAUUUUCUGAUCGUCCCUCUGCCAUGAAUAACAUUGUUAAGUAUGAAGCUUUUACCCUGGGAUUAGAGACAACUCUCAAGCUUAAGAUUUGAUAGAUGGAGUUGUUUGGUGACUCAAAUUUGGUGCUCAGAUAGAUUCGGGGUGACUAGAAGACUAUAGACGUGAAACUUAGACCGUAUCAUGCAUAUUUAGAGUUACUAGUUAGGGGAUUUAAUGAUUUGAGAUAUACACAUUUGCCUAGAGUACAAAACCAGUUUGUUGAUGCCUUAGCUACUCUAGCUUCCAUGAUUAAUAUUCCUACUAAUACUAUUAUUCGCGUUUUUACUGAUUGAGUCAAGAUCUGUUAUUGCCUAUUGUUGCUUGAUUAAUAAGAUAGAGUUAGAGGACAGCUUGCCCUAGUACCAUGACAUAUAUUAGUUUCUCAAAUUUGGCAUGUAUUAUGAUGUCGCUACAACCAAGGAUAGAAGAGCAUUGGGAUAGUUAGCCACUUAAUUUGUGAUUGUUGGGGAGACAUUGUAUAGACAUUCAGUUGAUGGCAUGUUACUAUUGUGCUUGGAUUGCACCUUUAUUGAUUGAGUGAUGAGAAAGGUUCAUGUAGGGGUUUACAGACCACAUAUGAGAUCACACAUGUUAGCCUAUAAGAUCAUGAGGACCAGACAUUUUUGGUUGACUAUAGAGACAAAUUGUUGCCAUUUUGUUCAGAGAUGUCCAGAAUGCCAGGUGCAUGAGGAUCUCAUUCAUGUGUCACCCUUACAGUUACAUGCAUUGACUUCACCAUGACCAUUUUCAAUUUAGAGUAUAGACAUUAUUAGGAAGAUUUUGCUGAAAUCUUCUAGUGGUCAUGAGUUCAUCCUUAUUGCCAUUGAUUACUUAACCUAAUGGGUAGAGGUUGCCUCAUAUGAGAUAUUAACAUCAAUUAGAGUUGCUAGUUUUGUUAGAUCACAUAUCAUUUAUCGUUAUGGAGUUCCUCAUAAGUUGAUUUCAAAUAGCAAAGGUUGACACCUUGUUAUAGGGAUAUGGUAUCUAGCAUCAUAGAUGUCUAUGUAUAGGUCAUAGACUAAUGAGGUAGUAGAGGCCACAACUAAAAACAUUAAGAGGAUUUUGCGAAGGAUAGUUGAGAUUUCUCGAGAUUGGUCAAAGAAACUCUCUUUUGCAUUGUGGGCGCAUCGUACCUCCUUUCACACUUCUAUAGGAGCCAUACACACGGAGCCAAUGCUACUUGUUAAGAUAAAAAUGAGAUACUUGAGGGUAGUAGAUCAUGUUCAUGCUUAUUAGAGGAAGAUGACUUGUGCUUUCAAAAAAUAGGCCAAGCCUAGAUAGUUUCAAAAUGGUGAUUUGGUGGUAAGGAUUCUUAGAGGAAUGGUUGGAGACCCUCAUGGCAAGUUCAGGCCUAAUUGGAGUGGACCCUACUUUAUUAGAGAGUUGAACCCAUGGAGGGCUGCAUGACUAAUGGAUUUAGACAGAAAAUCGGUUUUUAAAGCCAACUAAUGCAAAUUAUCUGAAGAAGUAUUAUGUUAAGACCAUGGCUAAAGGAUGGGUGGCCCUCCUUUUAGUUAACCAUAUAUCUGAUCACCUUUAGAUUUCAUAUGAUCCUUUGCUAGCCAUUUGAGCCUCACAAAAGUAGUGGCCUUCCAUUUCUUGUCACCUUGACUGCCUUUUUCACACCCAGUUAGGACCCUAUAGUGAGUGAGAUGUGUGGUUAUAGAUUUUAUGGGCGAUUGGAUCUAGAGUGAUGUUGUGUCAUCCUUGGUUCACAUUUCCAUUUCUUAUCUUUCAGCGUAUACUUUUGUAGAGUUAUUGUCGUCAAGUAUUCCUUUUUCUUCCAGGUUUGUUGUCAUUAGCUUUUUUGCUUCCCUAUUUAACAUUUUUCUCAUUUUUCUUCUUUUACUUUUUUUUUUUCAUCACCUAUUGCCAUGGGUUGGCAGUUGUUCACUCAUCUUUGUGUUGAGGAAGAUCAUAUCACUCAUUUCAAUUUCUUAUGAGUUUGAUCUUAAGACUCUAGGGUUUUAUGAGCUCUUCAUAUCCUUGAGAUAGUAUGAUCAUACUAGGGUGAGAGAUGUGAGUUUUUUUUGUUAUGCCUACCUAGUGGAGGAUUCAUGUUGCUUGUUAUACAUACUUGACUAUGAAGAGUGUUAAAAAGAAAGAAAAAAUAAAUAAAUUUUCAUACCAAAAAUAAAUUCCAGUUUAUUAAAAAAUAAUUUUUGAGAUAAGAUUUUAUUAUGGGUUCAGUCUACAAGUAGAAAAAUAGAACAUUAUAUAAAUAAAUGCAUCAACAACAAAACUAACAAAUGAUGUAUAUUCACAAGAUAUAAAAAUAAAUGAAAUAUUCUAUGUAUAGUGCAAUCCCAAAUCUAGUAGCUUUCCACAAGGUCCUCAACAAAGAGAGAAGAGAAAAAUCUAGAAAACCGUUAUCUUUCUCUUUCUUUUAUUCUAAUCCCCCUUUUUUUUUUUUAUCCCAAAUCAAGUCUCACUAGCUUUAUGCACAUGCCCAUAUAUAAUUUGUCUUCAACUACUCCAACUAAUACAUUGUGCACCAAAUUUGCCUUUUCUUGUCCUUAGUGCAAUGCCAAAACACCAACCCAAAUACAAGCAAACCUAAUCAACAAAAAUAAAAUAAAUUCAAGUAGGCCCAACAACAAUAUCCAAUAACUCAAGCCCAAUUUAAUAUCCAAUAAAUAUAUAGACCCAAAUCAUAUCAAUUAGCAGCCCAAAUCAACAACCAUGCAAGCCCAAUAUCUUUAAAGCCCAAAAACAGUACCCAAGUCUCCAAAAAAAUGCACUAUGAAGAUCUAAAGGAAGAAGAAGAGGGGACUUACCAUUUUUGAAACUUUUGAUAUGACAAUGGAAUGAAUGGGUGUCAUGGUGAAGAAAUGGCAUUAUCGACGUCAAACUGACAAUAGCUAGUUAUGGUGAGCUUCACCAUGGAUGGUGAUGGUGGUGCUCAUAGUGGGGUGGUGGUGUGGGAGUCGUGGGUAUGGUAAGUGAGUGAGAGAGAGAGAGACAGAGAGAGAGAAAUAAAAUAAAGAAAAAAGGAAAGAAAAAAAUAAAAUAAAAAGUGGCAGUAGCAUUGCCAAUGGUGAGAGUGGUAGCCAUCAUGGGUAUGAUGGUAUGGAGAAUGAUGGAAAGAAAAAGAAAACAUAAACACGGAAAGAGAAUAAGAAGAAUGAAGGAAGGAAAAGAAUGAGAAAAUAUGUGGUAAAUGGAGUAAAAGGAUGAUUGGGGCUUUUUUCAUAGGUCUUAGGGUUUCUUUUAGGGUGAAUGAUAGUGAUGAAAGAAAAAAAAAAACAGAGGGUCUAGAUUAGUUCCUUAAAAAUGGGUACAAGUGGGCAUGAAAAUGAGCUAAAAUCAAGAGGAUUAUGCUUAAAACUAACUAACCAAAAGUCCUACAAAAAAAGAAAUAAAUAAAAUAAACAAAAGUAAAAAUAAAUAAAUAAAAACAAAAACAAAAUAAAAUAAAUAAAAGUUUGGGACAAAUUUUAAAGUCUACAUAUGUGCUUAUUGGAGUUACAACCAUAUCAUUUUUAAAAUUAUUCAUUUAUUUUGAUCUUGGACAAUUGAUAAUUAAUUUAUUAAGAGAUAAUAAAUUAAUACAAGUUAAGAUAAUAUUAUUUUAUAUUAUAAAAUUUAUGCAAAUAUUUAAUAGAUGAAAAAUAAUUUAAUAAUAUAUAUUUUUAAAAUAAUCCAAAUAGAAUAUUCAAUAAUAUAAUAGAAUAUUUAUUAUUGCUUGCCUUCAUCUUUUUCAAACCCAAUGCCUUGAUUUUUUUCACCUACAUUUUCUUCGUCUUUUCCUCCAUUCCUCUUGUUCAUCUUUUUAUCUUCUCAUUUUCAUUUUUUACAAAAAAGAAAAAGAAAAGAAUGGAAGCAACAUUAAUGGUGAUGCUACCAUGUCUACAUGCUCAUAUAUAGCAAGUGAAGAUUAUGGAGCGGAAAGGUUUAGAAUUUUUAUGUGGGGGUGUGUGGUUAAAGAAGAUGAAGGUAGAUUAGUAAAAAAUUGUAUACCUUUUUUAUAUUUAAAUUAAGGGUUUAAUACAUUUUACCCUCUCAACCUAUCACAUGUUUUGCACAUUACCCUCUUAAGUUUAAAACUGAACAAAUUGUCCUCCAAGCUUCUUAAAGACCAACACUAUGCCUUUUUUGUUGGACAGAAAUGUCAUGUGUUGUGCACAUGACUUAAUAAACGAGGGUAAAAUUGUCAUUUCAAAUAUCUAAAAUCCUAAAACAUCUUCUUCUUCGUUCUUCUUCCUCAGAGAGCCCUAAAUCCCCAAGCCCUAAAAUUUGGUUUUAGUUUUCUACACAUCAUAUCAUUUGGAUUUCCACAGUUGGAUUUUCUCUUAUUAAUCACCAAUUCUAAAUCAUGUGCUCAACAACUAUAACUAAAAAAUAAAUACACAAAAUGAGAGUCCAAAACUUCUAUUUGGUUGCAUAGAAAAAAAUGAGGUUCUUCAUUUUUUGUGAGGAGAGUGAUUGAUGUUCGGGUUAGGGUGUCAGUGGGGUUCCAUAGAGGAACAAAUUAUGUUUUUGAGAGGGUGAUAAUCUUUGAUAGAAUCUUGAGGACUAAGAAUUGCAAUUGUCAUUAACGAAAAAUAGAAUGCAACAGAGGAAAAUCGGAUGAUGUGAUGAGUAGAAAACUGAAACUUUAAAGAAUUUGAGAUAAUCGAAUUUUAGGUUAGGGGAUUUAGGGCUUUGGAAGGAAGAAGAACAAAGAUGGGAGGUUUUAAAGCUUUAGGUAUUUUAAUGACAUUCUAACCCUCGCUUAUUAAGUCAUGUGCACGACACAACAUUUCCAUCAAAUCAAACUAACACUGUUCAACAAAAAAGGUAUAGUGUUGUCUUUAAGAAGUUUGGAGGACAAUUUGUUCAAUUUUAAACUUAAGGGGGCUAUGUGCAAAACACGCAAUAAGUUGAGGGUGUACGGUGUAUUUAACCCUCAAAUUAAAGUUCAAAAUAUUAGGGAUUUCCAACCUCUUAUCACUUCUUAAAAAAAAUAAAAAAAUAAAAGCCUCCCAAGGAUGAGUCACAAAAUUAAAAAAAAAAAAAAAAGAAAAGAAAAAUUAAAGGAUGUUUGAUAAAUUAAUUUAAUGACUUAAUAUGAUAUGUAACAACCUAUUUUAAGUUAUUAAACAAAUUAAGUAUAUAUAAAUUGUUAAAUAAUUUAAUAUCAUAACUUAAAGUUAAAAGUAAUUUUAAAUAUUAAAUAAAAAUCCUUGCUUUAAAUAAAGCAAAUUGGGGUCAAUUUCUCGUACUUGCUCAAUGUGUCCCAUUUCAUCAAGUGCCUUGCCCAGUUCACUGAGUUGUUGGCCUACCAAGCACUUGCCUACUGCUCUUGCUGCCCACCAAACGGGCGGAGCGCUCGAUAUCCUUACUUUUCUAGGGCCCUUCCCAUUGCUCUAAUCAUAAGUUAUGGCAACUCCAAUUGGUAACCAUAGUGGCUCGCCCUAUGAUGCGAGGCCACAAUAGGCUCAAUGGUCUAAUCAGAGUGAGAUAAACUCUUUCUUGACAUGACUCACCCUUCCCACUCUUGACAUGAUGAAAUAAAUAACUAGCACCAUUAAUUCGGGUGAUGCCUAAGGGUCAUCUCUUGCUUCUUUGAGUGAAUUUUUCAUGAACUAGGCCUUUUCAUAGCUCGGAAUAAAUUUCCAAUCAAUUCAUUCUAAAUUUUAUUUUAUUUUUAUUCCAUUUGCUCACAUAUUGACGAGAAUCUCUUUUAUGUCUCUGAUUUUACAUCCACAACUCAUCUUUUAUGGUAAAUAUUUUAUCAUUAUUUCAUGUACAAUAAUAUUUUUAAUAUGGAUAUUUAACAAAUAAAUUUGAAUUUCAAAAGAUAAUUUAAGUCAAUUAUAUCAAAUAACCUUUAUGCUUACACUAAAAAACUAAGAGUAACAUUUAAAUCAAUAAUUUAAUUUAAACUCAAUUUAAAUAUUUAAAUCAUUAAAUAAUAAUAAUAUUAAGUUUUAUCAAACAUAUUCUUUUCAGGACAGGCAAACUAUCGGAUAAUUUCUAAUUUUCAAUUGUCUCAAAAAUUUAGCUUAAAAUUUUGGGAAUUACAAUUCAUUUAAAAAAAAUUAAAAAUAGAAAAAAUGAUUAUGUAAUUCCCUUAUGUAGUCUCUGCAUGAAUCAACUGUUUCAAGGGCAUUAGAAAAGGAGUGCUGCUGCAUUCAAAAUAUUUACAUGGUACCUCAGAGCUUACUUGGAAAGGCAAAUUAUCCUUUCAUUUCAAAUUCUCAAAUGUCAUUAAUUUUGUUCAUGCUUGGAAAGGACCUGGCAUCCACUGAAUUAAAAUUAUAUAUAAGGCACCAUUUGUUUGCAAAGAACAUGAGAAAAUAGUUGAAUGCUUGGAUAUCUGGCUGCCACUGAAGUUGGAGUAGUAGUUGGAAAGCUCCAAAUUUAAUUUCUUUCCUUUUCCUAAGACUUCUUGACAACCAAACAGUCCGGAUGUAGCUGAAAGCAACCUUAGUGAAAAAGACUUGGAACUGGUGAGUAAAAACUUCAUUGAAAAGGGUUCUUUGCCAGUGGAUGUCCUAGGUUGAUAAGUUCAAAUCAUUUGAUUGGAUUUUUGAUAAAGAGCAUAUCAAGACCAAAAACUUUGUACUGCGGACAGCAGUAUUGGAUUCCGAUGAUAACUCAUUUGAAAAAUUUUCACCUCAAUAUGAAUUAUUGAUCUACUGCCUAGGGAAUCAUUUUUCCUUGAACCUUGCUUCUAAACAAUACGAUGGAGAUGUACUUCUCUAAAUACUCCAGAGGAGUUAUCCUUAUCUCCAGAAAACUGAGUAUAUGAUAAACAAGCUUAUAGUAAUAUGUAUUUUACGUAUUCUUUUGUACUUAAGUACUGUAACAGUACUUCUGGAGUCCGGAUGUUGGAUUUACAAAUCAAACUCAUUCCUGGCCAGAUCUUUCAGUUUCUCUACAAUUUGAGGUUUCUGGUUUUUGGGUUUUCAUUGACGAAUUUUCAUGUAAGUUUACUGAAAUGUAUUCAUGCCCAAGAAUAGUUUGGUUUAAGUCAGUGAAAAUUUGCUUUUUCCAUCCCCAGUUAGAUCUAUCACUAGUAGUCUAUUUUAAUACCAACAAUCAAGGAGCCUAAACCCCAAGAAGGCCCCCCAUCUGGUUUAUGCCUCUCCCAACUUGAGUCAACAAGUCUUUCAUCUUCUUCCAUCAACUCAAUCGCCAAUAAUGCUUACUUUUCUGAUUAAACCAAUCAAGUUUCGACACUAAAACUUUCCAUGCUUUAUGAAUUAUUUUGCCAUGAGAACUGAGUGAUAGCCCCAUAGGGUUGCACUGGUAAUCUCAACCAAAUGGCAUCUAGCUUUAAGAAACUCAUCUUCUGUAAAUGCAAGGCUGCAGUACAGUUAUUGAUGGUGCAAUAUUCGCGUUAUAAGCACUGCCUUCUGGAGAGGCGUAUUGAAUGUAUUUGUUUAUAUAUAUAUAAAGAAAAAUGCUAAGAUUUCAAAGCGAUACUUAUAAAACAAAAGAUUUGAACCAUUGAAUAUGUAUGGUGAGAACUUGACAGUUCAAACGUGGGUAUAAGUGAAUGGAACAAAGGUUCAAAAGUGCAAAUAAAUGGGACCAAAAUUAUAACCAAUGAGAUAUGAAAAUAUAUUCGUGAUAUCACUUGAUUGAUGAAGCAUUUUUUUAUAGAUAUCGAUGUCAUUUUUUAUAUAUUCUAUAGAUAUCGGAAAAAAAUACACUUCUAUAUUAUAACCGCAUCAUAUACAAAACCAUAUCUUGUAGUUCCUUUUGUAUUGAUUAAUAAAGAAUGCUGUUAAACUAUUCUUCUUGGCAUGAUUUAAUUAUAUGAUCAAUAGAGAGAAAAAGCAAACAGCAUGAGCCAAUGAGUAAGUCAGUUAGAACAAUGUCAUUGAUCCCCUUUCACUAGGAUGGUUCCAGAGCAUACAAAAGGGAACUGCAGUAUAUUAAUAAUUAUUUUUCGAACAUUUUCCUCUUUCCUCUUGCCUUAGCAAUCAAUUUCACCCAUGGUUCAUACUAAUGUUUACUCACUAGAUUUUUCUGGUGACCAAAUGAACCCCACAAGAUCAAUCGUGCAUGCCAUGAUUGAAACUAUGAUAAAAAAAAGCUUGGAGGGUGAUUUUGAGAAAAAUAAGUACCAUAUUAGUGGCAAAAUAUGGAUACACAAACAAACUUGAAAUAGCUAGAUGGUUGCAAUGUCUAAUUAACCAGGGAUUCCAGUUUUGGGUAUCGUGCAGAGAUGGGAAUGGAAUGCAGACUAUUACAUCUCAGUAUCAUGUCAUGUCAAAGGCAAUCAGAUUUUGUAGUUUGCAGUUGCUUUAGCAAUAAAAUGUUGGCCUGACAGUAAGCAAAACUGAAUCAACUGAUUCAAGGAGAAAAGACUGAGAAGUAGGAAGAAGGGGGACAAAAGGGAAAAUGGUUUACAGAUUGUACCUUUGCUGAUGUUGAUCCCAAUCUCCAGUACUAUGUGUAAGCACUUAAUGUUGGAUUUCUAGCUAGCCAGAUUAAAGCAACCGAGUAAUUAUAUGUCCCUGUUAAUCAAUCAAAAGGGUCAGUGCUCACUGCAUAUAUCAUGAACUUUAUUGAAGGGAAAUUUUUUUUUUACUCCGCCCCUCAUCAGCAGAUGCUUCCUCUCCUUUCUUCUCUUUAUUUUUGCCUUUUGGCCUUUUGGCAGGUCUGCAAAGGGAGGAUUUCAAGACCAAUCCCCUAUAUCCACAGAGAAGCAGGAAAAAGAAGAGGAUGUGUUGAGAAGAAGAAUACCCCUAUCCCCACACAGAAGCGGGAAAACAAAAAAGGAUGUGGAGAUAAGAAGGAGAAGAAGAAGAAGUCUUAAUUAAUUGAGUACCAAUGGAUACAUUGAAUACAGUGGCUUUUCUGUAUAUAAGGAACACUUAGACAUGGAGGAAAAGGCAACCAGAACACAAUUGUUUUUAGGGCAAAGGUGCAUGGUUAAAAUAUUAAAACCCUCUGCCCGUUCAGUAGAAAGAAAGGAACAAGAUGAAGAAGAAGAAAGCCAAGAACAAAAAAAGAAAGGAUAAAAGGAAAAAACAGUGGCCUCAUAAAUGUUGAAGCUUCCACUAAAAGAUUGAAAUCAUCAUUAAUAUAUAUGCCGGCCGUAGUCAGUACUUCCUUACACACACAGAUGGUCCCAUCUCCGAAGAGACACACAUUGCCAUAACUCAUACCUUGUCAUCAGGUUACAUCUAGAUCCCCAGGAAGGGAACACUUGAAAUUCUUACUUGUGCCAGACUUGCUGGUUUUUCCCCAUACUCGGCUUCACACCAUAAUCUUCCCACAAGUGUUCUUCAUCAAGCAGGAUGUUCAAGCAGCUACCAUGCACUGUGGUACCCACGCUGGAGUUAGAAGGUGAAAGAUGAUCCUCACUGUUCUUCUGAAGUCCUACAUUCUCAGAGCCUUGUUUGGCCAUGAUUUCCUGGCCAUGAUAGGGGUCCAGUGGCUGAAAGUAAGUGCAGGUUCUCAAAUUCUCUUUGCGCUUCUUGCUGUGCUCGGUGGUCUUGUUUAAGUAGAUGUUGAUGUUCUCCCAUUUCUGUUUACACCUCAUUGCACUUCGCUCAUAGCCCAAACAACCCAUUCUUGUGGCAAUCUCCUCCCAUAGGCUUUCUUCUGAAUACCCGCUGUCUUGAAAUCUAGAUUCCAUACUGGUCCUCAGAUGUAUCAAACUUGAGAGCUCUUGUUCUGGCCAUCUACUGUAAGUAGUGUCAUCAGGUACUUCAUUUACAAUGUCCUCCAUGCUUUCGUUCUGGUCUUGAAUUUCCUUGUCCAUUAGCCCGUCUGGAGACGACAAUUUUAGUUCUUUCCCUGUAAAUUUCUUCAGAGCCUCCAUGAGUGCAGCAUCUCGGGCUUCAAUCCAUGCUCUCUCACUAGCCCAGAAUUUAUAUUCUCGAUCGAACCGAGCUGCCUCUUGCUUCCUCCAUUCCUCCUCUCUGGACAACCUUUCCUGCUCUUUAUGCUCGAUAGUUGUCAGCAUCUUCUCCAUCCAUGCCUCUUGUGUGUCCAUUAUCUUCUUCAUGUGGAGGCCCACAAAUUCCUUUAUUUUUCCUUUCAAACUCUUCCUGACCCUCCUGUAACUUUGUCCAUCAUCUACCCCUCUUUUCUUCUCCAUGGAAUGGUUCAUCAUGUAGGCAAUAGCUGAAAGAUCAUCAUCAUUGUUUUCUGAAGAUGAAGUCUCAAAUUCAGAUGAGUUAGAGAAACUAUGGCUCUCACAGAACUUGUGGUCUUGCAAAGCUUCUUGAUUUGCUUGGUUAAUGGUGGUGUUGUUUGUAGUCUGAUAAAGAAGAGUAGUGUUCCCAGCAAGAUGGGUUUCUGAAACUGACGCUUGAUUGCUUGUUUCUCCAUAGAGUGCUUCAAGUUGUCGGAAGAACCUAUAGUGCUUCCCAUCCUGUCUUCCGGCUUUACCUUCUUUAGUUUUCUUAUAAUACUUGUACAGGUUCUCAAACUUCUCUCUGCACUUCUUCCCACUUCUCUGGUACCCAUGUUCCUCAGCCAUUAUCCUGCAACAAUUAACGAAACGAAUAAAGGAAGAAAAGUAACCCAAAAAGGGUAAAUAUAUACAUAUAUAUAUAUAUAAACAGACUAGAGAAGAAUAACCCUAGUUUGUAGUUCUUUGGCCUAGUCCCUCUUGGAAUCCUAAAACAGAUAGUCUAAGUAAUUAUAUUCAAGGAUUUUGAUACCCAAUGCAAACCUCAAAUAGUAAUUAAUGCUAUAGAUGAUAGAAAAUGUGUUUUGGUAUCUCUUUUUUGGGCAUUUCGAAAUAAUAAAAUCUUAAAAUACCCAAAACAUUCCUCUAAUCAUCAGUUAGAUGUCAUAAAAUAUUAUUCUUGUUUCUUCUCCCUUUCUGUUUGAUGGGUAUUUUACAUUAAACCAACUAAGUAAGUAGGUUUCUUGAACGACUCGAGAAUGUUGGGAUUUAGAGAAGCUUCUUGGACUGGCCAUAUCACACAAAACCAAUGUAUGAGUACAACAAUUCAGGGGCGCUGUCAGCCAUUUUUCCAGAAUAAAACCUGUUAAAAUAACUAAAAUAACAGCUGGGUCUUCCAGUUAACUCAAAAAGCUUGUCAUUUUGAAGCGCUAAACUCAGUAAACCAAACAUAAAUUCUAUCAAAAGCUUGUCAUUUUUUGCUUUAAUAAAAUAUAUACAACAUAUAUACAUAAAAACCAGUACGAAAGAAGGAAGAGAGUCAUUUUUGCUAAAGAAAAGGAAAUAGGGUUUCUUGAAAAUCUUGGAGAAAUCAUGUGUAUCAAUGAGAGAAAGAAGAAGAAAAACAAAAAAAAAAAACAUGGGUUGAGUGCAAUUCAGUCAUUCAUAUACCUAGAAACUUCAGCCCACAAAGGUCCCUUCUGAUUAGCCUCCUUGAACUUAGGAUCAAGCCGAGAUCUGAUCUCAAGUAGAGUGAGAGUCUCCUGCCUCGGCCAUCUACUAUUUCCACCAUCUCCUCCAACACCACCACACUCCAUCUCCAACCCACCAACACCCACAACGGAAGCAGCAGUGGCAGCAGCAGUUGCAGUAGCAGUAGGAGUAGCUGUGGCAGUAGCAGAAUCACCAUGAAAGUCGACCAACCCACGAGGCACAACCACCUCACCCAUGUGGCUACCCACCAUGAUGGCCUCAUAGUGGUGCAGAUAGGGCUCAGUGGGGUGAGGAACGGCUGGAAAAUGAGAAGGUCUGGCCAUGAAUUGCCUCAGAUCCGGCAGUCCGUACUGGUCUCCCAUCUCCAUCACCAAAGGGAAGCAAAAGAAAAAAAAGAAAAAAAUAACAAAAAAAAGAAAAGGAAGAAGUCCCAGAGAGAGAGAGAGAGAGAGAGAGAGAGAGAAGAGAAGAGAAGAAAGGUGCGGUAGACUCGGAUCAUGUCGCCCAAGGAAAGCUCGAUUUUGUGCUUCAAAGGCCUUGGCCCCAUCUCUCCCUAUGUCCACAGUGACAAGAGAGAGAGGGGAAAUUGAGGGAACGAGAGCUAUACGUAGUUGUAGUUGUCCCUCCAAUGGCUAAGCGACAGAUGUCAAAGCAUAUGACUUUGAUGAAAAUCCAAUUCCACCAUUUUCUGGCUGACGCCUGUACAGUGUCUUUGAUGUGCCUUUUAACCCCCACCCCACUCAUCUUCUCUUUCAAUUUCAAUGCCUCCACCAUCUUUCCUCAAACCCCCAUUCACUUCACUUCACAAUCCACGCUUUCGCAUUAUAUUUCACUGUUGUUCUUUUAUUUGGACAAUAGUAACGUACCCAAUGGGACCUCACCAACACAUCAUAUUCUAACAUAUAUGGUGAGAUUUACAUAGUAAGAUGAAUAUACACAUAAAUGAAAUAAAGUUCUAAAUGAUUGAAAUUGCCAUGAAUGCCAUGAGAUCCAAAUGUGAACACGUGACAUUCUUUCAUUCAUAUUGUCUUAAGUAACUUUAAAUUUUUUAUCAAUAUAAUAUUUAAAAAAUUAAAUUAAAUUAAGACUGAUUAGUUAAUGCCUAUUUCAAUUGAGUAAUAAAUAUAGUAUUACUUAUACAAAAUUUAGAAUAAUUCUUUUCAACAAUGCAGGACAAACCCAUUAAGCCUAUCUAUUUUGAAAGUCAAAACAAAUCAUAGCCUUAUAUUUUCAUUCAACUUAAUUAAUUGGAUGGAAUGUUUGUUGUAUUAUACUCUCCUAUCAUUCCAAGCAGAGUAUUUCGUCACAACUUGACUAUUUCCCUUUUUUGUCAACAAUUUCCGUCAUGAUGAUGAAAAGAUUGAGAGAAGAAAAUUACACUAUUGGUUCUUAUGGAAAUCAUUUUCUAUUUUAUAUGAAAAGGUGAAUAAUAUUUAAUGAAACUUUCAUCUUAACAAGAUUAUCAUUUGAUUUGAUUUUUUUUUUUUAAUCCAUGGCCUUAAUACUCAAAUUUCCUAUCCUAUUAUUGUUUCAUAGGUCUAUGUGGAUUUAUUUUUUCUUUUUUUUUCUAAAUCCAUGGCCUUAAUUUUGUUGAUACUUAAAUUUUCUAUUUCUAUGUAGAUCUAUAAGGAUAUAUGAGACACGUAUCUAGUAUGACAUGAAAGGUUAAUUAUGGGGUACAUCUCUCUGAGGGCAUGUUUGGGUUGCUAAAAUAUUAAAUGAGAAUAAGAAAAUCAUUCCAUUUGUCAUUAUUAUUAUUAUUAUUAUUAUGUUUGGAUUACUUUGGGAAACAAUGAUAAAAAUAAAAAAUUCAUUCUUAUUGGAACUAAACUCACUCUUACCAGUCGCUUCGUACCUCACCAAUAUAUUUUCAAACAUUUGCCUCAACACUUAAUAUUGAGGGAAUGUUAUCGCCUUGAGCAUUUUAUCAUCACAAUGAAUAUUGUAUAUGUUUCACUUAAGAGUACUUGAUGGCAUAAAAUUUAUGCAUUUCAUAUUUGUCUAAAUUGAGAGUAGGGUUCAAAGGAACCCAAGGAUCUACAAUACUUUGGUGGUGGGCUUGAAGUGUCACAUCAUUAUUAAUUAUAUAAAAUAAUUCUAGAGUAUUCGUUUGGUUGCUAGAGUUAGAGAUAGCUGAGACAAAAUCAAUCCAAUUUAUAUUUUAUUAUUUCAAUUGGAUUUAGAGAAGUAGACGGGUAAGUAAGACGCAUCUAAUCAUCACCACUUGCUUUUCUAUUGAUUCAACCAGGCAUGUGCUACUAUGUAAUUGUCUCAUCUCCACAUCACACCAUCUUAUUAAUUUAUGUACAUGUAGAACCAUCUAGUUGGUUCCUAUAGUACCAUUUAGUUGGUUCUUAAUUGGAAAAUUCUACAAAUGGGAUUGAAAUGCCAUAUUUUCUUAGGCUUUAGGAAAUUUGAUCUUUGAAAACUAAUAUCUUCCACCUUAGAAUCCAACUUUUAAGUUUUGUAUUCUAAAAUCUUAUUAAAUGAUAUUGUCAUUUUACUCUUUUUAGGAGAAUGCAUAUGCAAUAUCUUAAUGAAGUCAAACGAAUACCAUAAUAUUGAUUCUCAUGUUGAUUGGCUCAAUCAAUCAGUCAUUUAUUUUAAUCAAUUAGCCACUUGGUUGACAAUACCUUAACAUGCUCAAUUGAAUAAGUAAUUUUCUCUUUGAUUGACUCAAUCCAUUAGUUGAAGUAAAAUUAAUUAGAUAAUUGUUGAUUGCAACAAUCAUGCCUUCCAUAAUGCCUUUUGUUGGAGCUAGUCUAGAAAACCAAUAAAUAGAGUUGUAGUCGAGGCCUUUCAAUAACCUAUCUCAGAGCUUCUCUCUUCUCUUCUUUUCUCCUUUUGUGAGACCUUGAGAGAUCUCUUUUAGUUCUACCCUAGAGUGAUUCUACUCCUUUGUACCAUUCUUCUUGAGUCAUUAGAGGAACAAUGCAUCUAGAUCUUUCAUCUUUUGCUUUGUUGAGGAAUGAACCUCUACAAGCAACAUUGGAUUUUGAGAACCACUAUUUUAAGGAUAAUGCACUAUCAUGUCUUAAUUAACUAAAUUUUGAUAAGUUGUCUAACUUUCAUUUUCAGAAUUUUAUUUUUUUAUUUUUUUUACUUGUAAUCCUACCUCUCUCCCUCUGUAUAUUUCUAAAAACCUUAAUUUAGUUCUAAUAUGGAGGUAGCACUAAUUCACACCAAACUUGAUAUCUCAAAAAUUGAUCCUUUCAAGGGGUUUUUUUUUCUUCUUCUUCUUCCAACCAUAGAUAUUAUGAAUAUAGGACAUGUUUUGACUAAACCCAAAUCAAAAAAUAAUUUAAAAAAUGUACUUACAUGGGAAAAUGGUAAUAACUAAAUUUCCCAUACACUUUUAAUUACUUUGUCAAAUCAAUUAUUUGAUUUGUGUUGCUUUAUUACGCAUGUUAAAGAAAUUUGGGAUAAUAUGAACAAGAAAUACAUCUUAGAAGAUGUCGAGCUUUGAAAAUAUGUCAUAAAUUUUUUUAAAAUUUUAAAAUGGUUGAGAAUAGAGAUGCAUCAUCUCAAAUCCAUAACUAGAAUAUGUUAAUUAGUUACUUAGCCAUGAAGAUAUUUGGCUUCCUAAACUGUUUGUGACUAGGUACAUAACUUAAAUAACUUAGAUUCAAUAUACGACCAAAUUGAAUCUUAAGACCAAUAUUGCAUCCAUAAGUUAGAUUUUUACUUUGUGAAAUAGAUUUCUAAAACCAUUAAGUGAAUGAGAUUAAUUAAUGGUUAAAAGUUUGACUUUUUAACUCUUCCUACUCUUAUACCUUUGUUUUAGGAAUGAUAACGAUAGAAAAAAACAAGAUAACUAAUUAUCAAGAGUUACCAAGAAUCAUUACUAUUAGGUAAUAAUCUUCCAUAUCAUUCCCUAAUAAACCUCACAAGGAUAGGUGAUGGUUAAUUUUGAUUUUCAAUUUUAUACAAUCAAAGCUUACAUUCAUUUUUGUAGAUUUGACCAUUAGAUUCGUUAAUAGUAUAAUCAAAUUAUAGUAACUAGUAAUCAAGGUCUUCCCAAGAAUCACUAGUAUCUUGAUAAGAAUUCUUCGUAAUUUAUCUAGGGUGAUCUCAGAUAGAAGAUUUAUUCCCAUAAAUUAAAUCUUAAAAACCAUAACUUUACUAUGUUCUUUCUACUCUUCUUUGAAUUCUUCACUUUCAAGUUAACAUCUUUGGUUCAAUCAAGUUAGCCAAACAUGGUGAAGGAUUUCUCCUUGUAACCCAUGUUUGCUUGCCAAGAAAAUAAAAUAGAAAAAUUGAAAAAGAAAUAUAAAAGAAAUGAAAAGAAAACCUAAAACUUUAUUAAGAAUUUCAAGAAGAGAGAUCAAUCUCUCUCUCUUUGCGUUUUUUUUUCUAAAUCAAGAACUCCCUAGAAAACCUAAAAAUUGAUUUUUUAUUUUUUUUAUUUUAUAGUUUUCACAAAAAUCCAAGACUUGGCAUGUUCCUAUUGGCCUCUUAUUUUACAAAUACUUGCCUAGAAAAUAAUAAAAUCAUGAUUUCUAAUUGUAUGGGAUCCACUUAGAGUGGAUAAAGUGCCUAGGAUGCAAUUCCAGAUAUCGAGGAAACGAAACAUCAAAGUUUCAAUGUGUGAUUUCAAAAUUGGGGUCAUUUCAAAAUGGAUUUUAAAAUCAUAAGUUGAAUUUCAAAAUGAUUUCAAAAUGGUCCUUUAGCUAUGUGUAGUUUUCAAAUGACCAUAACUUCUUUAUUUUAACUCUAAUUUGCACACCAUUUGAAUGUUAGACUCCUGAAUUCUUAAGUUUCAAAACAAUAUGUGGCUUACCCUAAAAAAAUCAUGGGAAGUACUUCAAAAAUCACAUAAAAUUCAAGGUAUGUGUUGUUGUCAGGUUUGAGUUCUAAAUUUCAUAUUAAGCUUGAUUGCAUUUUAUUCCAACCACCUUUCUCAUGGUUGCUUGUUGUCUAUCUCACUCCAUAACAUUCAUUUCUAGUAUUUCAUUCCUAUGACUCAUUCAUUUCAAAUUUUCUUAGAUUCUUCAUGGUUUACAACUUUUGAGUCUCUCGGUUAUGCAUAUUUAACCAUUUUUACUUCCUUGGUUGAGAAUGAUUUUUGCAUUUAGCAUUCUUUUCAUCUCAUAAAACUUGGAAUUAGGCUCAAAAUAAAUGUUAGAUCCACAACUAGGGUUUGAGUUAAGUUGGAUGACUUGAGCUUUUUAUAUUGUAUAAAUCAUAUCAUAUAUGUGUCAUUGAAGUCUAUAUUUUCGCUCCAAGUAGUAGUUUUAUCAACCUAUCAAGAUUACUUUUUCAAUUAUUAAGUUAUAGACCUACCUAUUAUGUGAUCAACUAACAUACUUUAGCUCGUAAAGAGCAUGUUAAAUUCCACUAAAUAAAUUGUUAUGGUCAUAAUCUUCCUAAACACAGGUCAUUUGGAUCACCCAAGAGAACACAUUGUCUCAAUUCCAUGAAAUAUCAGUGUAUUUAUCAAGAAUACUUAUUGGCACUAACCUUCAUUAACAGUGACCAAAUCUAUAGGGAUAUAUGACCAUAUUAGGGUCUUCCCAUAGAUCAAUACCUCAUGUUGACUUCAACACAGACUCAAAUCUUCUCGAGGUUAAGAGUCCAUGCAAUAUAGUCGCUUGGUGAUUUAUAAAAAUUGAUAGUUUUACAUCAUGACUCACUGUAGGUCCUAUCAAAUGUGUAACCAUGUAUACUAGUGUACUCACUAUGGGACUUGGUAGUCAAUAUAACUCAUCCCUUUAAUUAGACAGUAGUGAACUACAGUCUUUAUUAGAUUGUCUAAAUCUACAAUCCAAUUAUGAACAACUUAUCCAAAAAGGAGCCCAUGAAAGUCAUAUAUGGGUGUGUAUGCUUAGAUAAAAAAUGAAUUCACAAAAGGAAUAAUAAAGAAAAGCCAAAAAAUAUAAAUAAAUAAAUUUAUUAAUAAAUCAACCAUCUAUUACAUCAUGUCAUGUUUUCUAGGACUCUAUCCCAAUAUCUUUGGCACCAUGCUACAUAGUAUUAUCAUAGAAAGAAGAGUGAGAGGUCCACUCCUAAGGCUAAUUUAGCAAAGAAAAAGGUGGUAGUUAUUGUAGCUUUCUUUGAGGUGAAUAUAGUCACUAAUGUGAAUGACUAAGCAAUAGACUUUAAAGCUACAAACCACAUAUGUGGUAACAAAAGUGCAUUUAUCUCUUAUACUAUAAUAAGGGAAGAUGAUGAAUAAAUAUUCAUAGGCAACUCAAGGCCUUUGCCUAUGAUCGAAAAAGGGAAAGUUCUUCUCAAUUUGACAUCAAACAAAGUAUUUGCCCUUAAUGAUGUCUUCCAAACAUGAGAUGUUCAUUGGAUUUGGUAAUAGUUUCUUCACAUUGAAAAAUAGGGGUAAAAUCAUGUUCAAGUAGAAAAAAAUCAUUCUUACCAAGAAUGAUGUUUUUUUUUUUUUUUUAUGAAAGGAUACUAUAAUCAAGGCCCCUUCAUGUUGAAUUUUUUUCUAAAAUUGAUAUAAUAAUAAUAAUAUUGCUUCUACUUUUCCUUGGUUAAUUCUUGUGAUGUGUGGCAUGGUAGACUAAGACAUCUUAACUUUUAAUAUAUAAAGAAAAUGGUUGACAUUGACUCAAUUCCUAAAGUGUCUCCAAAAAAUCAUGGGAAAUGAUUAUGAUGUAUGAAAUCUAAAACCAAUAAGAAAACAUGAAAAACUAUAGAAAAUAAUCAGAAAACUAAGUUUAAUUUAUAAUAACUUAGGAGAUCUUUAAAAUACAAUGAUUUAAGAUAGUAAGAUUUUAAAUAACCUUUAUAGGUGACUACUCAAGGUAUAGAAGUAUAACUCUUUAAAAAGCAAAGAUGAAGUCGAAGAGACUUUCAUAAAAUAUAAAACUAAGGUAGAAAAAUUGCUUAAGAAGAUUAAAAGACUCAACAUUGAUAGGAGAGGAGAAUACGAGUCUAACACUUUCAACACCUUCUAUAAAGAUCAAAUGAUCAUUCACAAUAUUACUCUACCAUAUUUUCAAGAAUCUAAUAGAGUGGUAGAAAGAAAGAAUAUGAUCUUAAAAGACAUGAUGAAUGUCAUGUUAGUAAGUUCAAAAACUCUAUUGAACUUAUGAGGGGAAUCCAUCUUCUCCAUGUGUCAUAUUCAAAAUAAGAAACCCUAUAAGAAAAUUAGUAAAACACCUUACAUGCUAUGCCAUGUACCCAAUAUAACAUACUUCAAAGUGUAAGGGUUUCUUACAAAGGUUUUCCCACUUAAACCUAAAAAAAAAAUCAAAAAAUAAAAACUAGGUCAUAAAACCUUUAAUACGAUGUUUAUAGAAUAUGCUAAAAAUAGUGCAAAAUAUAUAUUCGUAGUCGUCAAAUAUAAGAAUAACCUUGUGGAUGUGAAAACUAUAAUAGAAACAAAGAAUGUUAUUGUUCUUAUUGUUGUUGUUUUUUACACUAUCUUUUCUAUAAGCACUAAUGAAGAAGACUAAGUUCUAAAAUCAGUUAGAAAUGAAUUUAAUGAACAUUCUAAGAUUAAAGUAAAAAAGAAGUAAACAAUAUAAGAAAGAAAGAAACUUUAGAGAUGAUUUCUAUACUUUUCUAAUGGAUAAAAACCUAUAAAGAAGGAACAUUUUCUCUUAAUGCAUCCUUUAGAGAAAAAAAAAUCAUAAAUAAAGAAAUUGAAUCAAUUACUAGAGAAAUGGUGGAUCUAUUCCAUGGUGUAAAUUAAGACAAUAGGUUGUAAAUAGAUAUUUAAAAGAAAAUUAAAACUAGAUGAAUCUAAACAAACAUAUAAGGGAUGAUUUGUUAUCAAAGAAUAUAAACAGAGGAAAGAUGUAGUCUAUGUGACACAUCUGCCCCUAUGUCUAGGAUUUCCUCCAUUAGAGUAUUGUUAUCUCUUUUUUCAUUCAUAAUAUAGAAAUAUGCUAGCUAGAUGGAUAUUGAGAUUGUAUUCUUGAAGCGGGAAUUGAAAAAGGGAAUCUAUAUGGAUCAACUAAAGGGUUGUAUGGUCUUAUAAAUGAGCAAAAUCUAUAUAGGUUAGUUAAAUCCAUGUAUGGAUUAUAAUAAACACCUAAACACCGACACAAGAAGUUUGAUCAUGUGCUGGUAUCUAACUAAUUUUCCAUUAAUGAUGUUGAUAAAUGUAUUUACAAUGAACUUGGGGAUAGCGCACAUAUGUAUCAUCAUCUUCUUGUAUGUAGAUGAUAUGUUGAUUCGUGGAAAUAGCCUAGAGGUCGUUUAUGAGACCAAAAGAUCAUUCCCAAGGUCUAAAUUUGAAAUGAAAAGCUUUGGAGAAUUAGAGCUGAGUCUAGAGAUUAUGAUAAAUAGAUCUAAUGAGCUUAAACUUUCUAAAAAACAUUAUAUUAAGAAAAUCCUAAGGAAGUUUGAAUACUUUGAUUGUAACUUUGUAUCAUAUGUGAAACGUUUUAUUAGCUACUUAUGGCUAAGUGUCUAUCCCUAGGGUACAAAUGGACUAUAUUCUAUAAUGAUUAAGGAUGAAUACAUACUCUUAAUGAAUACAUGCAUAUCCCUUAUAGGUGAUGUGGAUCAUUACAAGACACUUAAUGGGUUGCCUAUAAGAGAGUGGAUGGGGGGGUUGCUUCUUAUAAGAACUUAGGUAGGCCCCCCAGAGUUCUCAUGAAUAUCCAAGUAAGGUGCAUAAUCUAUUCAUGCUAACCCAUUAUAUACAACUUUGAAGCAAAAAACAAAUGUUGAGAAGAGAUUUCCUAUCUCAUAAAAAGAAAUCAUACUUCAUAAAAACAAAUCUUAACUGACAACUUGUCCUAAGAUUAGUUCAUAGCUCAAGAGCAUUAGUUAUGAUACAUUGGAUUCUAGUAUAUUGUUUUUCUAAUCAUGCAUCUUGCAUUAUUUCCUUUAAUCAUGCACUUUAUGGUGAUAUUUGGGGGAAUGCGUGCAUGUAAUUUCUCAAUGGAGUCGAACCAUAUCAUAAUAAUCAAUUGAAUCACAUGUUAAUUAGCUUAAUUAAUCAAUUAAUCAUUAAUUAAACUGAAUUAACUUAUUAGUCAAUAGUGUCUAAUGAGCUAAUUAAUUGAAAUCAAUUAGCUAAUUAAUUACAUCAAAUAAGCAUGUCUUUCAUUAGGCCUUUUGCAUAUAGAAGUAAGUCCAAAGAGCCUAUAAAUAGAGUUGUUGUCCAAGCCUUUCAAUUGUCUCAUCUUAGAGUUCUUCUCAUCCCCUUAUUCUUCUAUAAGACAUUGAGAACUCUCUUCCCAUUCCACCUAGAGUGGUUCUACUCCUUUCUAUACAUAGAGGAACAAAGUAUCCAAAGUUGUUAUCUUUGCUCUACAAAGGAGUGUUCUUUUAUAAACAUUACAAGUUGAAUAAUAGAAGUAGAAUGACUGCUGCUAUUCUAUUGCACUAAGUACAUUCUCAAAGUAGAAUAAAAUUACUUUAAGGAUAAUACCUUGUUACGCCUCAACUAAAUUUCAAUAAGUCAUGUGACUUAAAUUUUCAAAUAUUUCUAGUUUGUACUAGUGUUGUUGUCCAUUUCUUUAUAUUUCUCACAACUCUAACCUCUUCCCUCUCUCACUUCUAUUAUACUCUACUCUUGUUAAUUUUGAACUAUAACAUGACACUCACUAUUUAUGCGACUAACCUCCUCUAACAAGAGAAUUCAAUGUAAAUGAACUUAAUUUUAACUUUAAAUUUUAGUUAAAAUUAAAAAUAAGAAGUAAUGUCAAACAAAACUUUUUAAACUUAUUUUGGUAACAUUAUUAUUUGAAAAUCUUUCUUAUUGAAAUGCAUGUCAAAAACCAAAAAAAAUAUACCAUUAUUAUCACUUAUUUUAAUCAAAAUUUUAUCAUUUGUUAAUAGAUUAAAAAAGUAGCAAUAUGAAUGAAAUAAAUAUAAAUAUAUGUAACCUUGUGGCACUACAUAAGGUAAAGUGUGGUAGAAAGAAAAUAAAUGAAAGUGUAUCAUUUUUUUUUUUUUUUAUAUUCGCAACAAAAGAAUCAUUGGUGAAUGAAGUUAAAAAAUAAAUUAAUUGCUUAUGAUUAUAACAAUUAUAAGGUGCAUGCAGAUACAUCAAUGAAAUGGACAAAAAGGACUGAGGGGAAAAAACAAGAACAAAAGAAAAAAAUGAAAACAAAAAAGGCAUAGAAAAAUAGUAUCACUAAGGGAUCACAAUUCAAUAUAAUUUGUUUAGUAUGUGAAAUAAAGAUUAUAUUAAUAAUUUUGUUCUUUCAUAUUUUUUUAGUUAAGCUAGACCUACACAUAAAUUAGAGCCUUCGUAUUAACAAAAAAUUGCUCAACAUUACAUAUAUCAUUACUAAUUAAAAGGAAAUGACAAAAGAAAUUAAGAUUUUUAUAAGAUAAAAUAAAAUGUGAGACAAAAAUAAAAUUAAGAAGUCUAUGAUUUGUUUUUUUUUUUCCUAAGAUAUUUGUUGAAAGAUUUAAUAAUUAACCAUAUCAGUUAAGUAUGUCCCUUCGAUUUAGUUGAUAGUAAUUAAAGGGAUUAAAUGAAAUUCUAAAAUAGGGAGUGAAUUUAAUUAGUUGCAAAUUUUAGAUAAUUUUUGUUUAAAAUUUAAAUAAAUUUGAGCUUAACUAAAUUUGAAUAUAAUUGAAUAUCAUUAAAUCUUAGGUUUUUUUUUUUUUUUACCAGUAUUAGAAUUUUGUUAAAAAUUAAGCUGUCAAGUUUUUAUUAAUGUAAUAAUAUUCAUUAGUGUUAAAACUACUUAUUUUUACUUAUUAAAAACAUUUAUAAAAUUAAUUAUAACUCUUUGUAUUUUAAUUUGAAGACAACCAAUUUGAAAAAGCAAAAAAAAUAGUAAUUUAACUUAUAUUUUAAUAUCCCAAAAUAUCAAAAUUUAUCAUCAUAAUAAAUUUUUAUGAUGAUUGAUUAUAUAAUUAGUGGAAAAUUGAUAAUUGGAUGGUUAUUGGAAUUUUCAAUUAUAGUUAAUUGAUAAGAAAAUGUUAAAAAUUUAUAAGUUAAGACUUGGUUUUAUCUUAUGUAUCUUUGGAUUUGUUAUUGAAAUAUAUGUUUUAUUAAUUUUCAAAUUUUUAGUUUAGGAAAAAAUGUCAAAUGGUAAACUUUUUAUUUAUCAAAAUAAAUGAGAAUUAUUAAUUUCAAUAAAUUAGAUGGUGGUUUUGGAGUUCUAAUUAAAAAUAAAUAAAAUCAUUAUAAUUGAUGAUUAUUACUCUAUUUAUGUUUUGUCAUACUUUAAAAAGGUUAAAUUUUGAAAAUCUAUACUAAACUUAUUUAUUAUUUUUAAUUUUAUGAUUUUUAUUGUUGUUUGUAUUUGUUUUCACUUUUGAACGAUGAAUUUACAUAAAUGUAUGAAGUUUAAAUUCAUUAAGAAUUAAAUAAAUUAUGGUAACAUGGUUACCUACAAUGGAAUUAUGGUUUUCAUUUUAAAAUUUUAUGAAUUUAUUUUAUAUUAAUUUCUUAUUCGUAUUAAGUAAUUUUUAUAUUGUUGAUUUUUUUUUUUUUAGUAACAACUCACAAAAAAAAUUUAGAACAAACUUAAUUUUUUUAAGAAAAAAAAAUUGAUUAAAACAAAACUUAUUUGAACCAUAUUCAAUAUUUUUUAUGAUAAUUUUACUAAUUUAUAGUAAAUUUGUUUCUCAUCCAAAUGCUACAAAAUUGAGGUAGUAUCCCUUUCUUUAUUAAUCCUUUAUUUAAAAAAGUUUUUUUUGUACUAUAUUUUAUGAAUAGUUGUAUUUUCCUUUCUUUAACAUAGAUCUUUGGAGUAAAUUUAUCCAAAAAAAAUUAAAUGAAUUUGGUUUUAUUUUGUGUGAGAAAUUAAAUUUAAAUAAUAUAAUAACGUUAAAAGUUGAAAAAAAGAAAAGAGAAAUUUGAUUUUUUUUUUUCUAUUAAGAUAAAAGUAGAAAAAAAUUAAAUAUGUAAUGAGUCAAAAAAGAAAAUGACUUAAAAAUGUUUUAAGUCUUAAGCAAAAUUUGUUUUAACAAGCCUUAAGUUAAAAAAUAAAUAAUUCCAUGAUUUAUUUUUUGUUUCAAAAUUAGUAAUGGUGAAAAUCUUUGAAAGCAUUAAAAAACAUUUAAGUAUAAUAUUUUUUAAAAUUUCUAGAGAACCUUCUCAAAAUGUUAUGAUAUUCACAUGGAACUUAUAUUUAAAUAUAUCUUUACAUUUCUUAAUAGAUCUUCACAAUAUUAGGAGCUUAAAAUGUUCAAUUCUUUAUUAAAGCCUAGAUGUGUUACAAGCUACAUGAUAAAUUGUUUGACUAAUAUUAGAUUUAAAAUUAAUAUAUAAGCUCUAAAAUUCAAAUAAUGUUCACCUUUGCUUAUCUUACAAUGUUUGAACAAGAGUAUUUGAUUUAUUCAAUUUUAGUUAAUUUUAGCUUCUUGAUAUCUAAAAUACAUAUGCACUGAUAAUUGUGCAUUAUGAGGCUAUAUACAAGUUAGAAUAUGCCAUCAUUAUUAGUAUUUAGUAACACCGCUUUUAUUAUAAAGUCAUAUAAUUGUUUUUCGCUAAUAUCAACCCCUGUGGGUAUUUCACAUGCAUUUUAAAAUGAAUGAAAGGUCACCUCAACAUGCUAAUUAGGUGGGCUAGAAAAUAUUUCACUACCAACUUCACUUGCUUGUUUCUAGUAGAGAUAUUUAUUUGUCAAAGUAAAAUUUAUUUUUUAUAUUAGAAUUAUUAUCUUUCUUUUUAAGCAUAAGGGUAAAUUAAUCUUUUUCUUUUAUUAAUUUCUUUUGAUUGUAAAUUUAUUUAAACUCUAUUUGUGUUGUACAUAUUUUUUAAGUGAUCCUAAUAAAAAACAUUCGACCUUUCUUUUCACUCUUUGUUUACUAUUCUUUCAAAUCUCAUAUGAUAUUAGAACAAGAUUUAUUUUAAAGGAACUUUUGAUGUAUUAUCUCAUUGAAGAGACUCUAAUCUCAUACAUAGUUUUUUUAGAUCUAACUUUUAUUUAUUUAUUUAUUUAUUUAUUUUUUAUGUUAUGUCUUAUUGUAGAUCUUCGUCGUCAGUGAUCGCAUUAUUUGUUUUGUUUGAUCCUGGUAUUUGAUUUCACAUUUAUUUUCUUUUGUGUGAUAGUUGUUUGUUAAUUAUUUGUCAUAGUUGGUAAAAGAGAUUAUUCCCUUUAAUCUAUUAGUACGAGCUUAGAUGGAAGAGUGAUUAUUCUUAUUAGAGUUAUAUGAUGAAAAUUUUUCUAAAAGGCAAAAGGAUGUGGGGUUAUACUCUUGACACUUUAUGCAAACCUAAGAAUGAAAAGAAUGAAAAAAAUAUAGAAUAGUUAGACAUUUAGGAAGUAAAUAGUUAAAAAAAAAAAAUAUCACUUAGAUCAACAACUCUAUUGAGAAUUUGACAAGUACACAAUUGAUGAAGUAUAAAACUACUAAAGAGAUCUAGGAACAUUUGGAAAUAUUAUAUUUGCAGCCUAAUUUUGCAAAAUAGUAUUAGAUAGAAACUAAUAUUCGAGCCAUUGAAUAGAAGAACAUGAUUAUUCAUGAGUUAUAUGCCAUUAUGACUGAUCUUUGAGACUAGUUAGCUCCUAUGGAAUUAGUAGAGUUUUAGGAUUUUGUGUCUUAUAUUGCCCAUAGAGAGGAGCAAUGAUUAGUUCCAUUUUUUAUGGCCCUUUGUAGUGAUUUUUGAGGCAUUACAUGAGAUAAUUUUGUGUCGUAGCCCAAUCCCAUUUAUUGAUUUAAUGGUUAGUGAAUUGUUGGCUGAAAAAAUACGUCUUAAGUCUCAAACAGGGAAAGGAAUUCUCUUCACACCUCAUACAUCUGUUUUGAUAGUACCUUCUAAGCCACCUUCCAACAAUCAAAAGAAACCUUACUCAAAGGUUGACAUGGAUGAAUGUAGCUAUUAUAAGCGAAAGGGUCAUCAAAAGGCUCAAUGCCCUAAUUUCAAUAGAAUAAUGCAACAAUAGUCUUCUUAACAUUCUUCAUAGAGUCAAUCUAAUAUUAGCUAACAAUGUUCUUACAAGCCUCCACAAUCUAAUACUACAACAAUUGUUCCUCCUUUUGACUCAUUUGGAUUUGGACCCACUCCAUCCUCUAAUCCCACAAUAGUUGCUCUUAUUGAAGGGUUCCAAAAGUUCCUCACCAUACAACCACAUGUUAUGUCUACCUUAUAGGUUUGCUAGUCCCUAGGUUUUUAGGUAUUUUUUUUCCUUUAUAUGGGUUUUAGACUUUAAAGCUUUUUACCAAAUGUCGUCUUAUUCUUUAUUUUUUUUGCUUCUCUAUCUCCUAUGUCUUCUAUGUUUGUCAUGACUACACAUGACACUUCUAUACCCAUAGUUAGUGUUGGUUCUUUUGUUACACCUCACUUAUCUUUUUCUAAUGUUUGUCAUAUUCUCAAUCUUAUGUUGAAUCUUGUCUCUGUUAGUCAAUUAUGUAACUUUGAUUACCUGAUUCUUUUUCUUCUUCUUUUGUGUGUAGGAUUCACAAUCUUAGAAAUUGAUUGGAAUAGACCAUAGCAAGGGGGAUUAUAUAUUUUGGACAAGCUAAAGUACUAGCAAUUGCAACUCCAAAUGUUUAUUUGUCUUACUUUAAUUUGAGUCUUUCUUCAUCUAGUUUUUAUUUAUGGCAUUCUCAUUUGGCACAUGUUUCAACUCCUCGUUUAAAGUAUUUAGUUUCUAUAAUAAUAAUAGGAAAUUUGCAAACACAAGAUAUUUCUAAUUGUAGUGGUCGUAAAUUGGCAAAAAAAAAAAAUUUCUUCCUUUUUAAUAAAAGUGCUUCCUCUUAUUCACCAUUUGAUUUAAUUCAUUCUAAUAUGUGGGUACCUUCUUUAAUUUCUAGAAAAUGAGUUUAUUAAAAUUAUGUUUCUUUCAUUAAUGAUUAUUUGUUAUUGUCGGGUUUAUCUUGUAAACAUCAUUAUGAGUUUUUGAGUUUUUAUAAUAUCUUUCAAGCCUUAGUCAAAACUCAACAUUCUACUAUUAUCAAGUGUUUUAUGUGUGAUUUGGGUUAGGAGUAUACUUCUAAUGCAUUUCGUGAAUUAUUUACUUCACAUGGAACAGUUCAACACACUUCUUGUACUGACACUCCAAAGAAAAAAUUGUGUCACAAAAGAAAACAUUGACACAUUGUUGAAACUACUCAUUCUAUUUUAUUAUCUACGUGUGUUCCUACUGAAUUUUAGGAGGGAGUAGUUCUUACUACAAUUUACUUAGUUAAUAAAAUUUCAUCAUCACACACCUUCAAUAACUAUUCUCCUUAUUACUCUUCCUUAAGAGUCUUUGGUUCUACUUGUUUUGUCCUUCAUUUUCAAGUAGAGCAUAAUAAUUUAUCUUCUCAUUCUACUAUUUGUGUUUUUCUUAGGUAUGGUGAAAGUCAAAAGGGAUAUCAUUGCUUUGAUCCACUGAGCUAUAAAUUAUAUGUAUCUCAUCAUGUUUUCUUCCUUGAGCAUAUACAUUUCUAUUUUAUUACUAUCGAGUUUCAUAAUGUUUCUAAAUUCGAAAUUAUUCACAUUAAUAUUUUCUUAGAUGAUACAAAUAGUUUUCCUAUAGAUACUAGUAACUUGGUUCUUAAUCAUCACGGUUCUUUCUCUCUUCCUAUGGCUACUCCAAUACCUUUUGAGACUAUGGAUCCUCCUCCGCACUACGUACUUCUCAAUGUCUUGGUAAGUCUACUCGAUUACCAAAUUUUGUUUAUGCCUCUUAUUCAAAUUCAUUUACAUCUUUUUUAAUUUCUAUUCACAAUCCUUUUGAGUUCUUACAAAGAAGUCGCUCUUAAUCCUCUUUGACAACAAUCUAUGAUCGAAGGACUUUCUACUCUGCCUAAGAUUGACACUUGGGAUUUGGUACCUUUACCACAUGGGAAGAGUAAAAUUGGUUAUUGUUGGUUCUAUAAAAAUUAAAUUUAAGUAUAAUGGUUCAAUUGAGUAGGACAAAACUUGAUUGGUUGCUAAGGGGUUCUCUCAAUAGUAUGGUGUGGAUUAUGAGGAGACUUUUGCCCAUGUCCUACAAUCAACUACUGUUCAUACUCUUAUUGUGUUACCUCUGUUUGUCAAUGGAAUAUAUCUUAGAUGGAUGCUAAAAUACUUUCUUAAAUGGUAAUCUUCAAGAAUAAGUCUACAUGGUACCCCCUCAUGGUGUUUCUCAUAACCUUGAAGAAGUUUAUAGGCUUAAGAUGAUCUCAAACAAGUACUUUGUUCUUGGUUUGCAAAGUUCUUUGAUGUGCUUACUUGUCAUGGGUUUCAUCUCAAUCAUCAUGAUUUUGUACUCUUUUCUAAAAUGCACCACUAUUGAUCGUAUUAUAUUUUCUUUAUAUGGUGAUGGCAUAAUUAUUAUUAGUGAUGAUGUUAAUAGGAUUGCAAUGUUGAAAUAAGAUUUGACUUCUUGUUUUGAAAUGAAGGAUUUAGGUUUUCUAUGAUAUAUUGUGGGUAUUGAGGUAGCUUCUUCUUCGAAAGUUAUCUUCUCUUGUAAUCAAGUAUAUAGUUGAUAUUCUCAAUCUUGUUCACCUUAUUAACACUAAGAUUGUUAAUAUUCCUCUUGACUUUAGUGUUCAAUAUUCUUCUUCUAAUGGUAAACCCUAGCUAUAUCCUACUUUAUAUUAUAUUAUUGUUGGCAAUUUGAUUUAUCUCGUAUUACAUGUUUGGACAUUGCUUAUGUUGUUCACAUUGUUAGUCACUUUGUUUCUUCUCCUACAAUAUUUCUUUAGGCUUUUGUUCUUUGUAUUUUGCAUAUCCUCAAGGCAUUAUAUUUUAGAGUCUUUGACUUUUGUCCAUUUUUUUUACAGUUAUGUGCAUAUUCUAAUGCUAAUUGCAUCGGUGAUCUUGAAGAUCUCAAGUCUACCAUUGAAUUUUGUAUAUAUAUAUAUACAUAGAUUCUCUUAUUUCUUGGAAAAUCAAGAAAUAGAUUAUUGUUUCUCAGACUUCCACAAAAGUCGUGUAUCAUGCUAUGACAUCUACCACCAAUGACAUAGUUUGGUUACAUUGAUUACUUACUAAUAUGGAUUUUUUUUUGGUCCCAUUUUUAUAUAUUGUGACAAUAAGAGUGAUAUUUAGAUUACACACAAUUUCAUCUUUCAUGAAAUGACCAAACAUAUUAAGAUUGAUUGUCACUUACUCAUUAUCACCUUUAGCAUGACAUUUUUACUUCUUUUUUUUUAUUAUUAUUAUUAUUAUUCAUUUUUUACCAAAGAUUACAAACUUGUUUACUAAGUCAUAUUUGCUUCCCUAUUUUCAAUUUUUUGUUGGCAAACUCUUGAUGCUUCUUGUAGUUAUAUCGUGAGUUUUUAAGGGGAUAUUAGAGAUAUUUAUUUGUUAAGAGUUAUAUUUAUUUCCUAUAUUAAAAAAAAAAAAGUAAAGGUAAGUUAAUUAUUUUCUUUUUUUAUUUAUUUCUUUUAGUUAUAAACCUAUUUUAAUUCCAUUUGUAUUGUAAGUUUGUAACUAUUUUUGAAAUGGUUCUAAUAACAAAACAAAGCUUUUCUUUUCUCCCUUUGUUUAUGAUUCUUUUGAAUCUUAUGGUUUCAAAGGUCACCCUUUGAUUUAUAAUGGAAGAUUUCCUUGAUGGCUGUCUUUGUACCUUUUCAUGGAAGGUUUAGAUUUUUGGGGAAUAAAGAUUCAACCAAGUGUGUUAGAGUUGGAAAAGUAUGAGUUCAACAUACUUUUUAUUUUCUAAACCCUCCAAAAAAAGGUCAUUAUCUGGAAUAUCCUAAAAUAUUUAAUCGCAUAUUUGGUUUUAGAAAAAAAAAUAUGUAUAUAUAUAUAAUAAAAUAAAAUAAAAUAAUAAUGAAAAUAACAAAAAGUAAAAAUACAUCUAAAAUUAAUUUAAAUUAUUUUAUUUAUUUUUUUUAAAAUAAAUAAAUUUACAAUAAUUAUAUAUAUAUAUAUAUAUAUAUAUAUAUAUAUAUAUAUAUAUAUAUAUAUAUAUAUAAGACAAGUGAAAAAAAUAUAAUUUUUAUUAAUUCUUUCUUUUAUAUUUUUUACUAAAACCAAACAUAGAGUAGAUGAAUAAUAGUUGUAUUAGACAUUUUUUAUAUAUAUAUAUAUAUAUUACAAAAAAAAUUCGAAAAGGUAUUAUUUAUUUUUAUUUUGAAUGUAAAACCAAAUAUGGUGAUGGUGAGUUUGUGGCGCAAAGGGGAAGAGAGGGGAGUUGUACUGAAACGAGAAAAUGAGAUUGCGUGAGGUGAAAGAUAGUAUGAUGAAUGAGAUCCCAACCGUCCAUUUGGGUGUAGAAAUUUGAAAAGAAAAGGAGGAAGAAUCUGACCACUGGGCACUAGCAUCUGAUUGCUUACCCCACAAGCCUUCCCCUUCCCCCCAUAUCAUCAUCUCAUCUCCUCCUGCCGUCUGUCAUUUUGUAAUAUAAAAAACAGAAAUGGGUAAAGAAUAAAAUAAAACAUUUUUUGAAACACUUUUAAAAACAGCUUUUUUAAACAGUUCUUUCAUAUUAUUUUUUUAAAUAAUUUUUUUAACAAUUUAGAAUAUUUUUAAACUAUUUUUCAUAUUUUUAAAAUAACUUUUAUUAAUGAUAAUUUAUUUUUAAUUAUUAUACAUACCUAUAUAAUAUUUUUUUAAAUGGUUCGAAAAAAGUUUUUCUAUUUUUAAGAGUAAAAGACUUUUUAAAAAAAUAAUAAUUAAAGGUGUGUGUCAUAUUGAGAAAGGAGGGGAAGAUGAGAUAUGAGGGGGUGAGGGGGUGGUGUGUGUCAGACAUAAUGAAGUGAAUGAUUAAAGGUGAAACGUCAUCGAAGAUUUGUUGGGUAACGGACGGGUAGCAGUAGGGUCCUCAUAGUCGUAUGCUGCUUUUGUCUUUGCCUAAAAAAGGCAUGGUGGGCUCCCGGACCCACCCCUCUUCUCCAGCUGUAAUCAUUUUUCAAUUUUUCCCACCCUCUUGUACACGGACCCCCUCCAUCACCCCCAUCCUCCCAUGGACGGCUCUGAUCGAGGACCAUGAUUUCAUUUCGAGAAGCAGAAAGGUGAGGGCUCUUUCCUCCCUCAUCAUUACGACAUCUUUAUUUUUCCUCCUCUGCUGGUGCGAUCAUGCUAUCAUGCUAUCAUACCAUCAUAUCAUCGUCUUUGAGCCUUGAGGGGAGAUUAGAGGAGCCUUUUUUUCUGUUUGGUGUCAAAUGGACGGCUCUGAUUAUCUCUUACGAUGACAGCGCAUUGUGGAUUACUUUUGCCGACAGUACUAGAUGACUGUUGAACCGGGUCUCUCAUCAUAUUCAUGGGCGACAAAUUUCUAUGCCUCAUUUGUAAAAAGUCGCCUGCUCUGCUUCUGGAGCUGAUGCUCGUAGGUCAGACAUGAGACGUGAAAAAGAUUUUUUCUUUUUUCUUUCCUAAUGCAAAAAGAUUAACAGAGAAUUAUAUAUAUAUUUAAAGAACUGAUUAGCCGUACACCCUCUUAAAUAUAUUUGGAUUUUUGAAUUAUACUGACGUCACAGCGAGGACACACGAUCGAUGUUAACGUUGAAAUACCUUUCUUGUCCCUUUAUAAAAAGUGUUUUAACAAAACCAACAUUUUUAUGCCAUAAUAAAAUUAAAAAUAAAUAAAUAAAUAAAUCUCAUAUUGAGUUGACAACAAUUGUAACACACAUGUACAGACGGAUUUGAAGAUUUUUUUCACCGUACAUUUAUAAAAUUGCACUGUAAUGUAUAGUCAUUGGAAUGGAAGUAAAUAUAAUUGAAAAGAAAAAGACAACUUUAUCAUUCACUAUGACAAAAAGUGAUAUAUGAGCAAUAUAGAUUCACACCAUUAUUUCAUUUUUUUUUUUACUUGUUUGAAUAUUUUUAUUAUAAUUUUAGGCGAUUUUGAACAAAGUUGUGUUGUAUUGAAGUAAUGCAUCUUUUAGAGUUCAAAUCAAUGUAUUGAUGUGAAUACCUAUAAAAAAUUGUUAUAAAUGUUUUGAAAAUAUGAAUGUUAAAGGACGAUUCACUUUAUGGUGUCUAUUGGAAAAACUACUCUUGUUGAUGUUAUGGCCUCGACACAAUCUUUGCAAGUUGGUAGAAGGUCAUGUGUGAUAUAAAUUGGGUCGAAAUGUUAUAGAUUUUGAAGAUGAGGCCAAACAUUCAAUGAAGCCCACUAGGUAUAGGUUCGUUGGUGAUAAAGGCCUAACUACGAUAGGGUGGAGACCUGGUCUAGAAGAUGGUGAUGGCAUAGAGUUUUAGAGUGAUAAGAGGAAACACAACCAUCGAGAUACAGAAGAUUUAAGAUUUAAGGGUAAGGGUGACAAUGUGGAUGCAAUGGGUGAUAAUGUUGGUAAGGACGUCUAUAAAUAUAAUAUUGGCGAGGAUGAAGAAUUUGAUAUCAAUAAUGAGGAUGAUGACACAUAGUGAUGUCCACCAAGUCAUGUAAAUGACCAUUCAUGGAGUAAUGAAUUUAGUUUAUAUAGACAAUGAAGAAUAUAGGUUUCAUAUUAAUGAUGACCUUUUGUAGUAUGAAUCCAUUGAUGACAAUGGGGUUCAAUGUUAUUCUACCUCAAGAAGUAAAAGGUUGGUUACGACAUAGAUGGGGGUAUUAAAGGGAAAACCGUUAGGAUAAACUUUAUAUCAUAGUCACAUGCUAUCUAAUAACCUAAGAAUACUAGAUUUGAUUGUAGCAUAAGCAAAUUAUGAAACAAGGCUAAUUAAUUAAAGGAAAACACUUAAGAGAAUGGGUGAAUUGAGUGAUUAAAAAAGUUUUAAAAAGUUUUAAAAAGUUUCAAAUUAAACAAUAAACAAACAAUAAUUAAUGCAAAAAAUAAAUAGUGAAGGGAAAAAAGAUGUGAAAUUUUUACGGUGGUUUGACAAUCCCACCUAUGUCCCCUUUCCUCAAUCUCCUUUACAAGUGAGAGUUCCACUAAACAAGGUUUCAAACCAAGCCUCCAAUCUUGUACCCUUGAAUUUAUCGCUAUAAUGGACACUGCACUUUGAUCAAAUUCAAUACCAACUUGAAGUCUCAACCACUCAAUCUUUUUGCAAGGAAAAAGGAUUUUAAUACAUUCAAUUCUAGCACAAGUUAGGAUUAAUACAAGGAAAUAGCUAGGAUUAAAUGAAGAGGGUAUACUAAAGGAUUUGCAAAUGAAAGAUUUAAUGUACUUAGGUAGAGAACUUUUAAUGAGAGAAAAUGGUAGGUAAGCAAGUUAAUGUAGUUGUUCUUGUUGAUUUUCGUACAACGAUUCAUAAAAAUUAGAGAAAAACAAAAAAAAAAACACACAGAUUUAACGUAGUUCGGCAGAUUGCUUAUAUACACAGGAAUAAGGAAAAAGACUUUCACUAUAUGUAAAAUUAGAGGUUAUAUAAAAGGUAUUUAUACCAACCCUCAGGUAAUGAAAUUCCAAAAAAUCCCCUGAACCAUACCGUGGGAGGUGGGGUGGGGGCAUUACCCUCCCUCCCCCCUCACCCCCAAACCUAUCGUUCGCCUUUAAUAAUAAAAAUACAAGCUUAAAUGACAAAUGUCGGAGUGGGGCGAAACAGAACAAUGACAUUUGCCCAUGUUUCUCCAUAUAUGUCUUUCCUUCAAUAUGAACCACAUACUAUAAAAGAUCUCUUAUCAAUAAAUGCAUGAGGACUCUCCAAUUUAUAGAGAACAAUCUCUAACACCUAAAACAAUAAAAGUUUGACUAAUCGAGCUCCAAUUUUAUUGUUUGCCUAGUUAUUAGUGUAUUUAAUGUUCAACAAAUAACCAUUUGUUCUUUUCAAAGUUCAACCAACUCUCAACCAAGCCUUGAUCAAUACUCAACCAAGAGAGCUUACAAAUUAAAUAUAAUCAUUGUAGAAUGCAGUAUCACAUUGAUCUAAAAAAUCCAUCAAUUUAAUGGAAAAUAAGUCUUCCCAAAUUGUAUGUUUGGCCAACAUUAUAGUUUAAAAGAAAUAUAUGAAAGCAUAGGUCAAUAUUGGGCAUUAAAGGAUGAGUUCACACAUUUGAUGACCUCUCCUAUUCCUUAUAGUGAUAUUGUCAUACAUACAAUAAUGGAAGUCAAACUAUAACAUCAUUGAAGCUAACAUAUUAGUCAAAUGUAACUUUUAGUACUAAUCCUUCUCAUCAACGAAUUACAAUGAUCAUAGAUGAAUCAAUCAAACUAUAUCUUACAAUUAAUAGAAUUUGAGAGGACAAUAAUAGGAUAACAAUUCUUCAUAAUAGGUAUCAUAUGAAUCACUUCGUAAAUAUAAUAGGAGAAAAAUAGAAAAUUUUAAGGAUAUUAUAUCCUUAAAAAAUUUCUAAUUACAUAAAAAUCAAGAUUAACAACCAUAACCUUAAACCAAGUUGAUAAAUUCAUAAGAAUCAGCAUUAGCAAUUGAUGCUUCGACAUAAUAAAUAUAUUAAAAGCAAUCUUAUUAAUGAUGGUUUUAAACCAUAUUCAAAAUUAUAUUAGAAGUAACAUUGUCGAUAGUAGUUUUGAGCUACAUUAGAACCAACAUUAGCAACUUUGGUGUUACUUAAUAUACUAGGAUUAACAUUUGCUCUUAUAAUUUUAAGCUAUAAUCAAGAUUAUGCUAAAAACCAACAUUGACGACUAUGAUUUAAUAAUGAAUUUUUUUAUUUAAAAAAAAGAAAGAGCAAUAGCUCUUAGCCAUAUGACUGCCCAUUUGGAUGAGAAGCAUGACUUUGCCUAGCAUUUUUGCACUCAACCCAUUCCCACAAUUUUUCUCUCUAAAAGGACCGUUUUUAUUUAUAUUUUUUUUAUUUAUUGAAAUGCCUUUCCCCUCUUAUAAAGAUAUCCAUAUUCAUAAUGGAAAUAUAAAUUAAAAAAAAAUUGAGUUUGCUUAAAAUAAAAAUAAAAAUAUUGAAAAACUUUUUUUUCAUAUAUAUAUUUUUUUAUCCUCAAAAUUAAAUGAAAGCAAUUUUUACUUUCAAAAACUAUUUUAAAGAAUAAAAAAUAAAGAAACUUAUAAAUUUUAAAUAAUGAAAUUAAAUUUGUUGUUUUAAAACAAGUAGCCACAACUUUCACGUUAAGACCGCAUAGCGCAGUGGAUUAGCGCGUUUGACUUCGGAUCAAAAGGUCGUGGGUUCGACUCCCACUGUGGUCGAUUCAUCUUAGUGUGUUUUUUUUUUAUAAAUUCAUUUGAUUCCGUUUUUUCAUAAAAUUUUAUAUUUAAAUUUAAUAUAAAAUAGAAAAUUAUCAAAAUUAAAGUUUGACAGUCCCGUAAUUAACCUCUUUUCGAUUGUAGAAGUCAAACAUUGAAAAAAAUAUAGAAAAGAAUAAUAAAUUUUUCUUGAAAUUUUUUUUAUUCAAAUAAAAUUGUUUUUCAAAACUUUCAAUUUAAUUGAAAAACCAAGAAAUUCGAGGUUGGUUUGA
rnacentral:lncRNA from 1 species